UGCUGUGUGCCUGGAUUUGUGCCCUAGACUGGGUAAACAGAGGUCACAUUUUUUAUUUGUGGUUCAGGCCUAUAAUCAAGUAAGCCCAGUGUGCCCUGAUAGUUGUAAGAAAAAGUGUCUUCCAGGAAGAGAGAGGAGCAUGAGGACAGGAGUAAUGAGCCAGUCCUGGCACGGAGGGCUGGAUGAUUAGAGGUAAAUCUCCAGAAUCAGAGAAAGUGAAGCUAGUUCUGAAAGACAAAAGAUUAUUCAGUGUUGAAAGUGAAUAAGGUUUGAGGCAACAGUGAAUCCGGAAGAAGACCCUGGUCUGCCUUGACAGGGCACAUGGUGGAAUUCUGUGAGUGGUUAUUAUGGCUGGGGCAUGGGUUGGGGGAGAGAGAGACAUGGGAGGUGACGCUGAAGCCGCAGCAGCUUAGGGGAACUUGUACCUGGUGCUAGAGAGUUUGGGGUUCCUCCUGUUCUGACUGAGAGAAGCUAAUGUGGGUUUUCAACUGGGGCAGCUGUGCAGCCAAGCAGGGUAGUAGCACUAUGAGAUUUUCAUCCACAGGUGGCUUUUAGGAAAUUACGAUCCAAUAGAGCACAUCCAGGAGACACAUUUGAAGGUGGAGCUGAAGCAAGAGAAAACCAGAGCCUGAAUUAGUGUAAAUCCAGUGGGAAGGGGAAAAGGAUAGGAUUUGGGAGCUAUUGAUAAAAGAGUUAUGAGAGCACAGAUGACAAUGUUGACCAUAGAGCUUUAAGAUUUAUGACAAGAAAAACACCACGGACCAUGAUGCCAUUAGCCAAGAGAUGGAUUCCAGGUUCACUAGUUUUAAGAAGAAAGGAAAGUAAAUGUUGAGUUUGCCUUCAAACACAUGUAUUUGAAGUCCUAAUGGGACACGCAGGUAGAAAUAGUGAAUUGUGGUGGAAAGGGUGUCAAAAAUGUAGGUUUGGUGUGUUCAAGGGAACAAUCUGGGCUUGAAACAGAUUAAAAGUCAUCAGCACAUGAAUGGUAAUUAAGCUGUCUUUUAAUAAGCAUAGGCUUUACUCUGAGUGAGAGGAGGGCUAGGCAGAGGAGAGGAUGGGCACUCACAGCCGAGAAGAGCAUUUGAGGGUGAGGAAAUAAAGAAGAGACCAAGAGAGAGUUUCCUGGAGGACAUCAGUGAAAGAUUUCCCUACAGGCAAGGGAGUCAACAGUUUGGGGAGUUAAAUGUCAGCAGAGCAGCAGGGAACAAGAUAAGGAGUGAAAAGGGUCACUUGGCUGUGCCAGCUGGUAGGUCACUAGAGACCCUGGAAGAACAGUUUCUGAGGAGUGACAAGGCCCCAAGCCAGAGGACAGUGGGUUAGAGAGUAAACAAGGACGCUACGAGGUGGGGGCAGGGAGGGUCAGUGAUGCUGAAGGUUGCAGGGCUCCUUGGUGACAGAGCUGGGACUGUCCCUCAGUGCCCUGACUUUCACUUCUUCAUCUUUAAAUUUAUUUAUGUACAUAUGCCCCCCCCCCGCACUAUGUUCUAAAUGACUUGGCAUUAAAUACCUCAGAUAUUUUAUCAUACAAAGCGAGUUCUGAGUGAUUGUCAAGAACUGGGAAGGUCUGAGAUUUUUAUUUUCCUUGCAAGCUAACAAGUUGGCCUGCCACACGCGCUGGGAGGCCGGCAGAAGACAGGAGACUUCUGAGUAGAGACAGACAGCUAGCUGUCUACUGGCAAUGGUCACAGUAACCAACUAACAGCAUUUCCUCAAGCCCUUGCCCAGAGCCUUAGUUUCCACAGGUGACACGGAGAGGGUUGUGCGAUGCCCGUGCAGAUGGUAGGUGGUUAUAGGAAGGGGACCCAGAGGUUAGGGAAACUGAGUUUUUUUAUAAUGGGUGGGGACAUACUAACCUUGUCCCAGAGAGAGAAAUCAACCAUAUCAUACCAGACAUUAACCAGAUCUUCUGCUAUGAAGAGAAAUGCUACCUCUAGCUUCCAAGGCUAUUAGCUAUACAAACAGUCUUGAAAAACCAGUCCAGGACAAAAGGAGGUCAUAGCUCUGCAUAUGUAAUGUGUAGAAAUGCAAGACACUCGUGAGAAAUUGUCUGCUAAUAAUGAUAUGGUAUACAAGUACAAUUUGCCUACCCAAUAUUCAUUUUCUUCCAUUUAGUACCAAACUGAAUACAUGUCACAUAAUAGUAUACCUAAUUAAAAAUAAUGUGAUAGCUGGAGCUCUCGAUGUCUUCUUGUAACCUUGAUGACUACAGCUACAUAGGAAAAAAAGUAAAGUGGAAUGACAGAAUUCUGGGUCCCUGAUGGUUUUGUGGAGCUAUUAUAGCAGCUAUGAGCUGUUUAUCGUGAGUUGUGUGUGUGGAUAAACCUUUAUGUGUUGAGUCAUUAUAGCUAGGUUCUAUUAUUAGCAACAAUACACUAAUAGUUAAUAUUAGUAACUGAAUAUGAUUACCAACAAAAUGGGGGGUGGGAGCACUAGAUAAUAGUCCUUAGAUAAUAUAAAGACUUAGAAGAUAUUUAGAAGAUUAAAUUAUGAUCAUGAAUGUGCUACUAACAUACUGUGUUAACCUGUGCAUAUCAAUUAACUUUUCUCAGCUUAAUAUUAUAAACUUCUUAGCUCUAAUAUUUUUUGAGCCUAAGUUUUAAAAAAAUUCCUUUUGUCUUUAUAUUUUAAAACAAAUUAAUUUUAAUUAAUUGAGAUUUGCAUCUCAUUUACCCUUGAACGGUGAUCCAUCUGAACAAUAAUUGGGGGCAAAAAUCCAGAUAAUAGCCAAAUUUGCUGCUUUCCUUCCCCCAACCUCUGAUUAUGUGUACUUUGGCAGGGAAUGUGACUUUCUAAUAGAUUUCCAGAUAUCUUUAAGCUUGGUAGGGAGAGAUUUAGUGAAACAUCUCAUAAAAAUGCAAACAUCUUGUCUGUCACGACUUCUAUGUUCCUAAUGCUUAGCGCAGAGCCUGGCAUAUAGUAAACUUCCCUCAAACAAACUUGAAAGAAUGAAUAGACACCUCAUUUUAGAAACUAGCAAAUUCAGGACAAGAAAAGGGUGGGGCAGGACCCCCUUGAUCAUAUCUGAUAAACUGCUGCUUCCACCUCCAUGAGGGACGUGACCCAGCAUAUUUAGUAGUCUAAAAAUGAAAAGGUCAAAAAGAAAAAAAAAUAUUUAAAUGAUUCUUCUUUUUUUAUUUUAUAAAGAAUAGUAGGUCAUUUGUUCAUUGAAAAUAUAGCUGUCAGUUUAAAUUAUGCCCUCAUUUGUACAAAUUGAUAUUGGAAAAUUAGGUUUUACUGAAUGACUAUGUAUUUUUUUUUCCGUGUGGGCUAAAAAAUUCCAAUUGCUCUCACCUUUUCUUAUGAAUUCUAUUUUCUAGGCUCUUAAUCACUCUUUUUUGUUCUCCCCUGAGAUUGAAUAAAAAAAUACUAACCACAACAAAUACCACCUGAUGAUUUUUAUAUGAACAUUAGCCCUGUCCUCACUUUUAAACACAUCAUGCCAUUAGUGACACUAGCAUCAGAUUAAGUCUUUUAUGAUAUAAUAGAAUAAGUUUUACCUUGCUAAUAUGUGGAAAUGCCUCUAAGUUUAUUUUAGACUCUGUGUGCAGGACACAGGCUAUAUAGAUAUUACCAAAUAUCUACAUAAUUAAUAUCAAGCAAACUAAACAGCAAGUUGGUGUAAGGGAUUUUUACAUUUUCAUUCUAAUUAGUUCAUUUUUCCACUAAGGAAUCAAUCUGUCUGUUCAUCUAAAUAACAAGUAUUAUUUCCAUAUUCUGUAGCAGGUUCCAACGUAAAUGCUCAUGUAAAAAUCAAAGAAAGUCCAGAGGAGCUUAUAGGCUCAAAGGUUAAGAAUUCCAUGAGGAAUUCUUAUGGAAUUCUUAUAGAAUUUCAUUCUAUAAGGAAGCAUGAUGAACACAAAGAUGUAAGGAUAGAGUGAUACUGGGCUUCAAAAAUGUCCCCUCGUGUAUUUGGAUUUAGAGGUCUUGAAGGACAAGCAGUUGGCUAGGCAAAAAGGGGUGGCUGGACAAGUAGCUUCAUGAUGAAAUACUAACAUGUAUGUCAUAUGCUGGUGGCUACAAUGAGAGGACUUUGGAAGACCAUUUCAUCUGUACAUCCUUGAUACAGGGCCACUGCUGAAGUGAAGGACCUUCCCUGUGUUGGGGGCUGCGCUUAGAUGCUGGAGACAGAGCAGGGAAUGAACUGAGCACGGCGUGAGGCUUCAUGCCUGGACGAGGAACCAAAUGAAUGCAUUGGUUAAAAUGAGAGUGGCCUAGUUUUCUAAGGAGCAUCUCAGCCAGUUUCCACUGUUCUAGAUUAAUUAUUAACAUUUUUCCUUUCAUUCCCCAAAGUGUUCCAGUGUUAUGGUCUGGGUCUGGAAUGUCCCCUGAAAAGCUUGUGUGGUAGCAAUGUCCAGAAGUGAAAAAGAUUGGAUGAUUAGAGUCAGAAUCUCAUUAGUAGAUUACUUCAUUUGAAGGAUUAGUAAUUUGAGUGGACCACUGGAAGGCAACUGUAGGCAGGGGGGGUACGGUCAGAGAAAGUGGGUCACUGGCAACAUUCCUUUGGGGACUAUAUCUUGUCCCUGGAUCGCCUCUCUCUCAUCUGCUGUGAGCUGAUCAGGUUUCCUCUGCCAUACCCUUCAGCCAUGAUAUUCUGCAUCACCUUGGACCCAGAGCAAAGGAGUCAGCCAACCAUGGACUGCACCUCUGAAACCAUGAGCCAAAAUGAAUUUUUCCUCUUCUGAGUUGUUCUGGUCAGUUCUUUUGGUCACAGAGAUGCAAAGCUGAUUAACGCACAAUUUAAAUGAUAAAACUGUAUGGUCAUCCUUGUCAUGGGGCAAUUUUGGUAACUAAUACCAUAAAGAGGUAUAGGGUAUAAUGGGAGUGCUGGAAGAACACCAAGAAGGAAAUUCUAAACUAGUUGAUAGACUGAUACACUGAUAUUACGUAUGUCUUAUUUCUGGAAAUUUCCAAGUAGUAAAGUUGAAGUAAAUUGCACACCAGAUAAAAAAAUACUUAAACUAAUUUUGUUAAUAGCCUGGUCCAAGCAAACCCUGAUAACUCAGUUGUACUGGUGUGGAAAUGAUGAUGUCAAAUGGGGAAUCAAGUCAUGUCCAUGAGAAGGCAGUUUUACUCAAAUUCAGUUGAGAGAUGCACAGUCAAUAGUGGAUGCUUUGGAGGAGGAACAAUAGUAAUCAAUUCACAAGAUGAACAGGUCUGGAGGAUUGACUAUUCUGUUGCAAGAAUGUUUGGGCUGUCAUCAAAGUAAAUCCUUAAGUCACUCAAAUGAAAACCUGUUUCAGAAUUUCUUUGAGGACCUGGAGAUAUCCGAGCAAAAUGCUUAUGCAUACUUAGAAAGACACAGAUGAACAUUCAAUGACUCAAGGUAUUUUUUCCCCAUUAAACAAUUUUAAAUACAUUGUAGAAAGAGACAUGAACAUGUGAACUUCAAAAGGCAAAACGUGGUUCAAAGUUGAAAUGAAAUCAUAUUGUGUGAUGAUGACACUUCUGUUUUUGAGGUGAGGGGGACAUUUCUUGAGCUGAGAAUCAUCUAGACAGAAGACCCCAGCAAGCUAAUGAAGGCAAGAGGACUGAAAAGACGACUGUUCUCAUUUAUUCCUUUAUUAUUUCUGUCCAGGGAAGGAGAGAAACAAGCCAGGAGAUCAGUGGCUGAGGAAGGCUAAGUGAUUGCUUGAAAUUUAUACUACACACACUUGAUGAUACCUCAGUUAAAUCUCAGCUAAUUAAACAUCAACGAUUGUGUUAUUUCUCCUUUUCAUUUUUCAAGGUACCUCUUGGAUCUGAAAAAAAUGGGUAUUGUUUGAUAUGUGGAGUUGGUAAAGGACAGAAGAUUCUACUGAUUCUUUCUAGCAUAGCCUGUAGGAGAGGAAUUUUUAUAGAAAUGUCUUCUUCAUUGCCAAAAGUAGCCAUACAUAUUGCACAGACUAUCUUGCAGUAGGGCAAAUAAAAAAUAGAAAAGAGAAAAGAUGGAACUAAACAGAGAAGAUUAACAUGUUCUCUGUAAAAGAACAACAAGAAAAAUUAUCCUGGGCCCUGUAUGUGUUAGAAUUCUUGGUUACAAGCAACAAUUGCUUUUAGUUAACUUAAGCAAAUGAUGGAGAAGCCAAAGCCCUGGGUUUUAGGAAGCCCAAGAACCAGGAAACUCCUAGAAUCAAGGAAGUAAAUGGGACUGUGUCUGCAGGGAGCUGCCAUUAGCAUAAAGAUCCAAGCUACAGGAGGGGUCCCCAAAAGGCCCACUUUGGAUAUGAGUCAUCCUUUGAUGCGCGCAGCAAAGUCUUGUGAUAGGCAAUGAAGAAUGUAGUUCCCCACAGCAAAAGUGACUUAAGAAACAUGUGACGGCACCAAAAGAUGUCUUAGGGCAACUUCUUUCUCACCAUGAUAGUUCUAAUGCUCUUUUCUUCUACAUUACUUUCUUAGGUAAGUCAAAAUAAAGUACCACAAAUCAGGUGGUACUUGAAGUACUACAAAUAAAAAAAAAGAAAAAAAGAAAGAAAGAAAAUAAAUUCAUUCUCUCAUAGCUCUAGAGACCAGAAGUCUGAAACUACGGUGUCAGCAUGGCCAUGAUCCUUCUAAAGGCUCCAGUGAAAAGGACCCCCGAGCCUCUUCCAUAUUUUGGUGCCUCCUGGGGAUUCUUGGAGCUCCUUGCUUGGUGGUCACAUCAGUCUAAUCUCUGCUUCCAUUGUCACAUGGUCUUUUCUGUGUGUGUGUGUUUGUGCACUCUCUCCUCUUCUGAUAAUGACUCCUGUCACUGGGUUUGCAUCCUGUCUUCAUCAUCUAUGAUCUCAUUCCUUACAUUGGCAAAGACCCUAUUUCCACAUACAUUCAUCGCUUGAGGGUCCGGCUAGGCACGAACUUGGGGAGGGGACAAUUUAAACUCAUACACUCUGUCUCCCUUUGGAAUCAUUUGCUUCCUUUUACCAGAAACUAACUCUACUGUAUACUCUCGAUGCCAAUCAAAUGAGGUUUUGCAUAGGCUGUGGGUCUUUAAGGGUAGGGACCCUGGGUGUUCAUCUUCAUUAUCCAGAAUCUUAUAAAGUGCCUUGUGCAUUGCAGGCACAAAAUCAGUUUAUGGAAUGAAUGAAUACGUAGAUGAAUUAUUAAAUGAAGAGAAGAAAUAGGGGGAAAAAAGACAACUACAAAGUGCUUGGGGAAUGACAUUUGGCAUGUGGCCCUACGUGAGAUUAUAGAACCCCAUAGGCUUGUCACAUACCAAACAACACAACUGCAGAAACAGCAAAUAAAAGCAUGUUUCCUGUCCCUGUGAGGGUUUAUAAUGAGCUGAAUAUUGAGAAAAUUAACUUUGUUUCGACUUUGAUUCUUCCAAGUUCUCAGAUAAAAUAGACAAUUUACAACUUGCAUGUAUUUUCCCUCGACUUCUCAUCUAAUUUGCCUUGUCAUAGCGUGAUUACAUCAUGUAAUCCUGUUUAUCUCCUCCUUGCCUUGGCCAACUUCCUUUACUUUCACACCCAUUGCAGAGGACAUUUGCUUUCCCUUCAAGGAUUUUAUUUUUAUACUCUGCUUGUCUGCACUUAAUUUACAUCUUCUCCUCCAGCUUCAAAGGUUUGCCGAGGCUAUGACUUCACCUCCUUAACAGUGGCCACUUUCUUCUUUGAAGUUGCGUAUUCAUUGGAAGAGAGAUGCUGUGUCUUUUGGCUCCUUCUCCUCAUCCAGGCUGUCGGGAGAUGAGGGAAAACCACAGUUGCUCUAAUGAUUUUAUGGGAUAAACCUGAUACUUUUCUGCAUAGAAGGAGCCAGUUCACUUCCUUGCUAUGACUUGGAGAAAAAUGAUCCAAAUUUCAGGUGAAAUGUUAAGGAGCUUUGCUUCUUAGACACUGCUCUGUCAUGGAAGGUUUGGGGGCAGAAGCGGACAAGGGUCCAGCCCCACAAAUCUCCCAGCAGAGGCAGGCAGCAGGCUGUCUUCCAUUGCUGACCCCUGAUUCCCACAACAUAACCUUCCUCCUUUGCUGUGCCCACCCUGAUUGCACUUGGAGUUUACGAUGCAAGAUUUGUUUUUCAUCCUGUUCCAUGUCCUUGGAGAGAGCUCACUUUGAUGAUGGUGCCAGAAACUAAUUGUGAGGGGAACCAAUUGUAUGGGAGGAUGGCGUCCAUGGAGGCCAGAGGGCCUCCACAUCCUGCAGAGUAGGGAGGUGCCGCAAGGGGAUGUGUUUCCAGGGAAGGUUCCAGACUUCCUUUCCUGCGGACCUCUCAGAAUAGGCUGCUCAACUCCCCCACUGGAAUUACAGAGUCUUGUGUUUGGAAGGCCCUAUGGAGGCAGUUCAUGCUCUUUAGUAAUGUAAAUUCCUCGGAUUAGAAGAUCCAUGCUGUGGCCCAAUGUGGUGCUAAAGAAAAGAAGCAGCUUGGAGUUAGAUGGCCCAGAGUCAGAAUCUUGGCUCUGCCUCUGGUUGUGUUACCUUAUUAACAGUGUUAUUAACAAUAAUAGCCAACAUUUAUUGAACAUAUACAAUAAAUCACAGGACCAAGUGCUUUACCUUCAACAGCUUAUUUUUAAUCUCAAUACAUUCCAUGGGUAAAGAUCAUUAUUGCUGUUAUGUUACACAAAGUAGAACACAAACACACAACAAGGAAUCACGGAAUUAGUAAGAGUCAAAAUCAGGUCUUAGAGCAAGGUAAGGUCCUUGGGGACAUUUGCAAGUUUAUUUGUUAAACAGCUACAAGCUAUUUUCAUAUACCAUACCUUGCUAAGCCUUGUUUUCUCCUCUGGAAAAUAGGGAAAUAAUCCUAUUUAUAGAUUGACAGGAUUCAAUAAAUCUGUGGCCAGAUUGUGAAAGUGAGUAGCCAACCCCCCGAGAAUAUACAUUUUCAGUAGAAUCGUCAAUGCUUUUUUCUCCUUUCUUCUGCAAAAUUACAAACCCUAAAUCUCACCUUGGUGGACAAAGAACAUUGCUGUUCCAUGUGUCCACAGGAGAAUGUUUGUUGAUUGGUCCCAGCUAUUCCAUGGGGUGAGUGACUUGGAUGUUCCCAGUCAGUCCCUUGAGGGCCGAGGCAUGAAGGGGACCCAGCAGCGCAACCAGGGAUUUCCUCUGUCCUCUGGGCACAUCCCACUUAGCACUAGGCCCCAUGCAUGUUGGCCAGAGGAGACUCCUGUUACACAAUAUAUUAAUGAAAUGUGGUUCAAAAGGGCACCAAUAAGUAUUACACAAGCUCCCGCUCCUUCAGGGUGAAGAAACUUGAGUAGACUUCUGGCUCCAAUCAAUGUCGUAGCCCUUGGAGUUCCCAGUGGAGGAACCCAAGCCUAAGGUCCACUUUGGCCUUGCUUCCCUAAGGAGCUUUUAUUGGCUUGCUCCAUACAAUUCUCACGAUGGUCCUCCAAUGUCCGUGCCCCCACUGGACACACAGGAAAAUGACCCUCAGCCAGGAUCAGUAGCUUACUCAACACCAUGCACGAAGGAUUGAAGCCAGAUCUGUCUUAUGUCAAAGCUCUUUACAUAGCUCCACUUUCCAUGAUCACACUGGUCUGUCAGUCCAGAAGGCAAUAUUUAGUUAUUUACAUACUGAGUAUUUAGGAUGGGCUAGAUAUAGAUGCUGGUGAUAUGCCUAUGAAUAAAUACAGCUAUUCUUUCCUCAUGCAGAGCUUACAAAAAGAAUUCAGAAAACAGACAGUGACAAACAAGCUUAGCACUAGGCCCCGAAACUCACUUACUAUCUAAAUAAUCUGCUUGAUAUUCUGUAACAUUACUCCGAGUAUAUGAGAUGAUAGGUGAUGGCAAGUGCUAAGAAGAAAAUAAAUGCUGAGGUAACUUCUGAACAGAAUUUGGAUGGAGUAGAAAAGUGAUUUCUAUAGAUAUUGGAGAAGAGCAAAUCAGGAAAUGAUAUAAAAACCCACAGUUGCCCAUGCAGGAGGGUACUUGGUGUGUUUGAGGAGGAGCAUGGGGGCUGGCUAGAGAUAUCUAGGUGAAAGGGUCAUCACCAAUGAUCCCUGAAAAGCCAUUGUAGGGACGUGGUCCUCUUUUCUGAGAAAAGAUGAGCUGGAGAUAAGAAGCGAAGUGGUGGGACAUGUGGUACAAGUUCAAUGAGUCAAUAAGGGAUUGAAUUCCACAGACGGCUCCCAAUUCUGGCUGUGCAGCAGAUCCCCUACAAUCAGGUUCAAGACCUAAGUGUCCAGGCUCCACCAGAGAGCAUGCUUCAGGUGACCUGCAGCACAGGUUAGGUUGGUAGUCCUGAUGCCUGGCUCUGUUUGGCAACCACUUCCCUAGAUGCACUCUAAGACUUUUUUGAUUUCCUUCCUUAUAUAUAAUCUUGACUCUGUCUAGGGUAUUUUCAUAUUGUAAAUACAAUAUGACAUGUUAGCAUGUGUGAAAGGCUUCUGUUGUUGUUAUCUAUGAAAGCAAUUACAGUGUGAUCUCACUACUUCCUCCCUCAUCUCGGUUUCUAUUCUUCCUCUGAACACAGGGAUGGGAUUUAAAUAGCUACGGAGAGCAAAGGACUGCAUUCUAAUGCAAAAAGCACUUGGAUCAAACCUACUAUUUCUCUGUGUACAUUUUGAUGGCCUGCAAAUUGACCUGAUCAAACUGGAAACGCAUUUGCUAUCUAAAUAAUCUGCUUGAUAUGCUGUAACAUUACUCCAAUUACUCAUCCCUUCAAUAAAUUUAAUCUAUUGAUUUGGAUGCCUUAUUCUAUUUCACGCUCUCUCUCUCUUGUUCAAGAAAAGCCUCAGUGGUCUCAUAAUGAAAGUGAAAUAAACCUAAAAUGCUCAGGGCACUUUCUUUCCCUACCCCCCACACUUCUUUAUACCAAACUCAGACAUGAUAAGAAACUUGAAAAAUUGCUAUGUUUUCAGGUGAAUGAAUUUUGCAUUUGAGAAGUGACAUGGAUAGCUUUACCUACUGAGUCAUGUGUCAUGUUCUAGAAUGUGUUUCAUAUUGUGUGGUCACAAUGAAAACUCAGAUUCUGUUUUAGUCAAUUAUUUCACUGCUGUGAUUAAAGAUCUGACCAGAGCCAUGUAAAAGGAGAAAAAGUUUGUUUCGGGGCUCACAGUUUCAGAGGUUUUAGUCCAUAGAUUGCCAGCUCCAUUCAUCAGGGCUCUCUAGGUGACACUGAACAUCCUGGUGGGAGAGAGUGACAGAAGGAAGCAGAUCACAUCACCGUGAUCAGGAAGUGGAGAGAAUCCACUCACCAGAUGCAAAUAGAUACCCAAAGCCAUGCUCCAAUUCCAACCUCCUCCAGCCACACCCUACCACUCAGUUACCACUCGGUUAAUCCUUAACAGGGGAUUAAAUAACUGAUUGAGUUGAGACUCUUACAAUCCAAUUAUUUUUCCUCUGAACCUUCUUGCAUUGUCUCACAUGUGAGCUUUUGCCGGGGAACCUCACAUCCAAACCAUAACAGAUGCCUAAUCUUUUAGAGAAUCAUUUUGACCAUGAAUUCUUCUGGUACUAAUCAAUGAACUUCUUCUAUUAAGUACCAUCUGUAAAUACUUUCUGUUUACAGACCUAUCUGCAUUGCAACUGCUCAGCUUUGCCAUUGUGGCAUAAAACAGCCACAGACAGUAUGCAAAUGAACAGGCCUGGCUGAGUUUCAAUAAAACUUUAUGCAGAAACAGGCUGUGGGCCAGAUUUUGCCAGCAGGAUAUAGUUUGCUGAAACCUAAUCCAAUCUAAUUUCCCUAGUUUUCUUUUCAUCUUAGAUGAUGAAACUGAGGCCUAGAUGUGAUAUUUGACUUGGACUAGCUGUAUCACAUCUCAGAUGAGAACCUGCAAUUUUGACCCUCAGUUCAGUGUUCUGCUAGCUACAGCAGGUGGGCCUCUCCCAGGCCCUCGUACUGUCACGCAGCCCCAGGAACUCCCUCUUAUAACAUAGAGCUAGGAAUGAGGAGUACCAGCUGGUGAAGUUGAUUGGGCAUGAGCCCACUGCCAGGAGUCUUUGUGUCUAUUACCUCUCCAUCCUGUCCCUGUUCUAGUCUGGGGCUCUGAGAGGCACUUCUCACCGAAUCUGUUUUAAAGAUGCAUUACCUUCUGUAGCCACAGCAGGUAAGAACUAAGACUAAAAGAACUGCCCGUAUGUAUCUUGCAGUCAGCUGGGAAGAUGGCACUUGUCCUGACCUGAGUUGCCCUUUAGAGGCAAUGCGUUACCCUCUCUUUUGAAAAAAAUGUGUCCUUUCAAAUAGCUUCCUAUUUGCUUUCCUAUAGUACCACUGAUUCUAGCUAAAAAUUCUUUCUUUGGGGCCUACACCCCAUUUGUUUUGCUUUUUUGAGAAGUGGGAUAAAAGCAAGUGAAUUGUUUGUGCCUAUGCAACAGGAAACUCCAAGUUCCAAUAUCCUGCAGAUCAUACAGCCUAGCUCCCAAAUAUAUAUUUGGAUAUAAUUUUGUAGUCUUGUUAUGUUUAUCUUCCUCUUUUAUUUUGCCUUGCCAUAAAACGAUGCUUAUGUUUAUUUCUUACUUUUUCUUAUAGGAAUUUCUCAUAUGGACUUGACUUUAGACCAGAGUCAGGCAAGUUCUGGAACUUGCUGUAGGAAUGUCACUUCCUGUUUAUUAACAAAGGAUGGAGGACAAUAGUUUCUCCUGCUAAUUGCAACCCUCUCUACUCUGUGCUACUAACUCAUCAACAAAGAUUCAACGGCUGGGUUGUGCUCUUUCCCCCUAGUUAGAAUGACCAUGCCUAUAUUUCAAGUUAAAUCCUGAAUUCCAGAAUGAUUUGCUUCCUUCUCAUUUUAAGAAUAAAAUCAGAAGUAAAGACAUUGGUGGACAUUUGUGGAAGUGCUUUGCAAAUACAAAAUAACAUGUUUAUUGUCACUUUUAUUGUUUCUAUUUUCAGCAUGCAAUCUAGGCUCCUUUGUUGACCUGUCAAGUGUCUAGAUACUAGAACAAGAAGAAACAAUUCAAUAUGUUUUUUAGCAUCUGGCUGUUGGACCUCCCAUUUCUUAAGUGUGAUGAAUAAAAUGCAAUUCCUUCAUUAUUACUAAAACAAAUUGUUUUUAGUGAUUUAAAAUGUUUGAAGAGAAAUACAGCCCUGCCCUUUUAAGGAUCAAAAGCCAUUUGUAUAAGCAGAGAAAAUAAGGUUGUAAAAAUCCCAUGUAACAAAAGCUGUAGUUAAAAGGUGAUUUCAGGGCUGGGGACACAGCCCAGUGGUAGAGCACUUGCCUAGUCCAUGCAAAGACCUGGGUUAAAUCUCGGGCAAUCACAAAAACAAACAAACAAACAAACAAAUACUUAAGUGUAUGCAAACUAAAUUCUGCCAAACAAAGUAGUUCAAAGAAACAAUGUAGACCUAUGAUUUUCUACCGACCUUUUUAAAAACUGAAGUUAAGUAUUAGAAUACUUACUGAAAAAAAAAAAAUCAGAGAGGAGUAGUGAUGUUGGAAAUUGUCCUUCCUUAUAAUAGCAGUGUAGAAAGGUACAAUCUGGGGUCAUGGGUGAGGUGACUAAAUAAAGCCAAAUGUUUCACUUUUUAGGUUUUACUUUUUUUUUUUUUUGUAAUGCUGGGGAUCAAACCCAGGGUCUCACCCAUGCUAGGUAAGCACUUUACCUCUGAGCUAAACCCCCAGCCUACAAAAUAUAUUUUUAUUGAUAGUCCUAUCUAUGAUAAUCAAAACAGGCUUAUUUAGUCUAAUAGGAAAAGAGUGAGCAGUUAACAGGGUCUCCUUAAGGACCCAUAGCAUAUCAAUCUCAGUGUUUGUGUCAAUUUCUGUCUUCAGCUUUUAGUAGACUAAUUGAUUAGCUGAUUGAUUAAUUGAUUUCCUAUUAUAUGCCAGGUUAUUUCUGUUUUAUGGGCCAAUAUUUCUGCUACUAGCAUGUGACUUUGAUAUAGUUACUCACAGAAACUUUCUUUCCCACCCUUCCCUGGGUUUUAUUACUAUCUUGUCUGUUUGGGCCACUUUAACAAAACACCUGAAACAUGAUAUAUUACAAACAAUAUAAACACAUUUCCCAAAGUCCUAGCUCUGGGAAGUCCAAGAUCAAGGCACCAGUACAUUCUAUGUCCUGGUUCAUCGAAUGGCACCUUCUUUUUUUUUUUUUAAUUUUUUAUUGUUGGUUGUUCAAAACAUUACAUAGUUCUUAAUAUAUCAUAUUUCACACUUUGAUUCAAGUGGGUUAUGAGCUCCCAUUUUUACCCCAUAUACAGAUUGCAGAAUCACAUCAGUUACACAUCCAUUGAUUUACAUAUUGCCACCUUCUUGCUGUGUCCUCAAGUAGCAGAACAGGUGUCCUAGCCAGCUCUUUACAAUCUCCUUUAAGGACAUUAAUUCCCAUUCACAAGGACUCCACCCUCAUGAUUCUUAUCACCUCUCCAAAGAUCCAUUUCCUAAUCCUAUCCCUUUGAAGGUCAGGAUGUCAAUGUAUGAAUUUAGAGUUGUUCACAGACAUUCAGACCACAGCAAUGAAGGGUUCGUAUUUUAUUCAUUACAGUUUUCAUAGCUCAUUCUGCUAAUGAUAAAGUAAAGGAAUGCCAAAGUUUCAGAAGAGUUCAAUGUAGUAUAACACUGGAUGAGCUUGCUUUCUUUUGUUUUUCAAACUUUGAUCUAUAUCUCCUGAAUACUUACUAAGGCUCUGAUGACAUGCACAUAGUAGGAACACAGGGUGAGUGAACUAAGACCCAUGCUCUAGGUGGAGAAACACCAUGUGAGCAAAGAAAUGUCACAUGCUGUGGCAUGUACUUUAAUAAAAUAUAAAAGUUACUGGGCAUAGAGGAAAGGACUUGUUAGCUUCUGGACAAAGGGCCAUCCUCCCUGGAUCAGUGACCCUUGAUGUGAAUUGUGGAGAUAAACAGGGGAAUUAUUACAGCUCUCUUGUGAGACUAGCUGCAUUAUCUGACAGAUCCUGCUUUCAAGAAAAUAAAUUCUCCACCUACUGUUUUAGGCUUCAGAGACCUUCAGCUGCUUCUUCCAUUCAAUAGUCCUUUCCUAAGUCUAGACAAUGGGCAAACUCCUUUACAGCUGGGAAAUAUUUUGUCUACUUGUGACCCUAUCCUCAAAAUUGCAGGUGACUUUUGAUCAGCCUUUGUUUGAAAUCCCUCCUUAUUAUUUCUCCAGUAAGUUUCAAUGGGUCUCUUUGGAAGUAGAUCUCAUUGCAUGUUUUUACAGUAAGUUCCACACAAAUCUGGAUUCCCCAACAUCUUUCCAUGAACUCAUUUUUUUUUCCCUCUCUUUCUGCUCCAGUCACAUGAUAAGGUUAAGGAGAACAAUAGAGCAAAACAGCAGAAAAACCAUGAAGACAGAAGCACAGAGGGGGGACCAGGGGAGGACUUUCUUGAAUACAAAUGGAAGUAAACAGUGGCAAGUUGGUAUUGCAGUCAUAGCUUUCAGAUGGGCAGUAGGAAAAGACAUCCACGGGCAGGGCCAAGGGCAGGAGAGGACAGGAUGAACUGAGGACACCUCCUCAACAACCUCAGCUCCUGAGUGUGCCUGAGGGGAGGCAGGAGAUGAAGCUGGAAAACCAGGCAAGUUCCACAUCCUGAAGCCUUGUGCCUGUCACACAGAAGACUUGAGCUUCAUCCUGGACUUAGCAAAUUCAGGAUUGCAACUGGUGGUGCUGAGAAGCAAGGAGGUAAAGUGAUUUCUUCUCAAAGUUACUUUGGUGACAAUAAUGAGAAUGGAUUGAAGGGGCUAUAGGGGAGCAACAGGUUGGCAAGCUAUUGACAAAGCCCCAAACGAGGAGGGACUACAGAAGGACUGCAGUAUAAGGGGUCAUGAACGAGCAUGAAAGUGAGAAAUAUUUCUCGAAAAAUAUUUCAAAGAGGCGAGAUGGUUCAACUCUAGUUUGAAGACAUCGGCUCCUCAACUGAUGGAUUGAUGGAUUCAUUCAGCCCUCCACUUGAUGCUCAUUGUUCCACUCAUUUCUUAUGUUCCACUGCUAGGGGCCAGACAUGCAUGUGCAGGACAGAGAAUAAAAAUGAACUUUCUGCUCUCUUUCGGUUUACAGCCUAGCAGAGGGAAAUUAGAAGAAGUACACAUAGACAUAGAGAGCUAGGAGAAAUGAGAACUACAGGGCUUGUGGGGCUAGUGUGUCUUUUUCAUGGACUAGCCAGAUGGAACUUUCUGAUAAGGAGACAUUGCAAUAGCAGUCCACGGAGGGAGGGAGUAAUUUUUUUUGAAGGAACAACAGCAUCUUUGCAGUCCCUACAACAGUGCCUGUGGGAUGAUGCUGGAAGAGGAGAGGUUUGGAGGAUGAUAGAAGAAAGCGUCCUGGACCUCCACAGUCUCUUUCUCUUGGAGCCCCAGACAGAAAACCUCCCUCACUUGUCUUAUGAGAACCGGGGACGUCCCACCAGCUUCGUACAACCUGCUGGAGCGCUAAGGGCAGAGGUCCCCUGGUGUUGCUUGACCCAUGAGCACAGCAGGCAUUUGAAGGAAUCUGAUGCUUCGCUUUUGUUUUCCAUACCCUUUUUUUGCUUUAUUUCUUAAAAAAAUUCCUACGGAGGCUAUUUAUUACACAGAGGCAGUCGCGUGCACCAAGCAGAAUUGCUUUUCAUAAUAAACCUAUUCAUCUUCUGGCAUGUCAGAAAUUUCUCAAAUUGAUACUUAUAAUAAAUAUGAUUAAUACCAUAUUGUAUUUCAGUUGUUGCCAUAAAAUAAUUGGGAACAAAUAUCGUAUUGUGAUGUUGACAGUGUUGGGUCGGUUGGUGCCAAAUGGUGGGGGCAGCCAACUGUAUUUCAUUAACAACCACGUUGCUACAGUGCUAUUAAGUUUUUCAUAAUCCUUUUUACUCAAGGUUGAUCAUUCAUUCCGUUAGACAAAUUCUUGCAACAAUCAUGCUGGAAGUAAAUCUGCCAGGAAAAAUCUCAGCAAGAUGGGUUCUUGCAGGAUGUUCAGUCUCCUGCCUGUGAAAUAGGCCAAGCAGGAAGUGCAACACUGGACUCAGGGUCUAGGGAGUAGACAAGGGAUGUGAGAAAGAGCUGGGUUUAAUGACCUGAGGAGGGUAAACUUGAAUUUAGAAUGGCAGGAGACAAGAAAAGACAUGACUUUCAAAGGAAGGUCAGAUGCCUUGUGACUCCUCGGCUUCUCCAGUGUCACUUUUCUCAAGCCUCCUGCUUCUGCCACACAGUUAUUGGUUGCUCUCCAAACGUAGUGAACCCCAUCCAGGAUCCUCACUAUUACAUUAGCAAAAUGCAAUUUUUGCUUCUGUGUAUGUCCUCCCUAUCUCCUUAAAAGUCUGACAAACUCUAACUCACCCCAGAAAAUCUGUUCAAGCCACAUUUCCUCCUGGAAUCCAUCCCACUCACUCACCCACUCCUUCCACUGGGCUCAUGUAAGACCACAUGUAUUAGUCAAUACCUCUCUUACACUUGAGCCCAGUGACCUGGGUUCACGGGUACCUUGCCUUAUACACUGAGUUCCCCUUAAAGGCAGGACAGACUUAAUAUUGAGCCUAUGGUUGCUUAGCUGGAGAAAGUGCUCAGAAAAUAACUGAAUGGAACUAGACUGAGGGGAACCUAGAAAUGACCUGGCACAGCAAGAAGCCAGCGGUACUGGCCACUCCAGUGGUGUGUAGAGAAUGUACCUCCUGCACUGAGUGCAGAAGGCCUGUUAUGGACCCUGGAUAUGUAGGACAUUUCUCAUAGAUGCACCCAUGAGCUUGUACAUAGGAAGUGCUAAGGAGUAAGCCAUUUCCCUAUACUCAUGGCUUCUCAGCUUUGAAUGAAAUUUUUAGAUAAUUUCCCCCAGAUCUGUAAAUCCCUUAGCAUUACAAUAAUUGAGAUUCCUGGAUCAAAUUCUUCAUAUGCUGGUCUAUUCUUGUACUUAUUUAAUACAUGUGUACUGAACAUCCAUUAUUGGUCAAGACACUGGGCUGGGCACUGUGGAUAGAGGAAAGCUAAUGUGAGUUUCCAUUUUAAGAGAGUGGAGGACAGGCAGCCAUCAACCAAUUAACCACACAAAUAAAUAUACAAUAAUAAACCAUGGUAAAGAAAUGUUCAGGGUGCUAGGAAUAUGUUCAUGGCAGAAUCUAAACUUGUCUGAGCUGAAUUUUAAAAGUUAAGUAGAAGUCAAGUAGGUGAACGUAGGUAAGAAAUGGGAGGUACUCAGGCAGAAGGAAUAGCUUGUACCAAGCCCCUGAGGCCAGAAGGAGCACGUGGCACUUGAAUGAUAAAAGACAGGCCCAAGUGGCUGGUGCACAGGAAGGAACCCUGAGAGGCCAGUAGGGUGCAGACCAAGAGGGAAACUUUAGAGCAUGUUGUAGAGUUUAAAGUUGAGUCUUUUGUUCCAAGAGCUGUGGGAGGCCUCAUGGAAGAUUUCAUUCAGGGCUAAAUGAUAAGUUAUAUUUUUGUCUAAAAAGAUCAAUAUGGCUGCAAAAGCAAAAAGGAGUGUAGCAUUUGGUUGACAAAUCGGGCGUCUCUGACAGUGGUCCAUGUACUCAUUAAGAAUAGUAAUAGUGGAGACAGAGAAAUUGAUGAAUGCAGGAAGUAUUUAGCAGGACACGAUGACAGGAGUUGGUGAAGAACUGAAUAAGGAUGAAGUGGUCAAUGAGGAUUGACCACUGAGGAUGACCACCUUUUCUAGAGCAAAAGUGAGAUGUCACUUCUGAAGUGAGGAUUUGGGAAGCGUCUGGCCCUUCCGACUUGGGAACACCCUCAGGAUCUGUGCUUGCAUGUAGUUUCCCAGGCAUCCUCAUCAGCCAGCCCAGGUUCAUCAGACGGGCGUUCACGUCUUCUGGUCUGAUGUCCUACAAGGGCCCUCAGCCCACGGGCGUGAUCAGUGCUCCCCCAUGUUACCUUACCAGAUCUCAGACUUUGGGGGCACCUAUUGUUUUCUUGCCCUACUUGACUGCCCUGCUCAGCGUUGUUGUGGGGACCAUAUGAGGCUAUUUGUUCCAUUCAGAAGUAACUACUAGGCUCUUCCUAUGUGCUAGGCUGCGUCCUAGGCAUGGAGGCUCCAAAAUGGAAUAGCAUGCAACGUGCCGCCCCUGGAACUCAGAUUCUGCUGAGAAAGGCAGACGUGGGUUGAGGAGUCAACCAGAUGAAAUGCCAGGCCAGGUGGAGGAGGCAGCCACGAUUUUGAGGUGUGGAGAUACUUGUUGUUAGUCUUCCAAGAUGGACAAGACUGAGCCCAACAAAAGUACAAGGAGCGGUUGAGUCAAGGGAAAGCAGAGAACAGGUGACACAGAGCCUGGCACAGAAUAAGUCGUCUCUUCCCUCCUUCCUUCCUGGUCUGCUCCUGACUUCCUUGUUCAAGUCCUGCACUAUCUCCACCACUAGCUUCCGUCUUUAUGUUCUAUCUCCCAGAGAAUGUACCAGUUGCUUAGUUCAAGCUUCUAUCACUGGUCUCCGAGUCACACUGAAACAUGUCACCACACCCAGGUUUCUGUCUCCUUUCUAUCACUGUCUUCCUCUUUUCUAAAGUCCUUAGGCACCAUGGUAAGCCCAGGCCCUAUACUGAUUGAUGCUCACAGCUCAGCACUUGCCAGAAAUGCCCUCUUGCAAGAACAGCCCCCCUGUGUUUGGAAAGACUAGUACUCAUUCCCUCUUCCUGUCUUGCAUGUGUUCAGAGGCUGGGUGACUCAUACACAUUGAAAUGUAGACCUGGUACUUCAAUCCAGAUCUCCAAACUUCCAACUUCACUUUCUACCACAUCAUCUGAUCUCAAAAUACGAUUUGCCAGGGGUUAUGGAUGGUUAUGAGGUGUCCCACAAAAGCUCUUACGUUGAUGCAGGAAUACUCACAGGUAAAAUGAUUGGAUUGUGAGCGCUGUCAUCUAAUCAGUCUAUCCUAGUUUGAAUGGACUGACUGAGGGUAGCUGUAGGCCAGUGGGACAUGGCUAGAGAAUAUGGGUCACUGGGACAUGCCCUGCAAGGGUGCAUCUUCCUGUGGCCCCUUCCCCUUCCCUCUCUCUGCUUCCUGGCUGCAGGAGGUGAGCCACUUUCCUUAGCCACACCUUUCUACCAUGAUGUUCUGCCUUAUUUUGGGCCCAGAACAACAGUCGGCUGAUCACGCACUGAACCUCUGAAACUGUGAGCCAAAACAAAUUUUUCCUCCUUUUGAUUGUUCUUGUCAGGUAAUUUUGUCAGAGCAACACAAAGCUAAAGAACCAAUCAGGAAUAAGUAAUACUAAACCAAGAACACCAUUCCCACCAUAAAGACCACACACUAUCUAGAGCUCACAGAUGCCUUCACAUGUUCAGAUGUGUUUGUUAAACUUCAAACUUUGCAUCAUUUUGAAUUGGGUUAUUUUUAUUUUCAGAAGUGGAAACAGCUGGCUUUCCUAAACCCUUGGGUCACUUCACUUUCCGAGACUGUCUCCACCAAGUGUAGCUGGUCUCUCUUGAAUAAGUGUUGCAAACAUGAGUUAUGUGCUUCUGAAUGAUGUCACUGGGGAGAUCAGGCACCUUAGCUCAGUGUGCUCUUUUACCAGGCGACUGCUCAAAGUUGCUCUGUGUCUACAGAUUCCUUCUGGGCAGGAGCUUAUUGGAUGCAGCAUCUCAAUCUGGGCAUCUUUCCUGACUGCUGCGUGUAGCUGGGCAUCCCUUGUGGUUGGGUGGGAUGUGGCAGCACAUUGCGUUUCCAGUGCUCUGGAAUUCAGGAAGUGCUCCCUGAGUCAAAGUCUGCCUGUGGGUCCUCAAGAGCUGCUCAGAUUGAGCAAACUCUUGGAUCUAGCAUGGCCUCAGACCCUGCAGAAACUCUGUGGCUUUGGCCUAAGGCUCCUCCACUGUUCUUUCCCCUUAGAAAAUGCCAAUUGGCCUUUUGGGUUGCCAAAUAUCUCCUCCAGUAUGUUCUGCGAGCAUUCAGCCUAGUCCCAGAUCUGUGUAAUGAUGGACACAAUAUACCAUUUGUUUCAGAUUGGAUUCUCAUGUCUAGCUCAAGAGCUACAUGGUUUACUCUUCAUUUAUAUAUAUUUUUUGAAAAUUUUAUUUGUAAUUGACAUAAAAUUACAUAUAUGCAUGGAGUACAGUGUGAUGUUUUGAUAAAUAUAUAUACUGUAGAAUGAUUAUAUUAAGUAACAUAUCUAUCACCUCCUGUAGUUAUUAUUUUUUGUAGUGAGAAAAUUUAUUUCUAAGCAAUUUUGAAAUAUAUAUUUUUAUAAACUAUAAUCACUAUGCUAUAAAGUAGAUCUUCAAAUAUUAUUUCUCCUGUCUAACUGAAGCUUUGUACUCUUUGGUCAACAUCUUUCCAUUAUCCUCCAACUCCCAUCUUGUAUUCUCUGGAAACAACCAUUCUAAUCUCUACUGCAGAUUCAAUGUUUUAUGAUCCCAUAUGUAAGUAAAACCACAUGGUGUUUGUCUUUCUGUGCUUGGCUUAUUUCACUUGGCAUGAGUCUUCCUGGUUGAUCUAUAUCAUUGCUAAUGACAGUAUUUUCUUCUUUUUAAGGCUGAGUAAUAUUCCUUUGUGUAUAUAUAUCAUAUUUUCUUUACCUGUUCAUCAGUUUAUGGGUACUUAGAUUGCUUUCAAAUCUUGUCUACUAUGAAGAGUGCUGCAAUAAACCUGGGGUGCAGAUGUCUCUUUGAUAUAUUUGAUUUCAUUCUUUGGGAUAUAUGCCAGUAGUGGGAUUGCUGGGUCUUAUGAUUUUAGGAAUUCUAGUCAUAUGCCCUUUCUACUUUAUUUGUUAUCUCUGUUCUGCUCAGAAAUGAGACAAGAAUUAUCAAGGGAAGAGAUGGAUAUGUUUAACCUGAUUUGAACAUUAUGUAAUUUAUACAUGUAUUAAAACUUUGCAUGACACCUAGUAAUGUAUACAUUUCUGAUGUAUCAUUGAAAUAUUAAAUGAAAGUAUUAGCAUUGGAAAACUUUUCUGACUCUCCAAUUUUUUCUUAAUUUUUUUGGAGGGGUACUGGGGAUUGAACUCAAAAGGGCUUUACCACUGAAUUACGUCCUCAGCCCAUUUUAUUAGUAUUAUAUUUAUUUUGAAACAGGGUCUGUUAAGUUGCUUAAGGCCUUGCUAAGUUGCUGAGGCUGGUCUUGAAUUUGUGAUCCUCUUGCCCCUGCUUCCUGAGUCGUUGGGAUUAGAGGCAUGUGCCACAUGCCUGGCCCCUGACUCUCUAUUUGUUCUUCAGAGAAAUCCUGGCAGGGAUCUUAUAUCCCAGAAAUGCAUUCCAUCAGUCCCAACCCACCUCACAUAUUUUUGGAGAUAGAAAACUAUCUAACAAGGCUACUAUUUUGUUGUCAUUUAAUUUAGCAGUUAGAAGAGCCUUUCUACUUUUGAAAAUGCAAAUCUAUGUGUACUUAUGUUUCCUGGCCAUUAAGGCAAGUGUUGCUUUUCUUAGGUCAGGUAAAGCUUAAUCCCUCUUCCUCCCAACUGUCUGUCAAAUAUUUGAAGUCAGUGACCAUGUCUCCAUUGGCUCCUUCUCCUUCAGAAGCACAACUGGAUUCCUGUAGUAUUUAUCAGCAAAUAAGUAGUGAAGGCCCUGCCUCCUUGAAUAGCCCUACCCUUUUAAAGACUGGCGUCUGAAAAAAACGGCCUUCCUGCUGUCCAUUCCUUUGGGCUCAAUUCCUCUCUUGCCUUAGACUGAAGACCUUUGUUAAUGUAGCCUAAAAAGUGAAUGUUUUGGCAGAGCUAUGGUUUAGCUGUGGUUUGUCACUGCCAAAUCUUUUGCUGAGAUUUGAUCACCAGCACAGCGGUACUGAGAGGUAGUGCAGGUAACAGUCAGUAAUGGAUUAAUGUCUUUCUUGUGAGAUUGGAUUUGGAUUUGCUCUUAUGGGAAUGUUUAGUUCUCCUGAGAGGAGGUUGUUAUAAGUGCCCAGGCACCUCCCUGACUCUCGCAUACCUGAUUCUUUUCUGUCUGUGUCUGCAUGUCCUUCCACCAGGAGGCCCUCAUCAGAAAAAAAGCGGAUGGUGGUACCCAGCUCUUGGAGUUCCAGAAUCAUGAGCCAAAAUAAAACUCUUUGUGAGUUAUCCCAUCUCAGAUAUUCUGUUACCUCAAUAGAAAGCAGACUAUAACUGGCAGGAUCAAUGCUACAGUCCCACAGACAACACCCACCAACCCCUGUCUUCCUCACUUAAUCCUUGAGGGCUUGAUUUUGGCAUCAGGAAACUCCAUCUGAAACCCGAAUUUGGGAAACCAGUUCAAAUACCCUGUAAUUGUGAUGGAUGGGACAUUUUCCACACAGUCAGAAUGGGUGGCCACUAAGUCUUCAAUUAAGUGGUUCUGGAGAUUCUAGUCUCUGCUACAAGGGUGGGAAGUUCUUCCCAAGGAAACCAACUAUCAGGAAAGGUUUAGCACACAUAUAAACACACACACACACACGAUAAAUGUCGAACUUUGCAUAUAUACAUAUUAUAUAAACACAUUACCUGUAAUUAUAUUGUAUAUAUAACAUAUUCAUAAUAUUAUGUAUAUUAUAUACAUAUGUAUAUAUAUAUAUACACACACACAGAGUGUACAUACACUACUUGGAUACAUAUAUACAUAUUUUUAUGGCUGAAUGUGAAUUCAACCUUAUUUAAUAUAUAAGAGACAAUAAAAAAUAAUUAAACUCAUAGCUCUGACAAUUUUCAAGAGCUAUAGUCAGAGGAAAGUUAACUCUUCAACAGUGGAUUGGCUGAAGUUGAGUUUUGGAAAUAUUCACUCUAAGUAAAAAAUUGCAAUUUCAGGGGAUGAGAUAGCACUUUUUGGAUUUCUAAUCCCAAGCUCUAUGUUUGAGUUAAUAGUGUUUGCUUUUUGGUUUCUGUACUGAGGCAGAAUUGAGCCUGGCUUUAUUCUGGCUGUGACUCUGGGUGGGGCUGGGGGAUGGGAGGGAGGGGAUAGCAACAGCUGGAUUUGGUGCCUUCACAUGUACAAUCUCACCUCAUCUCACAAUCGCCCUUUGAAGGAAAGUUAAUUUCCCCAUGUUCCAAGUGAGAAAAAUUAAAAUCAGAAGGCCCCGGACCUGACUGCUGGUCGAAGGCCAUGGUCCAAGCCCCCAACUUACUAAAGGAUCUUUUGAGCAUCUCGUGCUUCAGUCUGUGGAACCCCCUCUGUCCUGCCUCCUCUGCCUCCCGAGCAGAGGUUGUUUGGAUGGGCUGAAUGACUUCAUUUCCAGUGUCGAAUGUUUCUUUUUCUUUCUCUUUCCUCCUUCAUUUCACCUUUCAAAAUAAUUUCUCCAAUAACAUUUCCUUUCCAAAUUUCCUCCUGGCUCAGGCAACAUUUCCUCUUUUAUGAUGGUAAUGUAUAGCUCUCAUCCUAAUUGGUGAGCGAGAAGGAUAUAGUUGCUCCAGGAGAAUAAUUAACUCUUUGUGAAUUGUAUGUUGAGAAAGGAAGGGAAUGAAGCCUGUUUUAGUCCAAGCAGGAAUUACAAUCCAGCAUGUAAUUUAUCAGCACAAAACAGCUUCCAUUUAGAGGAUGUUUUAAGAACGGUGUUAAAAGUAGUAAGAGGACACUAAUUUAUUCAUAUUUGGAACAUGUAAUAUUAAAAGUGCUUCCAAAAUUAAUACAGUGGGAGUUCCUUGAAGUAAAUUCUCUGAGACAUCUGAGAUUUUUACAUAUUUUAUUUAGUAUUUAUCAGUGGCCAUGACUUUAUGUUUAAGAAUGUAUUUUUCAAAAUCCUAUGUUUAGUAUAUCUUGAAGGAAAAGGCAAACAUUACUAAUUCUUUUUUUCACAUGUCAUCUAUACCAUCUGAUUAAUGGACAUUAUUAAUAAGUAGCUGAGGAUCUCUUAUAGGCCUUAGAUACGUUAAAUACCUGCAAUAGGUAGAGGCAAGAGAGAUGUGUUCCUACCCUCAUGGCACUCACAGACUCUGGCAUUAAGGGGAAGGUCACAAAUAAGUAAAAUAACAGUAAUGUCAACAACGAUGAUAGAAAUCCAAUGGUUACUAAGCCAUUACAAAUAAGAGCUAUGCUGGAAAUAAAAAAUAGAGACUAGAGUAACGGAAUUGGGGACAUUACUCAUUAGCUAGAGAGGUCAGGAAGUAGCAGGUGGCCUUAAGAUUGAGACCUUACACAUGGAGAGUGUCCAGUCAUGCAGAAGAAGAACAGAAAUAAAGAACAUUCUUUCCUCUGGAGACUAAAGAUAAGUGCUGAUUUCACAGGUGAUCCCAGAGCCCACUGAGGUGGCCACUGACGGUGCAACCUGUGCUGCUCCCCAGCUGCACGGCGGAGAUUAGAGCCUCAGAGGUCCUGCUUCCUGACUUGGAGUAGUUUUGCUCUCUGCACUGGCCUGUUUCCUGUUUUCCCCAUUUGGCCUUUUUUGCCCCUCUCUCCCUCCCUGUCAUCAUCUCCAGGGUCCAGCUAGAUUUCCCUUUUCUCUACCCCGGACAAUAUAGUUUGAAUAAACAGACCCAACAGGACAGCCUUAGACAUGUUUAUAGGGUGUGCUGGAGAAUGUCAAAAGCAAAGCCCAGGGAGGCCCCGGACCCUCAGCCAGGCAGGCUUCACGCUGUCUCUGGGUGAGAAGGCGGGUCCCUGCCUCCUCUGACUUGUGCCUGGCGCACUAAUAAUGGAAUGUUAUCUAAUUGGUGCUUCCUCCACAUCAAUGGAAAUAGGAGCACGAGACACAGAGACAAAGCGGGAUGCCAGCAGUUAAGUAUAAGUGAGGUUCAGGCCCAUCACUCCCGGGCUUUGCAGUAAUAUUUAGAACACAUCCUAAUGACUAAGGCAUAUGUCCUUGGGCGGGACAGCUUCGUAUAAGAGACAUCUGGCACGUAUUUUCUGCUCUAAAAUUAUGCACUACCCCCUCCAGCAAUUUAUAUUUCUAAGAAGAUGGGAGAGAAUGAUGAGGUACCAUUUGACAAUUUAUUUGUCAUUUAAAUAUAAAAUAAAAAUGAAAAGUCCAGAACUGAUAUUAUAUAUGGGGUUAAAAAACAAACAAACACACAUACACACAGAAUGAAGGAAGUUUGCCAAAAUAUUCACUGCAAAUUUCUUUCAUUCUGACCAUUUCUGUAAAUCUUGUGCAUUGACAUCUCAUCACUUAAGUUGUGUUUUUUUUAAUUAAAGUCAUCCCAGAAUCUGGGGAUAUCACCCUUUAUACGAAAAGCUUGACACUCUUGUUCCUCAUUUUAACCAUCUAAAAACAUUCAGGUCGGGGGUGCUGGGGUUGUGGCUCAGUGGUAGAGCCCUUGCCUAGCAUGUGUGAGGCACUGGGUUCGAUUCUCAGCACCGCAUAUAAGUAAAUAAAAAAUAAAAGUCGAUUGAAAACUAAAAAAUAUUUAAAAAAAUAAAAUAAAAUAAAAACAUUCAGGUCAGAAGAUUCCUCUCUGUUUCCCCUUAAGUUCUUAUGGGAGACAUCAUAGAACCAAAGGCAAAGAAAACAGCUCACUGCAGGACUUGCCCAAGAAACUCCUAAGGGUCUCACAGAAGGUUCCAGCACACCCCAGAGGGUCAUGAGCCAAGACCAGUAGGGAACUUCUGUUCAUAUAUGUCGGAAAUAGAAGGAGCAUGGGAUUUCCCAAUGAUACACUGUGUUGGAAGGGAAGAAAGUGGGGAAGGUUAGGAUUCCUUUGGCUAAACCAUAGUGGACACCGCUAACUGUGGUGGUCCCCACUCUCUAGCAGGCUGGCCAGUUAAGGUGUUUUCUGCUCAGGGACACUGCCCUUCCCUAAGUCAUGGAUUAUCCAUGGAGAGGCUGUCUGGGAGGAACCUCCCUGGGAAUCCCGUCCUCCUUUUUGCAAACUCCCGUAUGUCUGGUUGAAAUGGCUCCCAAGGAAGGGAUUUCAAACACUGUCUCUAGCAGUCCUCCUUCCAAAUCUGCCUGACAUCUUUGUUUGCAACUCAGUUGAGCAAAACCACCUGAGUUAGAUGGGGAGGAGUUCAGAGUUUUGCCCCUUGAUUCUCCACCAACUCUCUGAGAUGACCUCUGAGACAUCUUUGGACUUCUUGGAAUUUAAUUUGAAACCUUAAAGAAGUGCUGGCCCUCUGAUUGUGGCUUUUUUUUUUUUUUGUCAAGUUAAAUCAAUGAAUAUUUAUUGAGCAUCCUUUAAGAGCAAUACUGAAUGAAGGUCUUAAGGGCAUUUAGACACACAGAAUAGCCCAGACCUGAACUGCCCUUCCCACCUCUUCCACUCCAUGAAUGAAUUAUGCACUUAGUUCCACUGUAAUGCAAAUCUCUCUCUUCUUCAAAGCAGCCUUGUGCAUGGGGUCAGUGUUCCUGCUAUCUAACCUUUCCCUGGGCAGCCACCUCUCUCCUCCCCAGACCAGCCAGUCCACCCUCCCUGCAGUCUGAUCUGGGUGUGGUCUGAGAACACUCAUCUUGUGCUCUUUAAUUGCUCUCUUGAAUUUUGUAGCCUUUGCUUCUUCAGCCCCCUCUCUCGGGAUGUGGAGAUAAAUUCUCCUUUGCACUUGGAGCAAAAGUCAACAGUGACUGUUCCCACACUCAGUUCUGGCUCCCAGGGCUCUGUCCUGUGCUAUAAACACUUUGUCUGUAUACUUAACAUUUAUGUUAAAAUGUCUCUGAGAAUGGAUAAGAUGCAUUUUCCUCUUCUUUGGAAUUGCGACUCUCAAUACCAUGCUCUUGAACCUAGUAACACUUGAAGCAAUAGUCAUGCUUUUUCAGAGAAACUCACAUACUGAACAAGCAACCUGCCAAGAAAAAUCCAUGGCCAAAUUCUUUAGGUAGAAUCAACCCCUUGACUGACUUGAGAGUGAGUGUGUGAGUGAGUGAAGUGUGUGUGUAUUUAGCCCCUGGUUUAAUGGCACGUGUCCUUAAAACCUCUUUCUUCUGCUUCUGAAAUGACCCAUAACCAUAGGGUCAGUACUAGAACAUUUCAGAAUAUGCCACUGGUUCCAUGCUAAACUGCACAGUCAUAAGACUUUUCAUGGGAAAGACAUAACUAACUGCCAGUUACUCCAAUAUGCAAUCUUUGUUUAACAAGGCCUUUAGGUUUGCUGUAGGUAGGUGGGUAUUAUGUAUAUAUAUAUGCACAUACACACUUAUUAAUAUAUGUGUAGUAGAAAAUAAACUUAUGUAGUAGAAAACCUCAAAAGCUUAUAUAUAUGCAUAUAUAUGAAUCUAUAUAUAGAUUAAGUAGUCAGUCCAUCUAAUUUUGCCCCCAGAGAGAUACACUAAUACUUUGUGAUAUAUUCCACUUUCUGCAAUACUGCUUUAUGAAAUAGAUGCUCUCAUUCAAAUACAGUUACAUUCUAUUUUUUCACUUGACAUUCUAUCAUGGUUUCUUUGUAGUUAUCAGUGACCUCGUCAUACUUACAAUUUAAUAGUCUGUAAUGUGUCAUCAUAUGGAAUUACUAUAAUUUAAGUAUUCCUCUUGUUUGACAUUUAAGUUGUUGUCACAUUGUGUGUGUGUGUGUGUGUGUAAUAUAGCAAGAAAUAGCUUCAUGUAUAACAACAACAACAACAACAACAAUAACCCCAAUUAAAUGUAAAGUCAGAGCCUGAUCUUUAUUUUGCUGAGAUAUGAAUAGGCUUGAUUGCUUUCUAGAUGACCUGCUGCACCUACUCUUGAGAAAGCUUGUGUGUGUGUGCAGAAGCAGUAUGCAAACAAACCUGAUAAUUUAAAAGAUCAAUCAAAUGAUCACAUAUGCAACUAAGCUGACAGCAAUUAGUUUUCAAUACAUUAAAGCAAAUUUGUUAGUUAAUUAAGAUGUUCAAAUGUCUGAACCCAAAUACACAUGUCUUACUGGAAAUGGACCAAAAACAAAACAAAGCUUCUAUCUCAUGAUAGCACACGUGCAGCUAUGUGUACACAUGCUUGUCCACACAAUGAGCAACGACUUCACAGACACACUGUAUCGUAUUUCAAUCUAUGGAUGCUACUAAUUGAAGUAUAAUUAAGACAUAAUGAUUUGGAGAAUGCCCUUUGGAGUCAAACUGUCUAAAUCCACUUGUCAGUUCUUCCAUUCUUGCUAACUCUGCCCAUUUCACCUGGUGCUUUGGCCUCUUGACACCACAGUUUCUUUAUCUACAAAUGAGACUUAGACUUAUGUGGGUCACCAUCAAUUCUUUAGCAUAGAAAUAAUGAGAUAAUUCAUGUCAACUCCUUAUCCCUGUCCUUGAGGUCUUCCUCUUUGAUUGGGGCUUUAUUUUUUUUUUUUAAAAUUAGACUCACUUCCUCCACUCUUGUGUGAAAGAUCUGGUUUUCACUUCAGUAUAUGACUUGAUUUCUAUAAGACAAAGAUCCUCAGAGAACCAUAACAGAAAAUCUUGGAAAGAAGUCCCUUCUGACAGGGGAGGCCCACUCUCUGGCUUGGACCUUUUCAGAACCACUUUACUCUUUGGGUCGUUAAUUUAUUGAUAAGACAACUCGUGAAUCUCCACUGUGUUCCAGGCACAACACUAAGUGUGAGGGACUCAGAGACAUAACGACAUAGUGCCUGGUGACAUGGAGGCCCUGGCACACAGCAGCACACAUGCUUUUUGGAGUAGUGCAGUGCUUCCUUUUCAAAGCCUAAAGCUUGUGCAAAAUCUGUUUGCUCGGCGUAAACAGGAGAUGCAGUGAAAUUAAGAAAACAAUACUUACUAAGAGGUGACAAAGAACUGAAGGCAGAAGUAUGAGCAGUGGUCAGUUAGACUCUUUAACAGAGCAGGUAACUGCACAGCAAGAAACUGGUCUGAGAAUCCACCUUGGGACCAGCAUUCUGCCUGUUUUCAGGCCCCCAGGUGACUCUCAGAGGGUGCUACUCCCUGACUCCCUUUCACAUCCUCUGGCCUCCAGAAAGCCCACUACUGACUUCUUUGCCCGGUCUCAAACUGAAUGCAUAAGGACUUUCCCUCAGGUAAAUGUCAAACUUUUCCUUAAGUUAUUUUUCCAAGGCAGGAUGGAUUUUUCAGGGUCAGGGAGCAGUGUUGCCAGACAUCCUCUGAGACCAAGUGAGCUGUUGCCACCUGUUACCAGCCCCGUUUACUUCCCAAACCAAUAACCACGAUGGUGGCUUUCUCCAUACCACUGGGGACAAGUCCUACAUGUCCCAGAGCUGCGUGCAGAGCAACCAAGGGACAACGUACAACAUGAGCAGCACAAGUGAGCCACACGUGACAUUUAUGUUUUUAGUCAUCAUAUAUAAAAAGGGAAAUUGUAAUUUAAGUAACAUGUAAUUUUAAUAACAUGGUAUUUAACUGAAUAUAUCAACAAUGUUGAUAUUUAAUACAUAACCAAAUAGAAGUCACCGAGAUAUUUUGCUUUCAAUUUUUCAUACCAAGUCUUUGAAAGACACUUUGUACUUUACACUCAGAGCAUUUUUGAAAUUCAGACGAGUCACAUUUCCAGCGCUCUACAGCCACAUGUGACUAGAGUGGCCGUGUUGGGUGGCUCAGGCCCUGGAAAUCCCUUCACCACACAGCAGGGCUAACAUACAUACUGCAGGAAUUCUCCCACCCAUCACUACAGGAGGGUCACUCUCUCAUAACCUCUCACUUCCUUUCUCCCAUGUACCCUUCCAGGACUAAUAAAUCAUAUCCUCAUUCAAGCACCGUACCCAAAGGAUGUUCCCACAAUACGUUCAGGAGACUACCAUCUACACUGCUCUGCCUCAACCCAACUCUCCCCAAUGAAGUCAUUGUCACACAUUUCUACAGCUAAUGUCUCAAGACGUCGUCUCCCAGCAAACAUCACUGGGAAUCUGAUUGUCCAUCAUCCUGAGCCAAAUAUGCAUUAAAAUAAGUGAAUGUAGAAUAUUCUCCUUCUGCUUUGGGCCUCACCCUGCUACUAAACAUAAACAUCUCUAUGGCUUUGCCUGUGUCUUUGCUGAUAACUUUAUUCUGUUAAAUAAAUUUUUUGUCUAGGCAGAAAACUGUUUUGAAGGUUGAACAUGGGGUUGUUAUGGUACAUGAUUAAAUUGAUUGGUCUCUAAGUUCAAAUAGUCAAACCAGUCCUGUGAGUAGAUAAGAAUAAGUAUGGACAAGAGGAUCCCUUGGGGAUCAUAUGUUUGUACAGAGCUAGUUCUCACUUUUCCUUUCUUUGGUCUUUUUUUAUGAGGAAAAAAUAAACUUAUCAAAGAAGAUCCUAUCACCGGUAUAUUAAAAAGUAGUUUGUUAACCAUCUCAUUCAAGCUUUGCUCUUUUUGAGAAGUCUUCCUGAGUUCCAGUCCUCCCUCUUCCACUGAUCAGCUGUGUGGCCUUGGAUCAGUUGUUUAACUUCUCUGAGCUUCAGUUUCUUUACUAAUGGUGUCUAUGGUUUUUGGCACUGGGUUUUGAACCCAUGGCCUAGUGCAUUCUAAGCAAAUGUUCCACAGAGCUCCACCCCCAGCCCAGGGCUACCUAUUUCUUAAAGCUGUUUGGGCUAAUAUGCAAACAUAUCUUGCAAAGUUAUCUACCAAGCAUUAAAUGUUGCCUAUUAUUACUCCAUAACUGCUUUUUGGAUUUUGUCCUGUCAUUGACCACUGCCAUCUUCUCACGUAAAUAUCUGAAACAUUAACAAGUUCCAAACAAGAAGUUCCUUUCCUGCCUUCGCAAUUUCUAUCUGUAUUGUCUCCUGUUAAAGCUCUCUCAGAACUUCACAGGUGUCUUGGGACAUCCUCUGUGGUUUCCUCUGAUCCGUUUUCUCCUGAUGCUUUGCUUUCACGCCUGCUCCAGGAAAAUCAAGAGUAUAUCAUAACACUCAGAGAGCAUGGAGCUGUCCCGGCUCUGAAUUUUACAAGCUGAGUGAUUUGAAAUUGUUCUUCAGCCUACAAUCCUCAGCUUCCUGAAAUGCAGAAUAUUUUAAUGCCUAUUUCAUAUCAUAAUUUUAUUAAAUCCUCUAGUAAAAGUGGAAGAGAUUCAUCUGGAGCCUGCAACCAUGCAAUUACUAACUGCUCUCUGUGCUCAGACUCCUUGAACUCAGGGCGGGAAGUAAGUCUCUUUGUCCAUCACUUUGAAGAACAUUUUCCUUGUGUGUGUGAUACUGAGGAUUGAACUCAGGGGUGCCUAACUACAGAGCCACAUCCCCAGCCCUUUUUAUGUUUUAUUUUGAGACUCUGUCUCAUUAAGUUGCUUAGGGCCUCACUAUGUUGCUGAGGCUGGCUUUGAAUUUAUGAACCUCUUGCUUCAGCCUCCCGAGCUGCUGGGAUUACAGGGUUGUGCCACUGUGCCUGGCUGUAGAACAUUUUCUUUCUUCCCCUCAGAAACCCAGAAUCUCAGUCCUUAAAGUGACUGGAGCAGUUAUCAAUUGCAAUUUCCUUGUCCAGUGGUUUCUUUCCUCCUAACAAUCCCCUCCUCCUUGAUUUUAAGAGUUUGUGACGAGGAAGGUUUCCACCUUAGCAUCAUCACUGUAAGGAAAUUAUUUGCUUGCUGGCGGAAACCCCCUCACUGUUACUCUUCAAUGAACCGGGCCACACUUCCUGAGAUGCUUUGGAAAAUGAUAUCCUAAAAGGACCGCUCUACAGCCACCUGCUGUCACCUUAAUGUACCAGAAAGCCAUCCCUGUAUGUGAAGGAAGCCUCAUCAGAAUCGAGUGAUGGCAGUCAGGAGCACCAUGCUAUGUGUGUAGACAAUCAUCAGAAAGAACCAGCUCAGGGAACGCUGCACUGAGCAAAUGGAGGUGAAAUGGCCAAUCUGUCAGACGGCAGCGGUUUCAGUGCCCAGUGGUAGUAUUUGUUCUUGAAAAUUUAUGAAAAUAUUUUGAGAAUUGUAGCCAAGCUGAAUCAGUCUUAGGAACAUUGAUGAAUCAUUUCUGUCUGAAGAACAUUAAAAUAUAGAAUUUUCUUCCACCCAAAUCUCAUUAAACUGUCAGAUAUUUUUCUGCCUUUUCCAGUAACUUAUCAAGAUAUUUAUGUGAGUGUGUGCGUGUGUCUAUAUAUCUUGAUAAUCAGCUCUGAUGGGAGAGGAAAUGCUGGAAAAGUGUUUGGCAGUUUAAUAAGCAUUUGUGACAUCUGUUUCCAAGGCUCCCCCAUGUGCUGCAGUAGCUUGUUAAAUUCUGGUGGCCCUGCAGAUUCAAAUAUUUCACACCUCCUGGGUGGCAUCCCCAGUCUUUCUUGGAGUUUUGAGUAUCGCACCACUUUGACCUGACUCAGAUUCCCAAGUCCCCGGGGCAUUAUUCUGCCAUUCAAUCAACUCCUGUGUUUUGUGGUAUAAAUGUCAUAUAAUAGAAAUCCAAAAAUUUCAGAUGUAGAUGUGGAGUACUUUCUAUCAUUCGGUUCCAUUUAAUCAUUCAGCUAUCGAUACAGCUUCCUGAGGCCCAUUCAAAUCUCUCGUCUCCUGGGCAGUUUCUAGAGAUCCCAAGAAUACUUGCUUUGGGUUGAAGUUUUAAAUUACGAUUUCCAGCCAGUAGGUUCUCUGCUCUCCAGGGUUGGGCAUGGCUGGGGAGUGAGUGAGUGUUGAUGGGAGAAGUGACUGAAAACCACAAAGGGCAGGAAGUAGUAGGAAGAGGGCUGACUUCACGGGGCUCCUGGAAGACGUCCCAACAGGUGCCUCAUUACAUGUUACGUCUGUCAGUCCCAGGCGUCCCCGACAAGUGGACAUUGUGACUCCUCAUUCUAACAACGAGGACUGAGCUUAGAGAAGUUAACUCCCCUGUCUAAGUGGUGGAGUCACCACAGGAUAGAGGUCUGGGGGUCUCCAGGCCAGGCUUUUCCCUCUAUUCUACUCAACUCUGGGUGGUGACUCACCUCCUUUUUCUCUGCACAGACACAGAGACACCUGGUGGGGCUGUAGCAAGUGGCACCUUCAUGUGACACCCCUCCUCUAACCCACAUGUGUCUGGGACCACCGGGACCACUUUAUCAUCAAGGGACCACCAUUAGCAAGGGUGUCUCAGGCCUCCUUGUUCACGAGCAGCCUGUGGAGCAGGGAAUGUGGCAACAACCAAGGGUCAAGGGGACUUUUAUAUGGUCAAUAUCAGACUCUUCACCCAGACUCAAGCUUGUGAUCUUUAUCAUAAGUUAUCAGGCAGAUUUGUUUUGAGGUACACCGUGGGGUCCUGGGUUGUGUCAGUCAGCUUUUUAUCAAGUGAUCCAAAUACCUGAUAAGAACAACUUGGAGAAGGGAAGGUUUAUUUCAUUUCACAGUUUCAGAGGUUCAAGACAUGGCAGGUGACUCCAUUGCUCAGGGCCCAAGGGGCGGCAGAACAUGACGGUGGAAGGGCAUGGAGGAGAAAAGCUCUUUACUUCAUGGCAGCCAGGAACCAGAGGGAGAGGAAGAGAGGGGGAAGGGCAAAGGGGACAAGACAUAAUCCCCCAGCACAUGCCCCAGCAACCCAACCUCCUCCAGUCAUGCUCCACUGACCCUGAGUUACCACCCAGCAUAACAGUCUUUUCACUUUAGAAUGGGCUGGUUAGGCUGCAGCUCUCACAAUCUAAUCAUCUAUCCUCUGAAUGUUCCUGCAUUGACACGAGAGCUUUUGGGAGACACCUCACACCUCAUAUAUCCAAAGCAUAAGGUUGCAUCCCUGGCCUCCAAAAGUUCACGUCCACUUUACAGUACAAAAUGCCUUCAGCCCAAGAGUCCCCAUAGUACUAACAGUUUCAGCCCAGAAGUUCAGGUUCCAAGUUUUUUUUUAUGAGACCUAAGGCAAAUUCUUGGCAGUGAGUUCCUGCAAAAUUCAGAAGCAAAUACAAACAAAAGCAAACACACACACACACACACACACACAUAUAUUUCAAAUAUAUAAUGGCACAGAGUAAACAUUCCCAUUCAAAAAUGGAGAAAUAGGGACAUUGAAAGAAGGAAUGAGACCAAAACAAAACCCAAAUACAGCCAGGCAAACACUUCCUAUAGCUUCACAUCCUUCACCUAAUGCACAUGGUGGUGAGAGGCGAGAUACAAAGGGUUUGGUCAGCCCUACCUCUUUGGCCUUUCUGGUUGCAGCAUUCACAUCCUCUUUCUUAGACUGUCUCUGUCCACAGACAGAGGCUUUCCAUAGCAGAUGGACCAUAUUACUGCGAUCUCUUAUCUCUUGGGGUCUCCCUUCUAGCUUCAGCUUCACCUUAAAAUUUUUAUGCAUCACCCUCUCAGGGGCAGUCCUCAGGGACUAUGACACUGCAACACUUUGCCUGGUCUACCAGGCCCUCUUUUAAAAUCUUGGUGGAAGCCUUCAUGAUCCCUUAACACCAGCAUCCUGCAUUCCUGUGGAUGAUGCUAAAAUCUGCUGCCAGCCCAUGUAGUAGCUACACUGCCUGGGAUCAUGGCUGUAGCAGCCUCUGUGUGCCUGGGUGGCUAGCAUGGUAAAACAACUUCCUCGCUCCCCACCCACAUAAGCAGGGAGCUUGGAUCUCUUCUGAAAGGAAUUUUUAUUUUUACACUCUUGAACCUGCUACCAGUGUGUUUUUACCAAUAUUGAGAUGCCCUCAAGCCAUCUUUCUUAUUAUUUCUGUGCAAAGUACUUGCAUCUUUUAAUGUAGAUAAUCUCUUUAAUGACCACAACUUCAUCGGCCCCAGUUUUAACCAACAAUAUUCAUACCACCAUGUAAACAGUGUACUGCCUUGGAAUUUCUUCCACCAGAUAAAUUAGCCCAGCAUACAAUGUCAGGACACAGGCAAAAUUUACACAAGUCUUUUCCAGAAUGUAACAUAUAUGGCCUCUAGUCUAAUUCUGAGUAGUCUUAUUUCCCUCUGAAACUUUACCAUAGUCUUUACUGUCCAUAUUCCUGUUGACAUUCAAGUCUUUUGCCCUCCUACAGAGUUGACCAUUAAGCUUUGCUUACAAUAUUCUAAGGAUUCUUUAGUUUACACCUUCAAACUUUUCCAAAUACCACUUACAAAAGUUUCUAAACCACAUGGUGAGUCACAACCAUGAAUUCAUUCCUGAUAUCAAUUUCUGUGUUAGUUAGCAUUUUGUCACUGUGACCAAAAUAUCUGACAAGAACAACUUAGAAAAGGAAAAUAAAUUUUGGCUCAUGGCUUAGGAGGUUUAGUUAAUGGAUAGCUGACUCCAUUGCUUUGGGCUCACUGUGAGAUAGAACAUCAUGGCAGAAGGGUGUGGUGGAAGAAAACUACUCCCCCCAUCAGCUGUUCCUCAUGGGAUGUGGAUUUGAGCUCCAGAAGGCAGAGGGAGAAAGAGAGGGAAAGGAGUGAGGGGGUUAAAUAUAAGCCUCUAAGGCAUGUUCUUGCAUCCCACCCCCUCUAGCCAUGCCCCACCGGCUCAGAGUGACCACCCAGCACAGUGGUCCUUUUAAAUUAGAAUGGACUGAUUAGGUUAUGGCUCUCAUAAUCUAACCUCCAAACAUUCCUGCAUUGCUACAGGAGUUUUGGGGGACACUUCCUAUCCAAACCAUAACAUAUAUACAGAGUCAGUUUGUUCAGUUGUAAAUUAAGAUAUUAAUGCCUACAUUAAGAAUGUGAUGAUACCUAAUAAAAUGUUGUAUAUAGCAUAUAUAAAUAAAUAAAAUGUUGUAUAUAGCAGUAAAUGUGUGUAUGCACUAUUCUUAAUGCAGAUAUAAGGAAGAUGGCAUGCUGACCAUGUUUCAGACAUCAUUCUUAGUACUUCAUACAUUUUAAUUUUAGCAACUUCUCAAUUAACCCAUGACGAAGUUCCUAUUAGUAGGAUCAACUUACAAUUGGAGAAACAACAUAGAUGCUGAUAAUUUGUAUCAAAGAGUUAUACAUAGUACUGAUUUGCCAUUAUUAACUAUGAAAUUGAUUAUGAGCACUAAUUAUAAACUAUUGAUAUUAUCUCAUAGUUAGUGAAGUAUCCCCCCUCCUUUGCCCCACAUGACCUAAUUUAUUUAUGUAGUCUAUGAGACGGAAGGUAGACCCAUUCCAUCCAGCACCCCACAGGAACUGCAUCUGCAACUCCUUGGUUACAUGUUGUUUCAUGCUCACGAAAUGAUCUCUCCCACCAGAGUAUAUUUGGAAAGUCCAGAUAGCUCUUCCUUCUAUCUAGAUGAAACCUGCCUCUGUUUCAUUUCCACCCAGGUCUCCUGGAUUUGCCUUCUGGAGCCUGGUUAUCACCAUUUAAUCCUCUGCCCCAUAUUGCCAUUUUAAAUAUUUUAAGGCUGUUAAUGUCCUCUUCCUGUAGCUCCCUUCCUUCAGUCCAAAUGUCCUCAGCCUCAUCAGCUGAUGUGGAUUUUGAGCUCCUCAAUAUUCAGGCCACACCCUUUUGCACAAUUCCAGUUAGGCACACCCUCUUCAGGAGAUGAACAGGACCAAGAGUGACAGUCUGGCUGGAAAUAGGAGUGGUUUGGCCUGGGAGAAGUGAAGUGCUGGUGUCUUUCCAGCAGUAUGGAGAUUGGAACUGCGGGACCUCUCUGAGGUGAACGUUUCUAGGCUGCGCUUUGGAACUAUUAGUUAUUUUCUUGUGAAUAUGAAGUGAGAUAAUGAACAUCAUCAAGGCCCUGACAUAGUGUUCCUUCCUUCAGUCUUUCAUUUUAAACUCUAGGAUAAUAAAGACUAUUCUCCAAAUAGUAUAAAGAACCAAUAAUACAUGUCCUUGAGAUUCAGACUGGGAAAACAAUCUGUGAUGUGAUGUGAUGGUACAUAAAUUCUCAUAUAUGCAGUGGAAUAAUUUUUAUUAUAUCAAAUGUUCUUUGUAUAUAAUUAGCUAGUAUUGAAAUGACUGGUUUGAUAUGUUCCAUAAGCUUGAAAUUCUCCUUUGAUGCCAGAUACCAAACUUAUAGUGGAUAUUAAAUAACAUGUUCAAAGUACUUUGGUCAGUGUCUCGUAUAGAAGGAGCACAAAUAUUUCAAGCAUUGUGUGAUCAUCAUUACUGUUAUUGUUGUUGUUAUUCCUAUUACUAUAUUAGCCAUUUAUUUCAGCUUAUUGUUCAUUGUUUGCUGAUUUGUUUUUGAGUCUAAUGGUCAAACAUUAAAGCAUCCCUUAACAAUACUGUUCUCAUCCUGGCAGAACAACUGGUUUAUCCCUUAAUAAACUUCCAAACUACUGAGGGUGAUGCACAUAUAAAUAACAUCCUCUAACACUCUUAUAAACCUUGUGUUAUAAACACAAUGAUCACAUAUUUUUAGAAAGUUAAAAGGAAGAAAUCAAAGAAAGGGUUAACUAGCUUGCAAGAUGAUCAGAGAAGUCUAAAUAUAGAAUAUAAUGCCUGAUCUGUAUUAUAUGGAAUAAAUUAGAGUUUUCCUAAUUGGGCUUUUUGACCAAAAUGAACAAUUAAAUAAAUCAUAUAAAGCAAAUAUUUCCAUAUAAAUAUUUUCAAAAUGCUUGUCUUCACAGUGUAACUUUCUCUUGAGAGCACUUCUCUCACUGUGCAAAUGCCACUUUUACCUUGCAGGGACAGAUCCAGUGGGUUUAUUUUUACAAAUGUAUCUGCUGGCUACUGACAGUCACUUCUCAUUUACAGAGAAGGUCAGCAAAUUUGGAACAUUGGCCUUUUUGUAAGAGAAGUGGGAUAUCUCUAUCAUUCUGCACUUCCUUUUAAAACAUUGCCAUAAUAUUAUUUUCACAAAAUCAAUAAUAUAAAAAAGAUUUCUAUGAUCAUUUCCCAUCUCAGGGAAAAUAUUGCAUGUCUUUUACUGAUUUUUCUUGUUUUAGGCACAUCAACCACAUUAAUUGCAGGUGAUGUCGCAUUUUGUCUUCUUUCAACUUCAACUUUGGUGCAAUAGCUUAUCUAUGAUAUAAGGAAUAAAUAACUUUUAAGUAUGUAUUGCUAUUUGUAAACUUAACCCAAUUUUUUCUCUUUAUCUCUAAUGAGAGCAUGUGCUCUAAUAAUGAUUAUAAUUAGGUAUUUCUUCUAUAAUGUAUUGUGCUUAAGUUAACUACUAUUUGCAAGGGUGUCUUUGUUACAGGAUCGUGCAAAGAAUUGGUUUUUCAUAUAAUUUAAUCCUAAAUGUGACUAAUGAAAAUUCUAUAAGCAGAUACAUGUUAAAAGCCCUUAUACUUUCAUUCAGCCAUAGAACUCAGAUUCUAUCUACUGUGCAAUUGUUUGAAUGUUUACCUCCUUAAAUUUUCAGCAAUGUUGUCUAGCACAGUAGAAUAUGUUGAUGACAUGAAUACUUUUUGGCUUUUUAACCAUUUGCUUUCCAUCUAUCAUGUCACCCUUUAUGGUGGAACAGGAUUCAGCCACAAAAAUUUUAUAUUUUGCUAUAAUUUAAACAAAAGCUUCUAAAUUAUCUUUAAGUUUAUCAAAAUUUUUUAAAGUAUUUGACUGAUUUUUUUUUAACACAUUCCUUAAAAAGUACUGUUAAGAUCAGUCCCCGUGUUCUUUGGUCUUGCUUCCAGGACAUCUUGCCGAUGGUGAUGGUCACUAUCUGGUCACUAUCUGAUUUUCUCCGGAAGAGAAAUGCUGAGGUGAGGCUCACAGUUAACAUCAAGGGGUGUAAAUCCAUGUUGCAGAUAGAAUUCUUGAUCAUGUCAAUGUUUGAACUAGUUUCCUGAUAGCUCUCAUUACAUCUUUCCUGCUUUUUCCUACUAAUUCACCCCGAAAAACCUUGGCCAAGGAUUCUGAGAGGUACUCACUCAGGUGCUCUUUUCUACUUAUUGCUUUGUACCUAAAUUAUUAGUAUUUUGUCUUUUCUUUUAGGAAGCUUUUUAAGCUACUGGUCCAGAUUGUGAGGGCUAGUUCAAUUAAAACUCCAUAACACAGUCUCUAACUCCCAGAGCAGAGCCCGGUGGCUAGCUAACGCCUGGAGGAAGCACAGAGGCUGAGAGGCUUGCCUGAGGACAGUGGGGACAAGAGGAAGAGAACUGCUAUUUAUUGAGCAAAACAUCCCUGCCCAACUGAGAGUUUCCCUUAUGCAAAGUUUAAUUACAUGCAAAUUUACAUCUGUAUGUUUUUUGGCAACUAUGGAGAUUUGGGUUCCAGUAUAUGCAAGUUUUGUAAUAUCUAUUAUACAUGAUUAGAAAAGGUGUAGGAAAUAGAGAUAAAGCAGUGUAAGACAAGUUUAAGGAUUUUUUAUUUUAAAUUUGAAAUGUUGAAAAAGGUGAAACGAAUAAGAAAAAAUAAAAUUGAAUUUUAGAAUUGCAUUCUGCAGGUGUCCAACAGGUGUGGAGUAGGUGUGCCAGGUGCUGUUGGGGCAGGUCCCAGGGAGGCUGGGUGGGGGAUAGAAGGCAUUAAAACUUGUCAUCAGAAAACCCACAGGCAGGGUUUAGAGGACUCAGGCAGGAAGUACAAGCUGAUAAGCAAACAAGUAUCCUAAUGUGCCAAGGUGAGGACAUACUUGGAACAAAGUAGGAGUUCUUUCCUAAAUGUUUCUAGUGACAAGGAAUUCUAGAAAUCUAUGGAGAGUCAAAGGUUUGACAUUGCACAUUUAAAAUGUAUGAAAAAUUUUUAACAUUGUCUUAUUUACAAUGAGAUGUCUAUUAUUGUAUGUUAGUAAAUUAAAUGUUUACUCAUAAAAAGUUUUAUAGAUUUAUUAGCAGCCUCUUUUCCCUUUGGUUCUUGAAAUUAAACUCCCCAACUGGUAACCAAUUCAUCUGCUCUGUAAAUUUUCAGAAUAUAAACUCUUGCAUUUCAAAGGGCAUACUUUUUAGCAGAAAUGUCUCUAGGUCCUUUAUCUGUGCUCUUUAACUUAAUCUUCAGACUCACUAGGAGACUAAACAACUGCUGAUUGCUGAAGUAAACAGGCAUUCUGCACUUGUAUGUUAAACUGUUAGGUAUUAUUUUUAAUGCUUUGUAUAUAUUUUAUUUUUAUUUUUUUUCAGAAAAGAAAUCUGAGGUCCAUAGAAUUUGAAGAGAUGCUAUUUGAACUAGAAUAUAAUCUGUAUUAGUUUCCCAUUGCUGCUAUAACAAGUUGCAUAUUUAGUAGCUUAAAACACAUAAUUUUCUUAUCUUACAGUUCUGGAUGUCAGGUGUCUGAAAUGGGUUUCACUGGGCUCAAGGUGGGAGUUGGCAGGGCUGUAUUUUUCUGGAGGCUGUACGGAAGAAUUUGUUUCCUUGUCUCUCCUGUCUUAUAGGGGCUGCCUAUAUUCCUCAGCUAUGACCCUCUUCUACCUUCCAACCAAUAUUACUCUAACCUUGCCUAUUGCCAUUGACUUUCCUGCUUUUCUCUCUUACUAACAAGGACUCUAGUAAUGACAUUGAUUGCAUGAGUAUAAUCCUGGUACUCCGCCAUCUCAAAAGCCUUGGCUUAAUCACACCAGUAAAGUCCUUGCAGUCAUGACAAAUGGCAUUCAUAGGUCUUGAGAUUAGGAUGUAAACAUUUUGUGAGCCACUGAGUAAACCCAGUUUGAUCUAAAGACCCUCAUUUUGCCUUUAAACACUAAUUCAUUCAAUAAUUUUUUUUAUUCAUACCUGCUAAUGGAACAAGAUGGUCACAAUCUCAGCAGCUCUACUAUCUCCUGUACCACCUCAUCGUUCCUCACCUACUCACUUCUCCUACCCACGACACCUUUUAAUUGAUUAAAAUCCAUGAUGGAUGAAAAGGGAAGAAUAGAAAUAUAAAUUAAGAUCGGCCAUCUCAAAGAUCACUUGAACUAGAUGGGAAGUUGAGUACCCACGAGUGGACAUAAGCAAAGAAGGAGAAGGAAAAAAAAUGAAAUAAACUUGUCUUGGGAGAGAACUCUUGAAAAUGCUUGGAGUGGAGGAGGUAUGAUCUGAGGUUGUUGCAGUCAGGAGGUAAAAAGUCUCAGGGAGAAGAAAGCUGUGUGCCUGGGGCAAAGGAUGGGUUAAUUAACUUGAUCUUGAGCAUGAAGGAAAGAGAAAGAGAGGAGAGACUGAGGGUAGGUCAUGAGCUGCUGAGUCAGGGGCCCAGGGAAAUAAGAGCAGUCUGGAGUGGGCUUGCCUGCCAACUUAUGGGAAAGGGAGGGGCAGUGGAUGCCCUUGAUAAGAAUGGGGAUGUCUAAUUAAAGGUGCAUGAUGUGUAUUCCAUCUGCAUUCCCGCUGUGGGUGAGAAUUGCUGUGUUCAAGAACUCUUGGUGGGAGUAGAGUUAGGGGUGGGAGAGUAAGUGCUGAGGUGAGAGGAAAUGACACAGGAGACCUGCAGGACAGGGGCCUGGAGACCCAAAGCCAGCACCUGGCGCAGAGCUUAAGGCAAAGGGCUUUAAUCUCAAGUGUUCCAGAAUUGGGAGAGGGCUUUCUUUCCUUUCCCUCUUUCUCUUUUAUUCUCUCUUCCCUUCUUCCCUCCCUUUCUCCUCCCUCCCUCUCUCUCGUUCUCUGCCUAAAUCUUUUCUAACUCUUUUUAUCUCCUGUUUCUCUCCUUCUCUCCUUCCUUCCUUCCUUCCUUCCUUCCUUCCUUCCUUCCUUCCUCUCUUCCUCUCUCUCCUUCUCUGCUUCUCUUCUCUCCUUCCUCUCUUUACCUCUCCCUCCCACCCUUUCAUUCUUCCUUUCUUUCCUCUCCCUAGAUUAUGAGAAGAAGGGAUGCCCUUGGCUGGCAGCUAGGCUGGGUGAAUACCGUGGGGAGUGUGGACUUCAGCGGUUAUGAAAUGGCAUAGGUAAUAUGUGGACUGGAGCUCAGAGGAAGGGAGGUGACAUUCCAAUAGCCUCAAGGGUGGGAAGUGGUGAAGGUCAAAGUAAAAUGGAAAUCCAUAUUUACUGGGCGGCCUCUAAGAGCAAGCUCUGUGCUAGGUGACCUAUCUAUGCUAAACCCUUCUGAUUUUCAGGAGCACCUUGAAGUAGCGAUCAUCAUCCCCUUUCAUUACAUUAUUAAUAUACCUAUUAGUUUACCAACUAUUUAUUGAGCACUGUGAUAGUUUUAUGUGUCAUUCUGGUUAGGUGACACCUCCCAGUUAUCCCAACACUAACUUAAAGGUGACAGUAAAGGUAUUUGUGAAUGUGAUUCAAGGCUAUAAUCAGUUCACUUUAAGUGAGGAGACUAUUUUAGACACUCUGAAGGGUCUGAUUCAAUCUGUUGAAAGCCCUGAAGAGCAGAGCUGGUUCUCUGCUGAGGAGGAGCAGCUUCUGUCUGUGCACUGCAGUUUCAGCCUGUGACCCAGGCUGCAGGAUGCCCUGCGGAUUUGGGAAUGGCCUAGCUGUACCCACCAUCAUGAAGGCCCAUCCUCUGCAGUAAAUCUUCUAAUGUACAUCUUUCAGUGGUCCUGAUUUUUUUGUUUGAACCCCGAAUAGGCAGUGAUGCUUCCAAUUUGAAAUGUCAGCCUAGGAUUUUUAAGCUUUUAUUUUUCCAAAUUCAUGUGUCUCACAGUGAGAACUCAGGUUUUAGUAACAUCAUUCUUUCUUUCUUCUUAACCCUUCCUAGUGUUUAUGGGAAACUUCCUUCACUCAAACUCUUUUGUUUUAUUUUAUUUUAUUUAGUGCAUUUCAGUUAUACAUAAUAGUGGGGAUUAUUUUGACAUAUUCCUAAGUCUAUAUAGCAUACAUUUCUCCAUUUCAAUCCCCAGAGCUAUCUCCUUCCCUGUCCUCCCUCACCCUGUUCCUCCACCUCUAUUUUAUUAGUCUUCUAUGUAUUUAGUUUUAAUUGCUGUAUUACAGUUCUAUAUUGGAAUGCACCGUGACAUAAUCAUACAUGCACAUAGCACAAUCUGGUCAAUUUCACUCCCAAUAUUUUCCUUCCCUCUCCUCCUCCCUUCCCCUGACACUCACACUUCUACACUACUCAUCUCCCUUCUAUUUUCAUGAGAUGCCCCUUUUUGUUACUUAUUUCUCCCUAUCUUCCUCUUAGGAGAGUAAACAUUUGAUCUUCAACUUUCUGAUUCUGGCUUAUUUCACUGUAUGAUGUCCCUCAGUUCCAUUCAUUUACCUACUAAUGAUGCAAUCCCAUUCAUCUUAUGGCUGGGUAGAACUCCUUUGUGUAUAUAUGCCAGAUCUUCUUUACCCAUUCAUCUCUUGCUGGUUAUGGGCUUGUUCCAUAACUUGCUGUUGUGGAUUGUGUUGCUGUAAACAUGGGUAUGCGUGUAUCACUAUAGUAUGCUGAUUUUAGUUCUUUUGGAUAAAUUUCCUAGAGUGAGAUAACUGGAUCAUAUGGCGAUCCAUUUCUAGUCUUUGAAGCAUCUCCACACUGCUUUUCAGAGUGGUUGUACUAAUUUGCAGACCCACCAUCAAUGUAUAAGUGUACCUUUUUCCCCACAUCCUCACCAUCAAUUAUCAUUAUUUGUGUUCUUGAGGAUUGACAUUCUGACUGGGUGAGGUAAAAUUUCAAUGAAGUUUGGAUUUUGUAUCUCCCUGAUUGCUAAGGAUGGGGAUGGUAACAUUUGUCAUAUAUUUGUUGGCCAUUUAUGUUUCUUUAGAUCUUUAUGUCUCUUUAGAUCUUUGUGUCUCUUUAGAUCUUUCCUCCAUUUAUUGAGUAGAUUAUUAGUUAUUUGGGGUGUUAUUUUUGAUGUUAAGUUUUGUGAGUUCUUUAUAUAUUCUGAUUAUUAAUUCUUUCAGAAAGGUAGCUGGCAUAUACUUUUUCCCCCCAUUCUUCAGGCUCUGUCCUCACAUUCUUAUUGUUUCCUGUGCUAUGCAGAAGCUUUAUAAUAUAAUGUUUUUAUACUUAUUAAUUGUGGUUUUAUUUAUUUACCUUUAUAAGUCUUAUAAAGGAAGUUGAUGCCUGAAUCAAUGUGUGGGAGUGUUACCUCUAUGUUUUUAGGGUCAAAAACCCAUUUUGAGGCUCCAUACAUUUUGUAAUCCAACUACUGAAUUCUGUAUUUGGGUAACUAUGUUUCUGUAGACAAGGUCAACCAGCUCUUCAAAUAAUGUAUUCUUUCUUUAUGUUGAAAUGAAUCUCCCACAACUCCUUGAGGGCACUUACUAUGAGUAUUGACAUAUUUAAACAUUACAUUUCAAUGUUACAAAAUUUAAAUUUGUGGUCUCUGAAUUUUAUAUUUUAUAUCUCAGAAGCCAGCACAGUGUUUGAUACACCUUAGGUACUUAAAAAACAUUUAUAAAGUAAAUGGAGUGCCAUGCUUAUUUUCUAUUUAAAGACCUAUUUCUCCAGCUAGCCCAUGAACUCCUUAGACAAAAAGACUCCAUCAUGCAUCUCCGUUCAUCUCAUGACAUCACACUUCUGCAAAGAAUGCAUUGAUGGAUGCUCAGGUUUGGCUUAGUGGCCAGGUGAUGAUGCUGAUGUCCAGAUAGUGGAACUAAAACUGGUUAAAUCCAUGGUACAUCUGGUACAGAAUGACUCUGAGAUUGCUAUUGGGGUGUAUCUACAUUUGGGAGACAGAAGACCCUAGCUACGUGGAGAAAGAAAGAUGAAACUAUGCGACACAAAAAGAUGAAAUAAAGAUAGCCUUUGUUAUGCUUUGGAUGUAAGGUGUCCCCCAAAAUUUCAUGUGUAAGACAAGAAGGCUUAGCAAUAAAAUAAUAAGGUUAUCAUUCCAAACAGUGAAUUAAUCAGUGAUAGGGAUUAACUGAGUUGUAGCUGUAGGCUGGAAAGAUGUGGCUGGAGGAGGCGUAUCCCUGGGGGCGGUGUGUGCCUUUGGGGUAUGUAUUUGUCCAGCUAAGCUUAGUGUCUCUUUGCUUCCUCAUCCUGUGAUCUGCUCCCCUUCACCAGGACGUCCUGCCUCACCUCAAGCCCUGAGGGAUGAGGCUGGCUGUCGAUGCACCGAGACCUCUGAAACCAUGAGCCCCUAAAUAAACUUUUCCUCCUCUAAAAUUGUCCUUAUUGGGUCUUUUGGUUACAGCAUCAAUCAUUUACUUUAUUCUGACUAAAACAGCUUUGAAUAUAACCAAUUCCUUUGAAAGGUAAUACGUAUGUACUGGAAAACAUCUGAAGGAUUAGAAAAUUUAUCCAUCAUAAUUCAUGUUUAAAAUAGUUUUACUUAGCGACAUUUUAUUUUUUAACUUGGCAUAGUCUACCAGCAAUGCAUGUCACAACCAUACUGCUAGUUUUCCCUGAGAAACUACAUGGGGAAUGUCAACUUUGAAAACACUCGUAUGGCUAAAGGAGAAAUUUGAUAAAAUGUCCAUAGGGAGGGAGUGAAAUGCUCAGGUUGAAAACUUCUAGCUCGUAGACUCAAUCCACAGUGAGUCCCAGGAGCUAAGCCAUUUCCAAUUAAACACAGGCCUGUAGCCACAUGGGGCUCAGAGCCUGCUCUUGACUGCAGGCAGGAGUGUUUUCUCAUUUCUCUCCCCGAGGAGCUAGUAUCUCCCCGAAGUUAAUGAUAGGCUUGGCAAUCAAGAUCCAGGUGGAGAGUGAAAACAGCUUUAUCAAACCAGCUGCUCAGAAUGCAUAAUGCCAAGCUUCCAGAUGUUUGGAGGCAUCUGGUGUUCAGGGUGAAACUUUUACUCUGUACCCAGCUACGAAAGAAGAUCAGUGUAGCAGUGGAAUGUCAGUGUCCUUUCAGGGAUCUGCACUUGGAAUCUGUCUUGCACACAGAUGACGUACAGAGGAAGGGUGCUCAGGUUUGGUCUUUGUCAGACAGGUUCUUGCUAACUGAUGCUUCUCCACCCAGGUGGUUUAUGCUCACCUCCAAACACAAACCCCUGAUACCUCAUGGGGAAGGCCUUCCAUUCUGAUCUCUGCACUUGAUUUUAUACUAUCAUAAAUUAUUUAUUGAUAUCUUCCACAUAUUUCCACAACACUUCUUAUAUGUAAUUUUAUCAAUUUAUAACUUUGAUUUAUUCUUUGAUUAUGAAUUUAUGAUAUUUGCAUCUAGAAAGACAACAAAUGCUGUAACUCAAGCAGAUGGGUGAGCACCACAAUAUUUUUGGGAAAAAGCUUGGCAAGUGACAACAUUAAUUACCACCUCAAAGGAUUUCCCACAGUCUCAUAGGCACUAUGUUAUAUUUUGUAUUUUUUUUUUGCCUGGGCCAUAUAUAUAUUUUUUCUAUUUGGAAAGCAAUAAAGUGCCAAUUUGAAAGAAAAGACCUUGACUUAAUGUCACAUCCCUGUGUAGGUGCUUGUUCAGUGUUUAUUGACUUAAUUCAUUAAUAGAGUAUUUGUUAAUUGACUUUCUCUUAAAAGCAAAUAUUCAUUAUUAUUUUGUUUACCAAUAUAAAAAUUCCAUACCACUAUUCUUAGUCUGUUAGUGCUACUAGAACAAAAUAUCAAGACUGGGUAAUUUAUCAAGUUUAUUUUGUUGUAAUCCUGGAUGCUGCAAAGUGCAGGGUCAAGUUGCUAGCAGUUGCAGUUAUCAGGUGAGGGUCACUCUCUGCUUUCAGAUGACAUUCUGUUGUUCCAGAGGUGAGGAACAAUGUGUCCUCACAUGGGGACAGGAAAAAGGCAGGACAACAGAGUGCUGUGUGAAGUCCCUUUCAUUCAGGCCCUAAACUCAUUUGUUGUAGGUGGACUCAAGGCCCAGUCACCCCUGAAAGGGCUCACCUCUUCAUAAUGUCACUUUGGCCAUCAAGUUUCCACACUUGAUUUUUGGAAGGGACAUAUUCAAAUGCAAGCACCAGUUUAGAUUAAAACAAUGUGGAAUGAAUCUGGUAUAGUUUUCCUGUGUACAUACAUGAAAACAUCACAAUGAAUCCCACCAUCAUACACAUCCACAAUACAUGAAUAGAAUACGAUUCAUUCCAUGCUUGUAUAAUUAUCUCAAAAUGGAUUCUACUGUCAUGUAUAACUAAAAGAGUGGCAUCCUCCUAACUAUUUUGUCUUUAUUUCUUAGAGGGAAAUCUCCUUUGGUUUACUUGUAUUUGCUUUACACAUGCAUUUCUAGAAAAAUGUGCAACCAAUAACAGUCCCAGCUCUCAUCCAUAGUUUUACGUACACGUUGUCUCUCCAAGUGAACUUUUAAAGGUGCUGGGAAUUCUUUUUUCUACUUUUUGUCAUUUUUCAUGGCGACUGUCCUAGACAUUGAUUUAUUAAAGUGCAAAUCCCUGACUUCCUCCCUGUAGUGUCUGAUUUGGUAGGUCUUACAUUAGAACCAGGAACCUGCAAUUGUGCCAAUCCAAAUGAUUCUUACAAGGUGGUCCUAGAAGAAACCCCAACCCACAGUAUGGCACUGAGUCCUGUCCAGAUCGCAUAGCAGCUCAGAUCUCCUUGUUUGCCCCCACCCCUUUUAUUAUCUAUUAAGAGAUAAUUUUUUAAAAAGGUAACUCUCAUAUUCUCAUAGUGAAAGAAAUAUAAACAUGUGUUAAAGGUUUGAUUUAACUUAUUAAUGAGGAAACUGGUGAAAUGGUACAAUGAGUUUAAGAGAAAAUAAAAAAAAACAAUAGAUUUAUGAAUCAGAAAUAGAAAAAUGAAUGGGGAAGAUGGCCUUUACCAGAGUGGGGGAGGGGAGUCAAUUUAACCUCCACUGGAUAAAAUUUACAUGUCCUUAGGCAAGAAUUAUAUGCAUUCCUACUAGUUCACAGAGCUGUAAAAUGACUCAAAGACAAUAAAAGACUAGAACCAUAUAAUCUGGAAGGCUGUGAUUUAAACAAUACACAGUUUGCUAUUGAAGGACAAUACUUUCCUGAUGGUGGUGGAGGGUAAUCUGUGAAGAAGGAAAAGCCUGAAUUCAAAGAAGUGGAGGCCAGAGAGGUCAAAAUAUGCAAUGAAAAGCCAGUGAUCUUGCAGGGCGGGAAUUAAGGGGUAGGGCUUCAGUAGUGUGGAACGAGGAGGAAGACAGGAGGGCAGGAGAGCAGAACUGUGAGUUUAAGAUGAGAGUCAUCAGGAAAGGUAUGAAAGAUGUGGUCCUGGGCCAACUGGAAAUUGGGCAUUUGUGUGGUGCUGACUGUCUUUAUCAGGGGAAAGUCUAGCACAUCGUUUGGGCACUGAGUCAGCCUUCCUCCUCCAACAGUAUGAUUCCAUAACUGUCCUGAUGUCCAUAGGGUUUUGACUUUCCUUUUUUGAAAGUCUGUGGUUUGAGUGAGCUCUGUUUGGAAACUCCACCCAUUGGACACAGGUGGAGAAAGAUGUUGGCUUUUGAGGGACAUAAUUUAGGUUCACCAAGUCCUCAUUUUGACAUUUCAAUCAUACUCUGGCUUUUAGUGUCCUGGGUGUAUCUGUAUCUUAAUACGGCGAAGGAAUUUUGAAGUGAUCUUGUGUCCCCUCUGUGGCCACAGGCAGGACUUUGCAGAAUAAAGCAGAGGGAAAUAGCCAUGAGUUGACCAAACAGCAUGGCCAGCCUCUUCAGUGUGGCAUCCCGAGUGUCAUCAGCUUGGAGGGGCAGCUGCCAAGUUAGAUGGGGCAGGACAUUCCUUUAAACAGGUGCCUUCUUUUCCAGGACUCAAGUGAAAGUCUAAGAUAGUUUCCAUAAUGUCAGAAAGCACAUCUUUAGAAAAACAUGCCGGAACUGCCAUCUGACUCUGACCCAAACCCAUUUUUAGUUUGGGUUCUCCAUGAGAAAUUGUGGGAAUAUUUGGCAAAUAUAGACUUGAACUAUCUAGAAAAGAGAAGUCAGAAAGUUAGGAGAAAAAAAUAGCAUGAUUACAAGGAACAAGUUAUUUGUGUACAAUGAAAAUGUGACUACUUCACGUCCUUUCUUGAAACACUUCAGUUAUGAUUUGAUCCAAGCUCCUUGACUAGGUUUAGAGUCCUGCUGCUGUGAAAUUGAUAUGCCUUCUCUGUUCCAACUUGUCACUCUUCUUCCAGUGGCUGAAGGUCUCUGUUUUCCUCUCUCACUGCCCAUUUUCUCUACCAUAUCCCCUGCCCUUGCCACAUAGUGCUCCCUCUGCUUGAAAUGCUUUUCCUGACCCUUUCUCGACCCCAUUGGUCUUGCUUGUCUUGGCUUAGGAUGCUACCAUGCCCACCAGCAAGACUUGCAUGGCUCCUUCAAUGAAGGUUGGGGGCCACCCUGUGUUCUCUUACCACCCUGAAUUUCUCAAACCAAAGCAAUCAUUACCCCAUGUUGAACUGGGCUUCCUCACCAAACUGUAAAUAUGGACACGAGAGACUGGAAUUUAUAGCUAUUGAAUUGAACAUUACUCCUUCAAUUCUGAGAAAAUUUAUAAUAGGAAAUUAGAAUAUUUGUAGAAUGAAGGAGCCUUGGACUGAGAGAUUAAACAAAUAAGUGAUUUUAUGAAUGAAUGAAUGAAUGAAUGAAUGAAUGAGUAAGUGAAAGAUUAAGUGAACAAAUAUGAGAUUGAGGGAACUGGAAAUAUUCCCUGAUGUGAAAAAAUAGUGAAAAGGAAAAUAAAGAGACUAUCCAUUCCCCAGUGUAUGUUCUUGACAUUUUUGAUGAAAAUCAGUUGGCCACAAAUGUCUAAGUUCAUUCCUGGACUCUCCUAUUCUGCCGGUCUGUGAAUGUGCUUACAUGGCAGUAUCAGGCUGUUUUUAUUAUUAUAGUUUAGUAAUCUAUUUUGAAAUCAGGUAUUAUAGUUCUUUGGACUUCAUUUAUUUCCUCAAAAAUUAAUUUGGCUUUAUAAAUCUUUGUGAUUACAUAUACAUUUUAGGAUUUUUUAUAGAGAUUGCAAGGAAUAAGUAGAUUGUUUGGGAUAGCAUGAAAAUCAUAACAAUAUUAAUUAUUCCUACCUGUGAACAUGGGAUAUAUUUACAUUUGUCUCUUUUAUUUUAGUUUCUUUCAUCAGCAUUGUGUAGUUUCAGUAUGUAGGUCUAUCUCCUCCCUGGUUAAAUUUACUACUGUUUUAUAUACUUGUUUAUUUGGAUCUUAUCAUAAGAGGAUUAUUUUGUAAUUUCUUUUUCAGCUUUUGCAGCUGGUACAUUAUUAUUGUAUAGAAAUGCUACAGAUUUUUCUAUAGGGAUUUUAUAUCUUGCAUCUUUACUAAAUUCUGAAUAAAUGGUCUUGGAGAAAGUGAACAUUCACAUGCAGAAGAAUGAAACUAGACCCUUCUCAAACUCCAUGUAGAACAAUCAACUCAAAUUGGAUUAAAAACUUAUAUUUAUAACUUAUAUUUAAGAGUUGAAACUAAAAACUACUAGAAGAAAACAGGAAGAAAGCUUCACAACAUUGGUCUGGAUCAAGAUUUCUUGGAUAGGAUCCCAAAAGCAUAGGCCACAAAAGAAAAUGAGACCAUUUCUCUGUCUCUAUUGGAUUGCUUCAAAUUACAAAGCCUCUUCAUAGCAAAGAAAAUAAUAGUAAAGAGACAACCUACAAGUUGAGAAAAUAUCUGCAGGUUGAUAUCCAAAGUACACAAGGAACUUAAUAGAAAACAGAUCUUUUUAAACAAUGGCCAAAGAAGUUUAAUAGACAUUUCUCCAAAGAAGAUAUGAUAAAUGAGCAACAGAUAUAUGAAAAAGAGCUCAGUUAUCACCAAGAAUCAGGGAAAUGCAAAUUAAAGUCACANACGACAGACACGUCACCCCAUUUGGAGUAGGGGCAGAGUAGAGCUGCCGCCCGCGCCUGCAGGGUAGGCAAACCUGCAACCGACCGGCGGAUCAGGCCCGGUGGCCUGCCGGCGUGGUACACUCGUCACCCCAAUUGGAGUAGGGGCAGAACAGAGCCGCCGCCAGCGCCCAGAACAGGCCCAGUGACCUGCCGGCGUGGUAGCCACGACACCCCAAUUGGAAUAAGGAGAGAGCAGAGCCGCCGCCCGCGCCUGCAGGAAAGAUACGCAAGCAGUAUGAAAAGACAAGGAAAGAAAGGACCACAAGCAAUGCAGGUCAACUCAACAUUAGAAGAGGUAAUAGCUGCAGCAGAUGGAAUGUCAGAUAAAGAAUUCAGGAUAUAUAUGCUUCAGAUGAUCUGGAGUAUCAAGGAAGACAUUAGACAGCAAAAUCAGACAAUGAAAGAUCACUUCGACAAGGAAUUACACAAACAAAUCCAGGAAGCAAAGGAUCAACUAUACAGGGAGAUAGAGGUUAUAAAAAACAAACAAACAGAAAUCCUAGAAAUGCAGGAAGCAAUAAACCAACUUAAAAACUCAAUUGAGAAUACUACCAGCAGAGUAGAACACUUAGAAGAUAGAACAUCAGACAAUGAAGACAAAGUAUUUCAACUUGAAAAGAACAUAGACAGCUCAGCAAGACUGUUAAGAAACCAUGAGCAGAACAUCCAAGAAAUAUGGGAUAACAUUAAGAGACCAAACUUAAGAGUCAUUGGGAUACAGGAAGGUACAGAACUCCAAACCAAAGGAAUGAGCAAUCUAUUCAAUGAAAUAAUACGAGAAAACUUCCCAGACUUGAAGAAUGAGACAGAAUCCCAAAUCCUAGAAGCCUACAGGACGCCGAAUGUGCAAAAUCAUAAGAGAUCCACACCUAGACACAUUAUAAUGAAGAUGCCCAACAUACAGAAUAAGGAGAGAAUUUUAAAAGCUACAAGAGAAAGGAAGCAGAUUACAUUUAGGGGCAAGCCAAUCAGGAUAACAGCUGAUCUUUCAACACAGACUCUGAAAGCUAGAAGAUCCUGGAAUAACAUAUUUCAAACACUGAAAGAAAAUGGGUUCCAACCAAGAAUUGUGUAUCCAGCGAAAUUAAGCUUCAGGAUGGAAGAUGAAAUUAAAACCUUCCACGAUAAACAAAAGUUAAAAGAAUUUGCAGCUAGAAAACCAUCUCUUCAAAACAUCCUUGGCAAAACAUUACAGGAAGAGGAAAUGGAAAAUAACAAUGAAAACCAACAGUGGGAGGUAGGACAGUAAAGGGGGCGAAAAUAAUCAAAGAGGAAAACAAACCAUGUUUAGUAACAGAAAUAAACAAAUAUGGCUGGAAGAACAACCCAUAUCUCAAUAAUAACCCUAAAUGUUAAUGGCUUAAACUCACCAAUUAAGAGACACAGGCUAGUAGAAUGGAUCACAAAACAAGACCCAACAAUAUGCUGCCUACAGGAGACGCAUUUGAUAGGAAAAGACAUACAUAGGCUGAAGGUGAAAGGUUGGGAAAAAUCAUAUCACUCAUAUGGACUUCGGAAACAAGCAGGAGUGUCCAUACUCAUAUCAAAUAAAAUAGAUUUCAAGCCAAAGUUAAUCAAAAGAGAUAAAGAGGGACACUACAUACUGCUUAAGGGAACCAUACACCAACAAGACAUAACAAUCAUAAAUAUAUAUGCCCCAAACAAUGGUGCAGCUAUGUUCAUCAAACAAACUCUUCUCAAGUUCAAGAGUCUAAUAGACCACCACACCAUAAUCAUGGGAGACUUCAACACACCUCUCUCGCCACUGGACAGAUCUUCCAAACAAAAGUUGAAUAAGGAAACUAUAGAACUCAAUAACACUAUUAAUAACCUAGACCUAAUUGACAUAUAUAGAGUAUACCACCCAACAUCAAGCAGUUACACUUUUUUCUCAGCAGCACAUGGAUCCUUCUCAAAAAUAGAUCAUAUAUUAUGUCACAGGGCAACUCUUAGACAAUAUAAAGGAGUAGAGAUAAUACCAUGCAUCUUAUCUGAUCAUAAUGGAAUGAAACUGAAAAUCAACGAUAAAAGAAGGAAGGAAAAAGCAUACAUCACUUGGAGAAUGAACAAUAGGUUACUGAAUGAUCAAUGGGUUAUAGAAGACAUCAAGGAGGAAAUUAAAAAAUUCUUAGAGAUAAAUGAAAACACAGACACAACAUAUCGGAAUCUAUGGGACACAUUGAAAGCAGUUCUAAGAGGAAAAUUCAUUGCUUGGAGUUCAUUCCUUAAAAAAAGAAAAAACCAACAAAUAAAUGAUCUCAUACUUCAUCUCAAAAUCCUUGAAAAAGAAGAGCAAAACAACAGCAAAAGAAGUAGAAGGCAAGAAAUAAUUAAAAUCAGAGCUGAAAUUAAUGAAAUCGAAACAAAAGAAACAAUUGAAAAAAUUGACAAAACUAAAAGUUGGUUCUUUGAAAAAAUAAACAAAAUCGACAGACCCUUAGCGAUGCUAGCGAAGAGAAGAAGAGAGAGAACUCAAAUUACUAGCAUACGGGAUGAAAAAGGCAAUAUCACAACAGACACUUCAGAAAUACAGAAGAUAAUCAAAAACUAUUUUGAAUCCUUAUACUCCAAUAAAUUAGAAGAUAGUGAAGGCAUAGAUAAAUUUCUUAAGUCAUAUGAUCUGCCCAGAUUGAGUCAGGAGGAUAUAGACAACCUAAACAGACCAAUAUCAAUUGAGGAAAUAGAAGAAACCAUCAAAAGACUACCAACUAAGAAAAGCCCAGGUCCCGAUGGGUACACAGCAGAAUUUUACAAAACCUUUAAAGAAGAACUAAUACCAAUACUUUUCAAGCUACUUCAGGAAAUAGAAAAGGAGGGAGAACUUCCAAAUUCAUUCUAUGAGGCCAACAUCACCCUGAUACCUAAACCAGACAAAGACACUUCAAAGAAAGAAAACUACAGACCAAUAUCUCUAAUGAACCUAGAUGCAAAAAUCCUCAAUAAAAUUCUGGCGAAUCGGAUACAAAAACAUAUCAAAAAAAUUGUGCACCAUGAUCAAGUAGGAUUCAUCCCUGGGAUGCAAGGCUGGUUCAAUAUACGGAAAUCAAUAAAUGUUAUUCACCACAUCAAUAGACUUAAAAAUAAGAACCAUAUGAUCAUCUCGAUAGAUGCGGAAAAAGCAUUCGACAAAGUACAGCAUCCCUUUAUGUUCAAAACUCUAGAAAAACUAGGGAUAACAGGAACAUACCUCAAUAUUGUAAAAGCAAUCUAUGCUAAGCCUCAGGCUAGCAUCAUUCUGAAUGGAGAAAAAUUGAAGGCAUUCCCUCUAAAAUCUGGAACAAGACAGGGAUGCCCUCUCUCACCACUUCUGUUCAACAUAGUUCUCGAAACACUGGCCAGAGCAAUUAGACAGACGAAAGAAAUUAAAGGCAUAAAAAUAGGAAAAGAAGAACUUAAAUUAUCACUAUUUGCAGAUGAUAUGAUUCUAUAUCUAGCAGACCCAAAAGGCUCUACAAAGAAACUAUUAGAGCUAAUAAAUGAAUUCAGCAAAGUGGCAGGAUAUAAAAUCAACACGCAUAAAUCAAAGGCAUUCCUGUAUAUCAGCGACAAAUCCUCUGAAAUGGAAAUGAGGACAACCACUCCAUUCACAAUAUCUUCAAAAAAAAUAAAAUACUUGGGAAUCAACCUAACAAAAGAGGUGAAAGACUUAUACAAUGAAAACUACAGAACCCUAAAGAGAGAAAUAGAAGAAGAUCUUAGAAGAUGGAAAAAUAUACCCUGUUCAUGGAUAGGCAGAACUAACAUCAUCAAAAUGGCGAUAUUACCAAAAGUUCUCUAUAGGUUUAAUGCAAUGCCAAUCAAAAUCCCAACGGCAUUUCUUGUAGAAAUAGAGAAAGCAAUCAUGAAAUUCAUAUGGAAAAAUAAAAGACCCAGAAUAGCAAAAACAAUGCUAAGCAGGAAGUGUGAAUCAGGCGGUAUAGCGAUACCAGACUUCAAACUAUACUACAGAGCAAUAGUAACAAAAACAGCAUGGUACUGGUACCAAAACAGGCGGGUGGACCAAUGGUACAGAAUAGAGGACACAGAAACCAAUCCACAAAACUACAACUAUCUUAUAUUUGAUAAAGGGGCUAAAAGCAUGCAAUGGAGGAAGGAUAGCAUCUUCAACAAAUGGUGCUGGGAAAACUGGAAAUCCAUAUGCAACAAAAUGAAACUGAAUCCCUUUCUCUUGCCAUGCACAAAAGUGAAUUCAAAAUGGAUCAAGGAGCUUGAUAUCAAAUCAGAGACACGCCGUCUGAUAGAAGAAAAAGUUGGCUACGAUCUACAUACUGUGGGGUUGGGCUCCAAAUUCCUCAAUAGGACACCCAUAGCACAAAAGUUAAUAACUAGAAUCAACAAAUGGGACUUACUCAAACUAAAAAGUUUUUUCUCAGCAAAAGAAACAAUAAGAGAGGUAAAUAGGGAGCCUACAUCCUGGGAACAAAUCUUUACUCCUCACACUUCAGAUAGAUCCCUAAUAUCCAGAGUAUACAAAGAACUCAAAAAAUUAGACAAUAAGAUAACAAAUGAUUGUGACUUUGAAUUUCCUGCAUCCAUAAUAAUGAGAAAGUCUUUUGCUUAAGUUAUGUAGUCUAUGGUAUGCAGUGAUGGCAUCCUCAACUGAUACAUGCAGAGGAACGUGGGGAUCUCAAGUGCACACAGCGGCGAAAUUCCACAAAAGGAACAUGCUGGCAAACCAACAAUGCAACCAGGGUUAAGAAAGAAAAAUGAUUACCCAAGAAGCACUCCAUUGUGCCUGUCUCCCAGUUACUGCCCCAUUCCCUUACAUGCAGAGUAUCUGCUCUCCUGGAGUCUUAAAUACAGUUUGAAAAAAGCUUCAGAAGCUGAUGCUGCAGUUUGAAUACUUAUAAGAUUUCCAGUGGGUUCUGAGAAAAAUGAAACCAAAUUUAUUAAAAUUGUACCCUGCAAUGAUAAAUAUUUUAAUUCAUCUCCUGUUUAAUCACAAAACUGUUGAAACUUGAGUUUUUUUUUCUCUAUGUAUGCACACAUAAACAGAUGAACAUGCACAUAUUGCAUUUUUAUAACCACUUUCAUCAGUAUAUUGUAGUUUGUCUGUAAGUAUAAAAUAGAUGCCAUUUUCACCUUAGCAAGAAGGAAUUUAUUUAACUUACUUUCUCCUUAAUAUCUAAUAUUUAUUUGAGGUCUACUGUUUUUGGAUUAAGAAAUUUCAGCAUCUCAUAGUAACCAAUGGUUUCCCUAUUUUAUGUGUUAUACAUAACACAUAAUGGGAAUUCUUCUGUUUUUUAAAAUUUAUUUAUUUAUUCUAAUUUGUUAUACAUGAUAGCAGAAUGCAUUUCAAUUCAUAUAGUACACCCAAAGAGCACAAUUUUUUAUGUCUCUGGUUGUACACAGAGUCAUUCUAUUGUGUCUUCAUACAUGUACUUAGGGUGAUGAUGUCCAUAUCAUUCCACCAUCUUUCCCCUCCAUCCCUUUUGCCCUGUCUAAGGCUCCUCCAUUCCUCCCAUGCUCCCCCUGGACUUCCCCAAUGGAUCAGUAUCUACAUAUCAGAGAAAACAUUCAGCAUUUGGUUUUGGGGGAUUGGCUACUUCACUUAGCAUUAUAUUCUCCAACUCCUUCAUUUACCUGCAAAUGCCAUGAUUUUACUCUCUUUUAAUGCUGAGUAAUAUUCCAUUCUGUAUAUAUACCACAUUUUCUUUAUCCAUUCAUCUAUUGAAGCAUAUCUAGGUUAGUUCCAUGAUUUAGCUAUUGUGAAUUGAACUGCUAUAAACACUGAUGUGGCUGCGUAACUGUAGUAUGCUGUUUUUAAGUCCUUUGGGUAAAACCGAGGAGUGGUAUAGCUCUGUCAAAUGGUGGUUCCAUUCUCAGUUUUCCAAGGAAUCUCCAUACUGCUUUCCAGAUUGGCUGCACCAAUUUUCAGACCCACCAGCAAUGUAUGAGUGUGCCUUUUUCUCCAUAUCCUCACCAACAUUUAUUGUUGUUUGUAUUCUUAAUAGCUGCCAUUCUACCUGGAGUGAGAUGAAAUCUUAGAGUGGUUUUGAUUUGCAUUUCUCUAAUUGCUAGAGAUGUUGAACAUUUUUUCAUAUAUUUCUUGAUCGAUUGUAUAUCCUCUUCUGAGAAGUGUCUGUUUAUUUCCUUGGCCCAUUUAUUGAUAGGGUCAUUUGUUUUUGUGGUGUUAAGUUUUUGAGUUCUUUAUACAUCCUAGAGAUUAGUGUUCUAUCUGAUGUGCGUGUGGUAAAAAUUUGCUCCCUUUCUGUAGGCUCUCUUCACCUCACCAAUUGUUUCUUUUGGUGAGUGUAAGUUUUUCAGUUUGACUCCAUCCCAUUUAUUGAUUCUUCAUUUUUUUUCUUGCACUAUAGGAGUCUUGCUAAGAAAGUAGGGGCCUAAUCCAACAUGAUGAAGAUUAGGACCUACUUUUUCUUCUAUUAGGUGCAGGGUCUCUGUUCGAAUUCCUAGGUCCUUGAUCCACUUUGAGUUUUGUGCAUGGCGAGAAAUAGGGGCUUAAUUUUAUUUUUGCUGCAUAUGGAUUUCCAGUUUUCCCAGCACCAUUUGUGAAGAGGCUUUUUCCAAUAUAUGUUUUUGGCGCCUUUGUCUAGUAUGAGAUAACUGUAUUUAUGUGGGUUUGUUUCUGUGUCCUCUAUUCUGUACCAUUGGUCUACAAGUCUAUUUUGGUCCAAUAUCAUGCUUUUUUUUUUUUAACUAUUGCUCUGUAGUAUAGGCCUUGUUUGGUAUAGUGAUGUCACCUGCUUUACUCUUCUUGCUAAAGGUUGCUUUAGCUAUUCUGGGUAUCUUAUUUUCCUGGAUGAAUUUCAUGAUUGCUUUUUCUAUUUCUAUGAGAAAUAUCUUUGGGAUUUUGAUUGGAAUUGCAUUAAAUCUGUGUAGUGCUUUUGGUAGUAUGGACAUUUUGGCAGUAUUAAUUCUGCCUAUUAAAAAAUAAAGGAGAUCUUUCCAUCUUCUGAGGUCUUCUUUAAUUUCUUUUUUUAUCAUUUUGUAAUUUUCAUUGUAUAGGUCUUUCUACUCUUUUGUUGAUUCCCAAGUAUUACCUUUUUUUUUUGAGGCUAUUAUAAAUGGGGUGAUUUUCCAGUUUCUUUUUCAGAGGAUUUGUCAUUGAUGUACAGAAAUGCCUUUGAUUUAUAGUUGUUGAUUUUAUAUCCUGCUACUUUGCUGAAUUCAUUUAUUAGUUCUAGAAGUAUUCUGGUGGAAUUUUUUGGAUCCUCUAGGUAUAGAAUCAUAUCAUUGGCAAAUAGUGAUAGUUUUAGUUCUUCUUUUCCUAUCUUAUCCCUUUAAUUUUUUUCAUCUGUUUAAUUGCUCUGGCUAGAAUUUCAAGAACUAUGUUAAAUAGAAGUGGUGAAAGAGGGCAUCCCUGUCUUGUUCCAGGUUUUAGAGGGAAUGUUUUCAAUUUUUCUCCAUUACCAUGCAGCUUCUGUUAUUGGGAAUCCACACAAGCUAGUCUGCACUAUUACUACAUUUCUAUUUACAGACAUGUGAAGGAUAAAUGACCAUAUCUCCUAGUUCAUGCUUGCUGUUCCAGUGCCCUGACUGCUUAGCAUAUGUUCCAUAGUAUCCUUUUUAAAAAUGAGGUAUUAUUGGUUGGCAUCUAAAUAAGUGAAGAUGGGUUUUGUGGUCAUCCCUUUGUUCUCCAGCCACAAUCACAGUCUCAUUGGAGAGCAUAUGUGACGUCCAUUUAGAGAGCAAAGUUCUCAAUCUCCUUGCCUGAACUUCUCCUGACAACAUCACCAACACUUUCCUGCCAAGGUACAAUCAGGGCACUUGCUGGUAAAAUAAAUUGCUCUUGGACUAAAGUGUUCCAGGAAAUGGCUUAUUGGAAAGAACCACCCUUCCUCAUAUGAGUCAGAUAAAACUCAAGGAUGCUGCCAUUGUUUGCCUAUGUCAAGGCCAAACACUGAUCCUCCAAAUUCCCAUUUUUGGUUUAUAAAUUAUGAGCUGAACUGUUUGUCUCCAUUGAUCAAUGAACUCAAAAUGCCCACCAACACGACUUGAUAAAACUUUGCUGAGGCUUCUUCCCUUCUCCCUAAUGCCUAAAUUUGAUGCAUUCUCAGACCAAGUCAUCAUUUAGUUCUUCCUUACAGCUUCUCCCAGAAAGAGCAAAGGGGAAAAUAUCCUCUGAUCUAUUAACCAAUCAGACUACUCCACCGGACAGUCCUACUUUCUGACACCUGGUCCUUGCUAGUCCUGUCCACUCCUCCUGAUCAGCCUUUUUCUGCCUAAGCUGUGAGACGUCUGAGAUUUUAUAGUCAAAGAGUUCUCCCUAUUAUAGUAGUUCCUUUCUCCUUUCAGUAAUUCUUUAAAAUAAAUCUUCUACUUACCUCACUCUAGAUUUUUAAUAAGUUUCCAUUUUUAGAGCAAUUUUAGGUUCACAGCAAAAUUGAGCAGAAAAUACAGAGUUUCUAAGAUCUCCCUUCUCCCCCACUCCCACACCCUGUCCUACUGUCAAUAUCCUGUGCCACACUGGUUACAGUCAAUGAACCUAUACAGACAUAUAAUUGUCAUAGAAGGGAAUCAGAAUAUGUCUAUCCAAAAUAUGCCACUUUGGCAUAAGAAUGUUUGACCCAAAGGCCAUUGAGAAUCAGCAGAUGCAGAAGAGCUCUCUGCUGUCCUGUUAUCUGUCUAAAAAGCAGGGCAUACAUUUCCCUUUGUGAAGAUGUCCAGUCUCACGUACUAGGAGGAGUCCCACAACUCUCACACUGGAGAUGGAGAGACUGCCCCAGGAUGAGUUUGAGAUAAAUAAGUCAAAUAACCCUUAUCUCCCAUUAGUUUCCCCAUAAUGCUUGCUAGUAACUUCCCCAUGACUUACCAUCCUUUGAAGCCCCAAACCCCUUCCGUUGUUAAAAUGGUUUAUGAUGCAUUGUGUCUAAUUGCUUCUUUGCUAUUUCUGCUCUGCAUUCCUGUGCAUGUAAAUGUCACUUCAAAUGUUAUGACUCUUUUUUUAUUGAUCUUGCCUUUCUUAUUCUAACUCAAAGUCUCCCAAACACUGAACUUAAGAGGAAAGAGGAAAACUUGAUCUGCACGAUGUUGCUCAGUGUCCCCAGAGUUCACUCUCAGCAUGAUAUUCCAAUGCUGUGCUCUGGACGUUUGUGUUCACCAUCCACAAAUUCAAUCCCAGAGAUUUUGGUCUGGAUGCUUAUGUUCCCACUAAACCCAUGCCCAAUAAGCCCAAUCCUAAUGUAAUUAUUUUAAGAGGUUGGGUCUUUGCAAGGUGACCAGGCCAUGAGGGGAAAGCCUCAGGAUCUGAUCAAUGAUCUGAAAGAAGCAGCUAUGGAAUUUGCCAUGCCCUUCCCACAGUGUAAGCUUGCAGUGAGAAUACAGCUCUCCUAGUACCUCUGGAACUGUGGGAUAAACAUUUGUGUUGUUUAUCAACUAUCUAGUCUAUAAUAUUUUGUUGUAGAAGCCCAAAUAGACGAGGGCUUAUGAGUUUUGACAAAUUUAUAAUGAUAUAUAUCUGCCAUCAUACAGAACAAUCCCACUAACCUAAAAAAAAUCGUCCGUGCUCUGCUUGUUAAUCUCUCCCUCCCUUUAAGCCCUGACAUCUUUUAUUGUGUCAAGGGACAUGCCUUUCCUCGGUGUCAUGUAGUUGGAAUCAUAGAAUAUGAAGCCUUCUCACACUGGCUUUUUCUGAAUUUUUAAUUUGAUACUUGGUAACUGAGAACACAUCCUGAGUCACAUAUUCUAUAGUAUUGAGUUUAUAUUCCUAAUGGUACAUUAUGCAUAUUGCAACAAGGGAAGAGGGCAUGCAGCAUUUGCAAUGCAACAGGGAAGGGACAUUUGCAAAGGUGGUACAAAAAUUCUUUUCAGAUAGAAAUUGUGCUUGCCUGCUGUUUAAUGUUUCUAUUAGAGAUUAGAGACGGAGCUCCCCCAUCAGUGUGUCAAAUGAAAGGAGAUAGUUCUGAUUGGAAGUUGCUUUGUGGCCACCAUUUCUGCCUCAGGGGAAACAGUAUAAGGGAUGAUUUGAUGCAAUUUCGGGUCAUGCCCACAGUCCUUGGCUGCCUACGGAAGCUAGUUCACUCUGAAGUUAAUGAAGCUUAUUCUUUGAGGACUCCCAUUUUGUGUUCAUAAUUUCAUUCUUUUCCUUAAGAGGGUCCCCCAUUGUAUGAGCUUCAUUGCCCCCAGGAAACCGGGAUCAUCCCCUGGCUGUGCAUUUUGGCAGAUUCCUCUUUGCUUAUCAUUUUAUCCCAGUGAACUCUGCCAGCUCGUAACCCAUACUUCUUGAAGGAUGAGACCAAUGUCCGUACUAAAAAUAGAAAGGGUAGGAAGUGGGGCACAACUCCUUCUAUAAUAGUAAAACAUGAAGCAGAACACCACACGUUGGGCAUCCUAGACCUGCCCUCUUAAUGGAUUUUAAAGUAUAAAAUUAGGAACCCCACAGCCCAGAAAGCACACAUCUCUAUUUCUCAUAGCUCUGAUAUUGACUCUGACAUAUGUCCUUGAAAUAAUUACAGCCAUAGAUAAGUCAGAAAUAACCAAAUUAAGAAAAGGUUGGUUAUUAUGCCUCAUAUAGAUCUAAACUUGAAAGAAGUAAAUUAAAUUUCAGAAUAAAAUAUUGUUGAUGGAACAACAAUUUCAAAAAUGGAACCAAAACCUCAAGAAUGUUCUUAGUACAUAUCACAGUUUGCAGAGCAAGCUACCCACAGUAUCCAACCUCCAGCCCCACCCCACAGGCUGCACUCAUCCCACCUCCCUGGAAUUCCUCUGGUUCCCAUAACGUGAGGAGCCAGAGGAUGCAACAGUUAAUAUUUAUUGGACUGAUAAUGUUCCAGACACCAUACUGAUGCUUUACACGUAUUAACUCAUUUAGUCUGUUGAGACUGGGCAAAGGAUGCAAUAAAGUUUUGGAAAAGAAUGAGAAACAAACAACAGGAAACAGACAGAAGGAACCAUAUUACUCCAUUAUCAUUUGCUUUAAUGUCAGUUUUAUUAUGUGUAAUGCUGAUUUGAGGACAUGGACUUGGGAAUCAUAGAUGGGCUUCCUAAAUGCUUCACUGCAGAUGUGGUUGUCAGUCACCAGCUCAGCAGGUCCACUGAGCUGUCCUGUGGGAAUUGAUCCCCAGCUGUACAUAGACUGAAGGGAAGGGCUGGCCUUGGUGGGAGAUAAAGACAAGGAGAGGAAGGAAGGCGGAGACUGUCUGGGAUUCUCUUGUUGGACAAGGAUACACAUGGUGCCUCUUUAGACUGGCCCCAGCAAGAUUCCUUCAAACCUUGAUUCUGGAACAUUUCCCUCUAGUUACUCAGAUUCAGCCCCAAGUGCUUCAGCAACUUCUGCUCCUCCCCACCUUUUUCCUAAAUGCAUCUGUGCCUCGGAAUAGAUGAGGCAUAACAAGUUCAGGUAAGGCUGUACAGACACACUCAAUUUAGUUUUCUAAUAUUAAAUUGAGAGGCCGAAGUCUCCAUUCCCUCCAUUCCCUUUCCCUUCCAAGGCAUCCAUACGGGUUCACAUGGAUUAUGAGUUGAUAAUAAUAAUUAGAUGAUAAUCUUAUGCUAAUUCUUCAGCAAAAGCAGAAUUCCAUACAUCUCCCAAAGCAGCUGUCUAUACUACAUUAUAAACCUCUUACUCUGUUUAGCUCCGUGUCUAUAUUAUUGUUGAAAAUCUUAUGGAAAAACUGUCCCCAUGGACAAUUUUGUCAUGAUUAAGCAAUAUUCAAAGAAAAUAAAAUAAUCAGAAGACCUGUAACUAUAAUUUUCUUUGUGUAGUUCAUAUUGAUAACUCAUUAGGAGAAGAAAAAAAAUGUCAGAGAAAUUGUAAGGUGCCUUCUGUUGGGUGAAAGACAUUGUUCUUCUUAACUCAAUAACUUAAUCUCUUGACAAUAUACAGGAUCAGUCUAAGCACCUUAGAUGUAAUAACAUUCAUUCUCAGGAAUUAGAAGAAAAGACACAAAAAAGGGAUAUGUGGUUUGUGUUUCAGUUUACUAAUUUUGGUGGAAACUAACAGGCCUGGGUUUGGCACAAGAAUCCCAAAUUCCUGGACAAGUCUCAAUUUAAGCAUCUCUAAAAUAGGUUUAUUAUCCGUUUACACCCUCUGGCCAUUGGAGAAGGGGCUAGACCAUGCACAUGACAUGUGCUGAAAUAAUUUGUUUAGAAAAGCUCUGUUUAUUUGUGGGUCAAAGGUGCUGCCACUAGUCUAUUAUAUUAACUAUUAUUUCCAAGCUCUCCUUCAAUCCAGCUGUGAGGUAGGAUCUCAGGGACAAGGCAAGGUUUCUUUGAAACUCAAAUUCCAUCCUACAGUCUGGAAUUACUUUGUCAAUAUGAUUAUUCAUAAUAAUCUAUAGCUUACUUUAUGUCAAGUAUUAUUUUCUGAGCAUUUUAUAAAUAUUAGACUAUUCCCUCCCCAUAACAACUAUAAAAAUAUUGCUUUUAUUAUAUAUUUUUUAAAUGAAAAACAAACAAACAACAAAAAACUUGAGGCAAUAAAGUGCCUCAUUACCAAAAUCACAAAGUUAGCAAAUGCCCUGCCUAGGAUUUGAAAGCAGGCUGAUUUUGCUCUUUAUCACACGACAUUACUCCUUUAACUAGAAAACCGCUAUGGGUAAAAUUUUAAAAUUACUACUUUUCUCUCCCAUCCACUUUAACUUACUUUUCUAUAACUAUUUUUUACUAUAUAAUAACACUAGUUUAGCUAUCUACCACAUCCUCAUAGUCAACUAUUUUUUUUACCUAGUUACCUAUAGAAAUCAUUUCUAUUUUCAUUUUAAAAAAUCUAUUUCUAUUUUUAUAACAAUUACUAAUAACUGUAUGGUAAAGAGGGUAGGGAUUAGGCCCACAGGCUCUGGCCCCGAGUGCAGUGACUUGCAAGCAGGCACGCCACCUUCAAGCUGUGGCCUUUAGCGAGUUGCAUCAACUUGGUGUCCUUCAGUUUCCUCAUAUUGAAUGAAGGUAGCACUUCUACCACUAAUCUCCACUGGAGACUUCAUAUAUUGUGAGUUAAUUCAUUCUGAAUCGUACCAGGUGUACAAUUGCUCUCUGCAAGAAAGAAUUCUUAUGAUUAUGUGUUUGUGUGUGUGUGUGUGUGUGUGUGUGUGUGUAUGUAUUUAGAUCCCACCACUUCUGCUAUUUUAUUUUUGUGUGGAAUAUGCCGUUUACUAAGUGUUUUUAUAUACGUUGACUGAUUUUCAUUUUUAUGUAACCCUGUGAGAUAAAUGAACUUGUUUUAAUAUAUGGAAACCUAGACUUGAUUGUCUUGGGCUGAAUUAUGUCCCCUGAAAUGGACAUGUUGGAGUCCUAAUCCCUACUUUCUCAGAAUGUGAACUCAGUAGAUACAGUCUUUGCAGAAGUAAUCAAGGUAAAAUGAGGUUAUUAAAGUGAAUUCUAUUGCAAUAUGACUGAUAUCUUUAUCAUAAUGGGAAAUUUGGACACAGACAUGCAUAGACAAAGCCCAAGAGAAAGGCCUGGAACAGAACCUUCACAGCCUUCAGCAAGAAUAAACCCUGCCAACAUCAAGACUUCUGGCCUCCAGACCCUCAUGAGACUAAACUUGUUAUGCUCUCCAGAAUGUUCCUAUCUGUAUCAAGGAUUGUUUGAGUAUAUUCUGAAGUGACUUGUGACACUAUCAUGUACCAUUGACAAGGACCAAAAUCACAGGACCAGAGAACUUGGAUAUCCACAAAAGCCUUAUCCUCAAAGCAAGCCUCUCCAUUUUCUGCAUUCCUCUGAAGUCCAGGUAUCAUUUGAGCUGGAUUUCUUGGUAUCUCAUACUUCACUGUGGCUUCAGCUCACCCAAAAGUCUGGGUAAGGUACGGAGCACCUACCACCUCUCACUUUCCCCUGAUUGUCUCAUGCUUCAGGGCCCCAAUACUUUGUAAACCAAUAUCAAAUAUAAAUUUAAGGUUUAUUUUCAUGUAUGCAAAUCCAAGACUUGAAAAUUACAGACUGUAGUAGACCUAGAAAUGAUAAAAGACAGACUAAUGAGAUUGUAUGACUAUGUGAUCCAUGAAUAGAAUCUUAUAAUGAAUGAACUGUUAGUCAGAAGAUGCUGAGUUUUGCCAAAAUACCAUUCCUGUAAGGGCAUUGCCUCCCCUUAUCAGUUCAGUGGCAUCAAUCAUGUGGACACCAUUGUCAAAAGUGUCUUAGAGUGACUUUAAUUCUGAUAAGUGAACCUAGUCCCUUUACAGGGAUUAUUUUAAGAAGUCUUGGUUCUUUGCCUCAUUCUGGAUCCUGAGAGCUUUUCUUAGAACAGAAGUUUUUUUUUUUUUCAAGUGAUUCAGGAUCUAAAAUUAUUCUUUUGUCCUGAAAAAUGUGCCAAACACAGGCCCUUUUGCUCUAGAAGGACAUUCACAUUGCCCAGGAAGGGCAUGACUUUGAGUUCUAGGCAUGAUUAACCAUUUCUCCAAAGGGCAGAGGAUUUGUACAGGUACCAGAGUCAGGGCACUUGGUGAGGGCAAAAGAAGCAGGAUGGUAUAGUAAUUUUAGGCCCACGAUCUAUGUCAGGGCAAUAGCAUUUGACCUGACAUUAGAAAACUUGGCUCCCCAUUCCCGCACUGUUGUAUCUGGACCCUACUGCGGCAGUCCGGCUGCAGCAAAAUAACCGGGGGGUGACAAACAAUUUGUGUACAUUGAUACAGCAGGAGUGGGAGCCGUUUAUUGUAGGACAGGAGGGGUAUAUAUACAUCACACACAGCUUAUCUUAAUUAACAUAAACUAGAUAGAGCCGUCAACCAAUAAGGAAUCUCCACACUUAAUGGCUCGCUGGCGUUACUUCACAAACCACUCCCUCUGGCAAAAUGCCAGGAGCCAUCUUGACUUGUUUACAGACCCUAACACCCUACAUAUUUAGGAGAUCUUCUGAGUUUUCUGAGAUUUUUUUUCCCCUGAGAAUUCAAUUCAAUGGAUUUUGGAAAAUCUGUAUGCUAAUGUAACCCAUGUGUGGAUUAAGGUAUGGGGUGUUUCCAUCACCCCAGAAGGUUUCCUCAGGGUCCUUUGCAGUCACCACUCCCACCAUGUUUUCAUAGAGAGAUUAUUACUUUUCAAAAAUAUUCACGUCUGUUGCCAUGGAUCAUAGAUUCAUUUUUCCUGUUGUAGGACUUCGUAUAACAGGCACUCCAUUAUGGCUUCUUUCAUUCAAUAUAACGUUUGUGGAAUUAUUUUAUGUUGUCACAUGCUCAGUCAUCUUCUCCUUUUUGUUGCUGAGUGAAAAUCCUUUAUAUAAAUGUAUACACCUGAACUUUUCAAAUUAAUAAAAUAAGUGGGAAAACCUAGAUUUAAAACCCAAACCCACUGGGAUUUUGGAAAAGGUGUUUGGUUCUUCCUGUUUUUUUUUUUUUUAAUCUAACAUAGAGCAUAAUCUCACCCCUCCCUCCAUGUCAACAUACAAGGUUUUAAGCAUGUAUGUUUUGGUGUCUGGCAAUUUUUGUUUAACGUAUUGUCCAUGAAAUUAAUCUGACAACUGAUGUCCUAGCUUCUGUCAUUCUCUAUUCAGCAGCUAGGAUGAAUCUUUUGAAUGUGAAUCAGACCAUGUGACUUUUUUGAUCUGACCUACCUUCACCACCAGCCCAGCCUCCCUCCUCAUCUCUGGCCAUUCUCCUUCAAUUCCCUGCACCUUUAUGACCACAUCUCUAACAAGCCCCAUCUUCUUACUGGGGAGCCUGAAGAAAGUUGUCCCUCUCUAUUGCAGGUCUGCUUGUUUCUCACCUUUAUUUCUCUGCCUAAAUACACCUUCUGACCUCUGAAACUAGAGAGAGACUCUAGUUGGGCAUUAUUGAUCAAUAAUUAUUUGUUGGAUUAACAAACAAGGGCACUGAGCACUAUAGACACAAUAAAGUGUAAAAAUUUAUGUAGUCAUGUUAGUAUUUUAUAAUAAAAAUGCAUCAUAAAAUAUAUGCUCAUAAAUUAGACUAUGUAGUUGUGGUCACUAUGAAAAAAAAACAGAACUGUACUUUGCAUUCCAUAAACUUAUCCUUAAAAUGUCAAAUAAGAGAGAGGAAACUGAAAAUUAUCUAAUGACUCAGAAAUGAAAAUUAAGAAGCACAUUAGCCAAUUAUACUGUGGGUGGAUGAUGAGCAGGUAGAAAGCUUCCUACGUCUGGGAGGUGGUGGGACAUCUUGGGGUCUGCAAGAAGGUUAAAUUUAGGUUUCCUGAGAUAAUGGGAGCACAGUGACAAUACCAUUAAUAUUGUGGAUUUCUUUUUUUAUAUUUUAUAAAUAAGUAUGCUGGUGUACAAAUUAUAAGUGAAUAAAAUUUAGUUAGUUAUCUCUUAAAUUGACUCCGUUUACAUUAAUAAUGUUCUACUCUUCUACUGUGAAACCUGCUGUCUGACAUCCAUGGCAUGCGUGAUACUCCAGGCCAGCUAAACAGCUCAUCAUUGAUCCUUCUUUUCCCUCCACUUUUCCCACCAAGAGAUAACCAUGUUCCAAAUCUAUAUAUUUCUAUAAUAGCUAUUGGUUUACAAAUUGCCAAAAUUUGAGUAGGAAAAUAAAUGGUCUCUAUGAAUAAUUAGCUGAGCAAUUUAGAAAGACUUGAUAAGGGUGAACAACUUUAUUUUUAUGAUGAAAUAGAUGUGGGCAAUAAAACUUUAUAAGAUUUGGAUAAAAUUAUAAAAAUAUGGAUAUAUUCUGAAUUAAAUAGAUUUAGGUGCUUUUAAGUUCUAUAAUCUAAAGAAACUGAAAUUCAAGUGUUUUCUUUUAGUCAAGUUAUUUUUAUGCAAAGAAAACCCCCAGAGUUACAUCAAAAGAUUAGCAAAGAAGAACUCUUCUGAUUAUUGAGUCAACUAAAUGCUCUGAUUCUUAUGAGACACAAAAAAAAAGCUUGCAGUGAGCUGAAUGUAAUCACUCUCUUCUAUUUUACUAGUAGCAGAAAUGUAGAAAUCAUCAGAAUGCAGAAAUUGAUGCUCCCUAAUUCAAUGUAACUACUGGAGAAUCGCAUAAAUCCUCAACCUCACAGUCCAAUUCUGGCCUUCCUUUAACCAGCUUAUUUCAGUACAAAUAUACCUCGUCUUACAUUCUUCCAUUAUCUGAUUUCCCCCUCAUCCCUUGGGUGAGCUCUCUUUCACUAAGACACGAUAAUGUUAUAAUAGGCAAUUCCAUUCAAUGUUCUCUGCUUUUGAAAGUAUAUACUGUACUUUUUAAAUGAAGUCUCCUCCAUUUAUUUCCUUCAUAUUAUUUCCUCCUGGUUUCUCUUAUACUCUCAGAAAACUCCUUUAAUGCACACACCUUCAUACUUUGUUAGUGUUUGCAAAGAUUUUGUCCCUAAAUUUCCUGUCUUCUAUAUACUUUGGUUGAGUCGGCUCAAUCAAGACAGCAGCCUUUAAGUAUCACCUAUUUCUCAGAGACUCCCAGGUUCCAGUAUUCAGCUUGGAUGUUUAUCAUGAGCUUUAGAACACCUGGAUGUGUUCCUCAUAGUCAAAAUGAUCAAAAUGGAGAGACAUGUGCAAGAAUGCUCAUAGCAGAUGCAUUCUUGCAAUAAUAAAAAAUAGCAAUAAUCCAAGAGCAUCCACAGGAGUGGGAUAAAUUGUCAUAGUCAGUUUCCUGUUUUGUGUACAUCAGGGAAAACUGAAUAAGGUGCAGCUACACAAAUCAACUUUAAUGAAUCUAAAAUAACAACAUUCAUAAUAAUAAUAAAACCUGAAAGAUUCAACUUAUAGAAUGCUAUAUAUUGUAGCAAAAUUUAAAAAUAUAUAAGAAUAUAUUCAUAAAUGGUAAAACUAUGAAAACAAAAUAACAGUUCUGGUUGGGGGAGUGGUUUGGGAAGAAACACAGAGAUAGCUUUUAUGUUACUAGUACCACAGUAUUUUUAAAUUUGUGUGGCAAGUUCACAAGUAUUCACUUUGCUCAUAUUUUUAUGAAUUUUCUUUAUGUUUUACCUAAUAAUUACAUUAAAGAGCCUAAAACUAAAUGUAUGUUAUUCCCAUCCCAAUAAUUUAUUUAUGCACUUAUUUUUCUUCUGUUCCCUUUUUGGUCAAAGUCAAUAUCAUCCAUUUAUUUGCUAUAGUCAGAAAAUUUAACCACAUUUAUUUUACUUUGCUUUGUCUCCCACAUCCAUUGGAUUCUACCUAGGCUGAGCUCUUGAACCUAAAUCAUUAUCUUCAUCCCCAAUAACUUCACACUUGAAGCCUCAGCAUUUCUCAACAAUGGAAACUUUGAAACCAUUCUGCAUAUGCUGCCUGUAUUCAAUAAGUCUCAUUCCCAACACACACUUGAAAAUGUCCUCUUCCUAUUCUGAUGCUUAGCAGAUCCCUACUAAGCACUUACCAAAGGCGACUAACUUACCUUCAGGUCCCAAAUUUGAUUCCUUGAUACCUAUUUCUUUUCAUCUCCAAACCCCUUUGUCCACAAUGUUUUAAACAAGGCAUGGAUUUUCAGGCCUUUAUUUGUGUUCUGCAUGUCCCUAAUGCUGACUUGUCGCUUUUAGGCUCACAUUAAACAAAAUCUCUAUCACAUCCUCGCCAGCUAGGCACGCACAAUCCAUCAUUCACUCUCCCAUUUUCCCAAGGCACUCUGCCUAUCUGUGUUGCAGCACUUGUCUCAUUGUAUAAGUUCACUCUGUCUCCUUAAAUGCACUAUUAACUUCUUGAAGACGGAAAUGAUGGUCUUAUCUGUUGUAUUCAUCUUCAUAUAUGCUAAUCUCUGUGUGGGGCAUGGUUAUCCUCUAUGUUCAAUUUCAAGGUUCUGAUAUUGAGAUACCCUAACUGACUGAUCCGCUAAGCUACUUGAGGUCACAGAAUGACUGUCUGCUUCUCUUUAAGUGUUCUUUCACAAAUCUCAACUUACUUAUUUGUAGGAAGCUGGUAUUCUACAUAGGAUAUUAUUAGGAACACGUUCAUAAACAUUAUGCAGCCUCGUUCACUGAAAGAAAGACAAAAGCUAAUCAAUAUCCAGUGAUUAUUAUUUGUUAGGAAUGAAGUUAGAUCCUCUUAUGCAAUUAAUUUUUCUUAGUUUUCCCAGAAACCCCUUAGUUGUAGACACUGCAUUUACCCCUCCCUGGUGGUGGGAGAGAAAUGUAGAGGGCUGCUAAUACUUACGGAGUUUAUUUCUUUGUGAUAAAAAUGUUCUAAAGCCAACUGAGGUGAUGGUUGCACAACUCUGUGCACAAAAAAAAAAAAAAUGCUGGGUGAUAUACUUUAAAUGGAUGAAAUGCAUGGUAUGUGAAUAUUAUCCCAAUAAAGCUAUCAAGAAGAAAAGCUAAAGACACAUCUGCCAAACUUCAAAGUUCUAUCACACCAUUCAUGUAAAUAUCUUAUUUAUUUAUAAUUUUUAAAUGACAUUUUGUAAAGAAACUUAACAUAUGGUCCUUGAAGAAGGUGUUCAGAAUACGCAGAGAUUCUCAAGUGUCAGUGUUCAUUAGAGUAACCUGCAAACUCUAGAACUCCAAGUACUAAAGUUAGAAUCUUAUAGGAGAAGCAGAGAGAUCCUGCAUUCAGGACCAGCUCCCUAGGUGUCUGGUAGGGGCCCAUGUGUUGAAAGAACAGGACUUGAGCUAAGAUUUCAAACUGCUGCCACUUCAUCUGCUGCCUUGCUGCUUGUGACACGUUUCCUACCCGAGGACUCAACAGUGCACAGUGCCACAAACACUUCUGGUGAAUACCUGAUCUGCUCACAUUCUCUCCUAAAGCAGAGACACUGUAUCUCCCCAAAUUUCUUUGGGUGCUGGAGAAUACAGAACUCAUUGAAUAAUGCAUUUCAUCCCCAGGCUACUUGAAAGAGGCUCUGCUUAAUGCAGUAGAAAUUUUCAGAUGAUUUAUUCUGGAGCCACUGAUCAAAAGUACAGCUAAUGGGAACAGGUGAGCUCAGGUGAUUGAUAUCUUUCAAGGGACAGUGAACAAAAUCCCUAUCACUAGGAAAGAGACACAGCAAUUAAACCAAAUGUCAGAGAAGCAGAGAAACCUUUCCUUCUGUUUAGGCUUUAACAUAAAUUUCGUCAGAGUCCCCCGCAAGCCUCAGACUAGACGUUAGCAUGUCUAAAUGGAUUCUACAAUGUUGGCAUCAUGUUUCUGGGUCUGAGCUGAUAGUGCCUUGUGGUGUUGGUGAAUGAGGCAGGCAAGGAAUGAAACUGACAGGGCCAGGAAAACAUCAAAUAUCUCUCAGAAAUACAGUGAUGGGGAAGAAAGUCAGCCCUCAUCAGACAAAAAGAAGGUGAUUCUCACAGAGCUCCUGCUUGUAUGUCCCUCGGAGGGAGUGCUUCGUUUCACUUGGCUCCAGUGCCAAUCAAAAUGCCCCCUUGGCAGUGGAUAAAAUAAAAUAAAGAAGGCAGAAAUAAAUGCCAAAACAAAUUCAUGCACAGAAUGACCUUCCAAAUGCUUCAAGGCCCAGCUAAGCUGUCCUCUACCAAAUGAACUGAAAGGGCAGAGGGAAAAAAUCUAUAAUUUAACUCUUACUAGAAAGAUCUUUAAAAUUAGCUGAGGUUCUAAAAUAUUUGCUAAUCUCUUCUUUCUGAUGGUGACCUGACAUUCAAUGAAUAUCUCCUACUCUACCAGAUAUUUUAUAUGGAUUUUACGGUAUCAUUUCACAAUACUAUUGUGAAAUGGAUGUCAUUGUCCCCAGUUCACAUUUGAAGAAAUAAGUCAAGGUCAAGUCAGUUGCCCAAGGUCACAUUGGAAAGAAGUGAAUCUGAGAUGUGUACUUUGUUUUACUCUAAAGUUCAUUCCACAUUUUAUUCCCCCCCACCAGACAACCCCUCAAGUUUAUAUUAGAAUAAGAAAACCCAAUUAGAUUAUUCUGAAAUGUCAAUGUCUUUUUUUCUUUUAUUAAAAAAGAUGUCAGGAAAUAUGCCUCAUUCAGAAAGCUUGCCUGGGUGACAAAUUGUUGAAAUCAAUUGUUUUUAAACCAUGCAAUCGAAUUUUUUACACUUUUAGUUUAAUUGAGGUGUACGAAGCUUACUUCACCAGACCAGAUUCCAAGUAGAUUGACCUGAACUCUUUAGAAAUUAUUUAGGUCCUCCUUUCACUCUGUUUAGUUCUUAACACAAGGAUAAUGCAGUCAAGUUCCCAGGGCCACCUGCCAAGGAAUACAAGGAGUUUUACAUAACCCUAGUAGACAUAGCCAUGAAGUGUCCAAGGACAACUAGACAAAGGAAAACCUCCUGUCACCAGACUUAUUGCAUCAUGUCAGCCUUAAAAAAAGAACCAAAGAGCUCUGUCAUCAUUCCAGCAGGAGACCUUGGCAGAGUCUUCCCUGAGAGGAAGAUUGUCCACGGAGGCUCCCUUGGCUCCCGAUGGGACUAAGCACCAUGGCAUGGGCCGUGGGGAUAUUGGAACAGACACAUGCAACACUUCUCUCCACAGGAUUUCUUGUCUCCACAUUUUGCCUGUUGUUAAGGAAAAGUGCCCUCUUCUCCCCACCUGGCUACUAAACAAAAAGAGACCACAGAGAAAGGAGUUUGAAGGGGUCUAACUCAGAUGACUCUAGUGGUGAGAGGUUGCAGGGGUCAGGGAAACCUGGGAUGACACCCAAGCUCUGCCAUUAACUAGCUGCAUCAGUUGCAUAAGUUACUUAACCUCUCUGUACUUCAGAUGGUUGUGGUAACUAAACUACACAGCUUUUUGAAAGGAAAGCAAUACAGUAGAAUAGUUAGAGCACCAUCUUUGGAGUAAAUUGACCUGGAGACCAGCUCAAUAACUUAACCUCCCUGCAAUGCUGUGCUGGACAAUUUGCCUUCUGAGGCAGUUCUCUCAUCUGUAAAGCUGGGCUCACAGACACACAUCAUGUUAGAGAUACACAGAGCUACACCAGUGGAUCUUUAAAUCUUAAUGAAAAAGUAAGAAAUAGCUAAAACACAUUGCCACAUAUUCAUACUGAGGAAUAUGAUUAACUCAACUCUCUGAAGCAGAAGUCUUAAAAACCCAACAACAGAACAGGCAAUGAGUGAGUGUACUUCCUAAGGCUGGUGGGGUUAAGUGUGUUAAAAACUGGGGAGGGCUUAGCAGAGCACCUGCUGUAUACCCCAUGAUGGUCACAGCUUUAUAAGAUUUUUGGAUCUGAAGCCUGAAUGGUUUUUUGAGGUGCAUUUCUAGAGUUUCUGGGAGAACAAGUUAUGCCAAAACUGUCCCCCAAAUCUAAUUUUCAAUCUUUUCCAUGGGUCAGUUUUCCAAAAAUGGGAGCGAGUGCCUCUGAAAAUUCACUGUCCUUUUUAUACAGAACAUGAAUAACUCUCUGGUAUAACAGAAGACUAGAGUUUGGUCUGUAACAUUAUGAAUAUAAUGUCAGCUAAAAGUGAAUUAUGUUAAGUUGGUCAUUUCUCAUUUUUGAUAUUCAAAAUGAUUUAGCCAGGUUACAUUUCUUUAUGCAUUAGACCAUUAAGGGGGCACAGUGGUCUUGUCCCAUCUAAUCCUUUAUUAAACCAAAUUAAAAAUAAUUUCUCAAUUCCGUUAUUAAUAUCCUCCCUCUGUGAAAAGUGUCUCCCUCAGCAGACCCUAUUGACAUUCAGUCUAGACGCGGCUGGAGGAACUCGCUUCAUGAAUAUCAAUAAAUGUGUUGCAUAGAGAUGGGAGGAUAUUAAAUUAUUUCCAAGCAGUUGACAGUUGACAAAAUGUUAGUACAAUAAUUAACAGAGCAGACUGUUUAAAUGCUAGGUAGGGGUUCCUCUGUGCAUUGGUCAUAAGGGAAACACAUCUUUGUUAGAGGAUAGCUUCAGAAAAAAACUUAACCUUACCUUCAGUCCAUUCUGGCUUUACACCUCAAGUGAAUCCUAUGUGAAAAGAGAGAAAAGGUCUUCUUUUUAAAAUGCCAUAGACACCUCAUUGAUGUUCUUGGUUUAGAAAAAAAAAUUAAUUUAUUUAUCUACAGGAUUUCUCACUUUGAUUUUCUUUCUCCUCUGACAGCAGACAAAUUCAAAUUCUAGUGGAUAUAUUAGAGGUCAAAAGAGGCUUUGUUGGCCCACAGUGUCCUCAUUUCCAUCCAUCUUAGCCCUCAUUCAAUUCCCAACCACUUUGGAUAUUCUUAUUUCUUUUUUUCUGGAGAUGAAUUUGAACUUCUAUAAUUUUAAAACGUUUAUCAGCUCUUUUUCAAGUUUGAUUGACUGACAGCUAAUAAACUAAAGCAAUCUUUUAUUUGUGUGUGUGUUGGGGGGGGGGAGUACAAGGGAUGAACUCAGGGAACUCGACCACUGAGCCAGCCCUCUUUUGUAUUUUAUUUAGAGAGAGGAUCUCACUGAGUUGCUUAGCACCUUGCUGUUGCUGAGGCUGGCUUUGAACUCACAAUACUACUGCCUCAACCUCCUGAGAUGCUGGAAUUAUAGGUGUGUUCCUGAAACAAUCAUUCCUAACAUGAAGGUUGGCCUGUGAUGCUUACUCAAAAUAUAGAUUUCAAUACCUGAAUGAAUCUCUCCAUCAUGUGCCCCGACAAGAAUGGAGUCCUAAUUAGAAUAAGACAUACUCUAUGCUUGUAUAAUUUUAUAAAUGGAUUCUACUGUUAAGUAUAACUAAGAAGAACACAUUUGGAAGAUUUAUUCCCUGGGAAUAUGAGUAAUUUGGGUGGAGCCCAGGAAUCUGUAUUCUUAACCAACACCCAGACAUUCUGAUUCAGGUAGUCCAAGGAGCACAUCUUGAGAAAACCAGAUGAGCACAUUUCUCAUUUUCAGUUUAAACAAGUUAUUUGCCCUAGAUGUUGACAGAAAGCUGAUCAAAGGCCAGGACUGUACUCAGUUGCCCUCCAUUGAAUACAUCUGCUGGGGAGAGCCAAAUACACCAUGCUGAUAAUGCUCGCAGAAGCUAGCCCAAAAGAACAUGGAGAAAGCACUUACUGUGCUCCAGGCAUUUUACAAACCCACUCUAAUUUAAGUCAAAGUGUACAGAGGUAGAGCUCAGUUACACACCCAUGCCUCGACCAACUGCUGGGGUGAGGGGAGCAAGAGCUGAUAGUUUUCUCUCUCAAUCCAAAACCCCCAGGAAUGAAGGGCAUCAGGUCAGAGAUUGAGACAUCUAAAUACCAGUCUGCAAGUAUGACCCUUCCUCCUUCCUGCAGGCUACCAAUGCAAGUAUCAAACAUCUCCCACUUCUAUUUCAGGAUCUUUCAGGUUUUGGGGGUUCAGAUUGGAAGUAGGUUUCCUCCCUUUUCCUGCUUCAGAAACUGAAGAUGCAUGAGUUGGCACAUGUGGAAACACUUGAUAUUGACUGGAGAAUAAAAUUAUGCAUAGAUGGAAUAUGAUUUAGUCCAUAAAAAGAAAAAAAUCUGACAUAGUUAAGUACACUCUGUGUAUUCUUUGGUAGAUUCAUUCAUUCAUCAAACAUUAUUUGUACCUGUUGUUUAUGAGAACACUGAAGACUGCUAAGGGUAUAGGCUGCCACAGACUAAAUAUUUUCAGUUUGGUGGGGAUAGGAGGAGGCCAAAUAGGAGACACCCGGGGUAGAGGAGGUAGAAUGAAGAUAGGGAACAAGAAGAAGGAUGAGGGGCUAGAAUGAGGGUUGGAAGAGUAGUAGGAAAGUAUAACACAUUUUAAGUUUGUAUACAUUUUUGAAAUUAACAAAAUUAUCUUUUAUUUAUUGCAUGAUUUAUUCAUUGCAUGGUCUCCAGAAGAAUCAUCUAAAAAACAUGCUGUUAAAAUGGGUUCCUGAUCCCACUUCCAGGAAUUCUGACUCAUUGAGUCUGGGUUGGGUCUGGUGGGUCGGGUGUUUGGUCAUGGUCAUGGAUUGACCAUGCCUGGGUUGGUACUGAAUUAAUCCUCAAUAAAACACUAUGGGACAGGUAAGGUCAGAAUUAUGAUCCCCACUUUUUACUGUCUUUUCCCCAUAGUUUUAUUGAAGUUUGUGGGCUAAUAAAAAUUGCAUGUUUAUGGUGUUCAACACAAUGUUUGGUGAUUUAUGUUCACUGAAAUAUUCUUCUCAACAGCCAAGGUGUGGAAUCAAACUACAUGUCCAUCAUCAGGUGAAUGGAUAAGGAAAAGGUAAAUGUGUACUAUGGAAUAGUUCCAGUGUCCAGCCCCUCUCCUCUCCUCUUCCUGCCCUCACUUUACCACAUAUUGUCUCCUACCACACUUUACCUCCUCCUCUUCCCACCAAAAUGAAUACUACCAAACUAACAUACCCAGGUUGAACAUAGAGACAAAUGCUGCCAGGUAUCACUUACAUUUAAAAUCCUAAAAUGUCUACAUCAGAGCAGCAGAGAGGAGAAUGGCAGUUACCGGGGCUGGAUGUGGGAGGCAUACAGAGAUGUUGGUUAAACAUUCCCCAUUUUUCAUCCUUAUUGCUAAAAGGAGGAAACUGAAAUUCAGAGUAGUCAAGGACCUGAUUUAAGAUCCCAAAGCUACCAGGACCUUUGAUGCCAAGCCUUGGGUUCUUUCUUCUCUAUAAGAAUGAUUUAAUGUCAAUAUACUUUGAGGUUGUACAUGGAAAAAUCAGAAUGACUGCCAUUGCCUUUCAAGUAGAAAGAGCUACUACCGUGGAUACAAAUAUUGUUUUAAUGGACUGCAAGGAAUUUCCUUUAACUGUAAGUUCUCUCAUAACUAGUCUCGGCAAGAUGUAAUCUAUUUCUUCCCCUUAAAGAACCAGGAUUCUCAGAGUAGAAAAGCUGGAUACCAGCAGUCAUCUUUAUGAAAAUUGCCUAAGUCUUUGGUCACCUUGCAGCUGAGUUUUAAUCAGCUCUUAGGAUUUUUGUGAGGAAUAAAUGAGGAUUAAUCUUAUUUGAUUUGAAAGUUUGGGCAUGUAGUAAAUGUCCAAUACAUGCUGUCUCCCCCACUCCCGUUAAGUAGCUAGUCUGUCAUGCAAAAGUAGGUGAUAGAAGGACAUGAAGGGUGGAAACUUAUAGUGAAGACUUGGUCAGAUCCAUCAGAGUCACAGGUCACAGGACUUGGAAUCACAGAGAACUUUAUGCAAACAGACAAACAUCUGGAAAGUGGGAAUUGGUAUGCCAAACUCCCCUGGUCAGAGUAAUAAUAACCCCUUCAGGGAACUACUGCUUCAAGACCAGGUCAUACCCAUCCUUUGUGACCAGGUCAUCACAACCCUCCAAAGGAAAUUUACUGAGGGCUAUACAGAUGGCAAUGCACCACUUUAGGGGGGAAUGGGAAACUAAGGCAAGAACAAAAGAACCCAAACUCUUAAAAACCCUGACUCUGUAAGAGCCACAGCAUGCUCCUAGAGGUGGUCCUUGGUGUACCCAUACUGUAGGUUGUCCUCAUCUCUCACAUUUCUAAUAAACUCCUGUCUCUCCUGUCGCUACUUUGUGUGACUGUUUGCAGUUCUUCCUGCAGGAUUGCAAGAGCAGGUGGCUAUAGACCCCCAUGGCUACUUUGACUCUGUGGGUAGUCUCCCCUGCAAUAAUUCUUCAUCCACCUAGUAAGAAUUAAGUAUUAAUAAAAUAGUGAAAGCUUACCAUAUGCCAACCUAUGAACUAAGAAUUUAAUUUACAUUAGUUUACUUAAAUCUCAUCACCAUCCCAAGGAUUUGAUUUUGCUACCAUUCCCGUUUCAUCAAUAAAAAACCCAAGGCGAAGAGAGAUGAAGAUCUUUUCCUGUUCUCACAUUACUUGGAGGUAGAACUGGGAGUUCAAUCCAGGUAUUUUUGCCUCUGGAACUUGCACCUCUUAGCAUGCCCUGCAGAACUACUUGUCCUGUUUGGUAUCUUCAAUUAGUUUGUUAAAAGGUGAAAGUGGACAGAUGAGAUGAGAACAGAAAUUUCCCCUUGACUGCUAAAACCUGACCUGUCCACCACUACCCGUGCAUGGUUCAUAAAUCAACCUAAUAAGUGCUGUUUGGGCAACAGCAAUGCCACCUUGUUUCAUCUCUUCCCCUGGGACAGGGACCAAGAAUAUUGGCUUCCCCCUUACUCUAAUUCCCAGCUCUUCUGGUUCCGAGUCUUUUGCAAGAACGUGCAUUUGCUAUUUAAUCCUUUCAACUUGCUUGUUACUUUGCCUGUCAGCUCUUGCAUUGAUAGAAGGACCUCUCACUGCCUUUUACUCAUUAUCUAAAUAGUUUGGAUGCAAAGAGUUCUGGAGUGCUCCCUCAGGCAGUAUGAACUUCUGGUGAUGCACACACCCUUCCCGUGCCUGUCUACAGGUGAUUGCUGUGUGGUAGGGGUGAAGAAGAAACAAAUUAAACAAGGAAUCACAUCUCUGACUAAAGAAUUUCAAACUUGAAAAAGGGGUCCUGAGAGAAAAAAUCGUGAUUGGUCACAUCUCAUUGAAAGUGUGAGAAAGAACACAGAGUGGAGUUGUCCCUGCAGGGAAAAGGCUGUCCUGCAGUAUAAGGAAGGCAUCCUCAGGGUAGUGGUCUCUCACUGAGAUUUAAGGGUAAACAGAGGUCAACCAUGAAGGGUGAGUGGAGGGAUAUCAGUCUAACAUCCCUAUUGUAGGAGAGAACAUGGCAAGUUCUCACUGAAGCAAAGAUAUGACUCAGUACGAAAAAAAAUACUGAUGUUCCCUAAAGCUGAUGUAUGAGAAAAGAAAGUGGCAUCAAAAUAACGCCCCCCCACACACACACACAUGCUGUAGGAAGGAUAUAAAGUCACUCAUUAAUUUAACAGGUGUGUAUGAAAUUGCUACCAUAUGCCAAUAUCUGUGCCAGAUGUAUGUGAUGCUACAAAAAUGAUAAGAUAUUUAUUUGAUUUUGGUCAUUGAUCAAAUAAGCAUCAAGCAUCUAUUAAUCUGUAUCAAAUUUAUAUCUAUGUAUCUAUCUAUCUAUCUGUUUAUUUAUCUAUCAAUCUAUUUCAAAGGCUCGUGCCAAAUCUAACAAAGUGUAAUUCUCAGGUAAGGAACUUUGGCUCCAGAAUAUUUUAAAUACCAGAAAUGAUUCAUAUAUACAGCAGUGGUUUAAAACCUGUUUUAUACCAAGUUUAAAUAACUAGAUCAAGGUUCCAAUUGUAAGAAGCAAAAAUUUAAAAAUGAUCAUGUUUUGAGGUUAGUGGUUGGUCACAUAUUUUCUUCUCCCUAAAACCUGAGGAAUGCUACUCAACUCCCCUCUGCAAUAGUGAGCUCUCUCCACCUUACAGCAAGCCUGGGGAACAAGUCUCCCUUAGGUUCCUGUGCCACUGACCCCAUGAAACAAAUGUGUUAAGGCCACUCAGAAGGGAAUGUGCCCCAAUGAGGUAUUAUUCCUGUAGAGAAAUUCAUUUUGUUUCUCCUUUACUCCUGAGUGAUUUUGAAAAAGGCACACUUUAUGCAGACCCAGGAAAAAAAAAAAAGACAAGCUUUGACAAUACAUAGAAGGUGAAUGUUACCAAAUGUAUCUGCUUCUCUGCUGAUGACCUUAGUUUCCACUUGGUCUUUAGCCUUGGCUAGUAAAUAUUUGUGUGCAGUUAACAUAGUUGUAAUAGUUAAGUGCUUCAAGAGCUCAUUAACUUGGCAUUCAGGACAAUCACCCAUCACCUCUGGAUUCCCAAGGCACUUGAUACAGCUGGAUCACAUGCCUGUCCCUGAACUGGGGGAAUUAGGUAAGGGCAGAGCAUCCUACUAAAUCCCUAAAGCACUUAAAAACACACAGCAUGAUCUGCCCACCUAUGGAAACUGGCAAAGAUAAUGGCAAGGAAUGCAUCAGGGAAGGAAAGACUGAAUUCAAAAAGCAGUAGAAACUCGUUUUUAGCUGGGCCGGGCCUAAGCCACGUGAGCACCUAUAAUAACCUGGACUGGGUCCAUCUAUGAUGGUUCCAUUUGUUUUACAGGAAACUCUUCCUUUUUGAAAGAGAAAUGCUAAGCUUUUCAGUGCCUCCAGCAGAACAUGCUAAUGCCUUGAUUCCAAGGGUGUGGAUCACAUAAAUCUGAAGUAUCUCUGGUUUCGGUGGGAAUACUGAAACCUUUCUCUGCUGACGCAUCUAGGAAUUAAAGAAGCGUGACAGCUUUGAACUGUUGUCAAAAACUGCAUGGAGUCUCAUUUCUGGAAGGGAUGUUUCAUUUUCUGUGCUUUCAACUUGGAAGUAGAUCCUUCUUAAACUCUCCUGCUCCCCCCACCAACCCCAACUUUAUUCCACCCUUCUUUUGGCUCUACCAAGAAAAGUUAGAAUACCAGGGGUAUGAAGAUUGAAAAUAAUUUAAGGAUUGUAACGACCAUUGCACUUUGUUGGCAAAACAUAAAAUUUCAAUGUCAAGAGUUUGUUUUUGAAAAGAUUUAUAUAUUUAUCCCAUACAUAUACCUCACGUACAACCUCUGUUUUGUUUUGAGAACAGGAAUUUGCAAGCUUGGGAAAGAAAGCUUGUCACUACAAGUGACUGGAGGUUCUUCUUUUAAUUGGUAUUCUGGGUCUCUUGUUGGAGAAAGGUAUACUGUUGAAGGAAAAUGUUGACUUUCAUAAGCCUGGUAGUUUGAGUUUCCCAACUUGUCCUGGUGGUAUCACUAAAGAACACUUUGUGGAUUUGUAAUCAUUUAUUUCUGGUUGCACUUGAGAAAUAUGCAGUUGGAGCCUGUUAUGAAGCAACACAAAUUACUAGAGAAUAAAAAAGAGAAAGUAAUUUAAAAAAUUAAAAUGUGCUUUUAAAUGAUUACAAACCUGUGAAAAUAGGAACUUUGUACAAUGCACUUCAAGGGAGAAUAUUUGUAUACUCCAAAAAAAGCACAGUGACUCUUAGAAUUGACAGCAGGAGGUGUUGGUUGUGUCUGGAGCUGGCGGUUUUAGGCAUGGCUUUGUAAGGAGACAAUCUGGCCCCUGAGGUAUGCUAAAGGAAUAAGAGCACUAAAAUGUGAAGGGAAAGGUGCCAAGUGGAGAGCUAUUGCCAAGUCAAGGAGUCAAGUUGGGGAACGAAUUAUGGUUGGUGAUCUUGAGCUGGUAACAUCACCUGUCUACACAGUUGUGAGAAAAAAAUGGCACAUUUAUUGUGUCAUUUAUUCUCACAACUGUCUUUGUGGAUGCACCCAGAGAGGCAGGGGAAAUUCAACCAUGGGUAGAGUGGUUGCCAUUGAACAUCAAAGAAAAGAACAAGCAAAACAGUGGUUGAAAAGGUAAAGGAUGGAACGUGAGACAUGAUCUAGAAGAGGUGGGAUGAAAGUCAACAAGGAUCCUGCAUCAGAUGAUUAUAGUGAACAGGGUGUUGUAGGAAGCAACCAGUUCAGUGUAGGCAAAGAGACACAAAGGUUGAGGACGUGGAUGGGCCUCAUGGUCUAGAAAGAUAAAUACCACAAGAUGGAGCAUGAGAGAAGAGGAAACUCACAAAAUUGUAUGGAGGAAGGAAGUUUAAUCUGAGGGACUGUCAUAGUUGUUAAGUAAAGCUGUACUUUGGGGGCAGAGUGAGUUAGUGGGACCACAUUAUUGAUAAGACUAAUGAAAGUCAUUUGUAGACGAAUGACUUCUCUCUACUAUUAAAUUCCGUAUUACUCUGGUAGAAGAUCUGGAAUUUUGGGUAUGGACACUGGCUUCCUCUUCUCUGGUUCUUGAAUGAAAUGUGCUCGGUAACGGCAGAAAGGAGAACUUAGAGACAACAAUGUUGCCCAUCUCCCAGGAAACACUCGAGUAAUAUGCAGGUUCAUGGCACCUCAAAGAGGCCUCCAUCUUAAUUCCCUCACAUUUUUUAAAAAAUUUUAAACACAGGACAAAAGUGACUUUGCCUAUGUGAAUAAAUGAAGGAUCAUAAAAUGGAGAGAUUAUCAAUGGGGGCCCAGUGUAAUCAAGAGAGUCCUUAAAAAAGGGAAACAGGAUGUCCAAACAAAGAGAGAAUAUUAUACUGCUGGCUUUGAUGUUGUAAAAAAGGGGCUAUGAGCCAAGGAAAGCAGAUAACUUCUAGAAGCUGGAGGAGGCAAGGGAUUAGCUUCUUCCUCGGGGCCUCAGAAAGGAUGCAGCCCUAUAGCCAUUUCAACUUUGGCUCGUUAUGACCCAUUUUGGACAUAAAUUUGUGUUAUUUUAAGCCACUAAGCUUAUGGCGAUUUUUUUUUGUAGUAGCAAAAGGAAAAUAACACUUUGAGUUUAAAAGUAAUGUUGAAAAAAGUUUCCUCUAGCAGUGGGUGACUGGAUUAGUUGGAUCCAGGAGAGGUGCAGAUGCAUGUGCCCCCGGGGAUACUGAGUAAGAUAAAUAUACCAAGUAAGAUAGGGGAAAGUGUAACAGGAACAGAGGAGAUGGGUGGACAAGAGGGUACAAUAUUAGCAAUUAUCUUCAGGAGUUACUCUGAGCAAAGAAUGGGGAAAAAUUAGCACAGCAACCUAGACUAUAAUACAUACUUAGUAUGUGGUUGAAAAAUCAUUUGUCAGUGUUGACUUUGCUGUGGGUAAGGUGAUCCUUUGGAAAGUAGAGACUUCAGAGAAUAUAUUGUUAGCCCCUCCCUGAAGAUGGUUUUGUGUGUGUAAAAUUGGCUUAUGAUAAAUACAAAGGAAAGCCUUGAAGUGGGGGAAGAGUUGAUGCAGGAACAGGAACGGGUAGAAGGAAGGCAAGCAGAUGACAGGCAGCCUUCUCAACCUGGUCCUACCUGUUUGCAGGGGUGACUGUGCUUAUAAAAGCCUCAGAGAUUUUUUAGCACCAGCUGAGCAUGCUGCUUCAUCUCACUUCCAGCGGCCUCCCUGAGUCAUUGCCCACUCUUCUGCCCUGCAGCGACUGCCUGAGAUCUCUUGGAGAUAAAUCCCAGUGCUUACUCAUCUCCAUGUUGCCGGUACCCAGUAUAAUAGCCAGCAAACACAAAGUGCCCAAUAAAUUGUCAUUAAGUGAAUGAACAAAAGGACAGGGUUCUACUCUUCAAAGUUUUAAGGAUUCAUUGCAAUGAGAGUAUUAUGGGGCAAUGAGCAAUCCUUUGCUCAGAUUUGUGAUUCAGCUGAAUUGUUUCUGAAAGCGGGUCCAAACCAACUCACCAACUGAUGUCAAGCCAGUAAAGGUUCUUGGUGCCUACCAUGAUGGAUCCUGAUUCAGUAGAUCUGGGAAAGGCCCUGGUAGGUGUCUCCUUUACAAGUUCCUCAAGAUUCUUUUUUUCAGGCAGGUACAUAAAUGCAUACAUUCCUGGUUUGUUCUUUCCCCCAGAUGUGCACUUUAAUGGAUGCCCGGGUCAUGCACAGAUGAUAGAUCCUUAAGGUGUUAGAAACUUAUAAGUGUUUCAUUCAUAUCUUCAUAGACUAAAAUUGAGGCCUCAUCCAAAAGGAUUCAGAGGAGCCAGGCUAGAAUUUUUUUUUUUUUAGUUAUACAUGACAGUAGAAUGUAUUUUGACAAAUCAUAUAUACUUCAUACAUGGAGUAUAACUUCACGUUCUUGUUAUUGUACAAGAUAUGGCAUUCCAAUGGUUAUGUAGUCAUAUACAAACAUAGGAAAGCUAUGUCCAAUUCUACUGUCUUUCCCAUUACAGAGAUAUUGUGGUCUGAGAUGAUCAGAGAAUGAUUCAUUGAGAAGUUGGAAUCUAAAUUAACCUUCGGGCAUAGGCAAGAUUGGAUAAAUGGAGGGAAGAAGAACAAGUACAACAAAAACACAGAGUUGGAGACCUUGUAAGAAGCAGUAUUAGCAUCAUUUGGUUUUUCCACUCAAAAUACCAUUCAUGAUCUGUAUCACUGAUUUCUGCAUCUCAAAUUACUUAAGUGUGUUAAACAAUCAUCAUCAUCUAUUAUCUCCCAGUUUCUGAGGGUCAAGUAUUUGGAAGCAUUAUGUCUGGACUUUCCAGACUUGGGAUUUUUAUGAGAUAGUAGUCAGAUGGUGACAGGUGCUAUGGUCAUGACCCAAGAAUUUUGGUCAAGUGCUUAGACUGAGAACACUCAGAAAAUGGGGGCUGAAACAUCUGGGACUCCCUGGACAUCUUUCUCUGUCUCUGUGCUAUCACUCCAUAUGGUCUCCAUAGCAUGGUGGACCCAGAGUCUUUGGGCUUUUACAUGGCGGCUUAUUCUCUAAAGACACAUGCUCUGAAGCAGUGCACUGGUCGGAAGAGACAGGCGAUAAAAGGAAAAGCUAAACUGUGGCACACAAGUAGACUCCAAAGGUGUUUAAAUGGACGGAUGAAUAGAUGGGCAAGGGAACAGUGAUCUUUGGAAGUGUCUAAUUUAACUUUAGCCAUAUACGAAGAGAUUAUUCAAGGUUAUUUUAUGGUAAAAGUUAUGGAUUUUUCCUACAGAAGGAUCACCAUAAAAGAUAUGUUUCAAAAGAUAUGAGUUAGCAUGCUCUGUCAGAAGGAAAUUAAAAAGUUCUUCAAUUCUUUCCAGUUUUCAAUUAUCUCUGAAGGUCAGGGAUCUGAUAGAUUGAAGAAUUCAUUUUGUAGAGUGAAUACAGUUUUAGAAUCCAAAUCAAGAUCCAUGCUCACCACAACAUGCUUGCCAUGCAGGUCUUUAAUACUUUUCCUGAUCUAGCUUUUUAAUUUCGCCAACUUCCUCUCUUAUCUCUUCCUUGAGCUUCACAGUCCAACUUUCUGGAUUGCUUGCUUUUCUCCAGAAGGCUGAAACUGUUCCAUGACUCUUUGCCUCUGUUCCUGGUGAUCCCUCUGCUCGAAGUGCUGCCCUGUCCUGCCUUGGCCUCAGCAGCUGCCCCUCCCUGCCUCUGGCUCUAGUACAGGUGCUGCUCCUUGGAAUCCUUGGAUGCCCGCUUCUGAGGAGCCCACAUGCUGAGUUCCUGCAUAUCUCUCUGUCAUUUCUCAGGUCUUACUAUUUUCACUGCUAGACUAAGAGCUCCUUAAGAAUAGGUCUAGGUCUUAAUUAUCUCUGCAAUGUCCUCAACAAGUACAAUUCCUGGCAUAUAACAAUCUAUCAGUCAAUACUUACUGUGUGUAAGUGAAUAAAUGCACGUGCCAAUGCAGGGAGAAAUGUAUUAUUUCAAACUGUGAAUUACCCAUUUGUAAAACCCUUUAAUUGAACAGUGAUGCAGUGGGUUUCAGAAGCAUUGGUCAGACUAUCUUUUCAUGAUCAGUACAAUGCCAAGAUUGAAAAAUAAAUAGUAGGAAAAAAAUUAUAGUUUCUGGGCGAUAGAAAAGGCUUUUGUCUUUUGAGUCUUUUUUCUCUUUCUUAUUGAGAAUCCUGUGGAAAAAUGAAAGCAAGCUCAGGAAGAUUGAAUAUUUUUCUUUUUAUAUCAAAUACAUAGCCCCUUCCAAGUUUUGGCUACUAGGAUGCUGUCUAUCUUUUUCUACUGCAGAAACACUUGCAGAAGUGGAAUUCACUCUGGUGGGAUGUGAAUAAUCUCAUUUCACUUUACUUCCCCACUGGGAUGGGGCCACACACUAAUGUAGGCUAUGAUUCUUCCCUACAGCCAGGGAGGGGCGGAAAUGGAACGUGAACCUCUGGGCCACACUCAUCUCAGUCUCGUGCUGGUCACUGCCAUUUGCCUGUGAUUUUAUUCCAUUUUCCCAAGCCUCAGUUUCUUCUUCUCUGAUUUGAGAAUUACUGCCUCAUCACACUCGGCUCAAGAAACGGAAACCACGCUAAAGGUAGAGAUGACCUUAACACACACACAGCCUGAAUUCUCACAGAUGUCAAGCACUUCUUCCCUCCUCUCACAUGACCAUCCUCAGAAAAGACUGUUCUAGCCACCCAUGACAAAGAGGUUGUUUCUGGUUGAACUUUUCUGCUUAGUAAGGAUGGGGUAGGGCUCCAGGUAUCUUGUGUAUAUCUUUCUGGCUGGCAUGUCAGGCGCACCCAUCCACAAGGCUUUGUUUCUUUAACCUCAAGUUAUGUAAUGUGUAGGUGUAGGGCCCUGGAUUCAUUUCCACCAGGACCUGUUUCAAAAUCGCUGCCGGUUGCUCUAGGGCUCUGAGUGUAUGUGUAAGACAGAGAGGCCCAUACAUGUUCCCCGCUUGAAGCACCAGACUUGAAUUAGGUCAUUCAACCAUUGCAUUUUUCAGCAUUUCACAAGUCACUGCUAUGGCAGCAGGUUAGGGCCACGGAGAAUAAAGCAAGAGCAGGUAGUUGCUUAACCUUGCUUUUUCUGUUGGCAUGAGAAACAUGCUGGCAGGGAAGUGGUGACUCACUCCCUUUGCUGGAAUACAACAGAGAGCUCCUAAUGACUUUAUUUCAAAGGCUACUUUCCCCCACCUUCAGAUAAUUCCUCUACAACUGAAUUUAAUCUCUGGAAGUUUAGAACAUGUUAGGAAGGGUAUAGACCUGUUCUGAUCUCUAGGGUACCCUUGGGAAACACACAGGGAAUACAUAAGUGGUAUCCAAGGAACCCUCCCAGAAUCUGUGGGAAGUAAAAACAAUACUUGAUGAUUCAAAGAUUGGUGGUUGUGCCCAAUGAUAGUUAUUACCUACUAUGUGCCAGGCCCUUUAUUGACAUUUUCUCUAAUCCUCAUUCAACCAGCUUAUAUUGCAACUGAUUCUCAGGAAGGUUCAAUAAUUUCUCCAAGGUAUCAAUGCUAAUCAGCAGAGAGUUGAGAUUCAAAUCCAGACACGUUCAGUGUCAAAGUCAGGUGCCUUCCACUAUGUCAGGCUGCCUUCCCAGGGUGGAAAUGGAAUGUCUGACCUGCUAUAUCAUGCAUCUCCCUAGAACUGCCACUAGGUAAGGACUUACUGGGACUGUCAGUCAUAGUGCCAACCCCUCCUCUCUCUACUACUAGUGGACUGUGUUCUAGCAUUCUGGCUCCAGUAAAGUCACACUUGCACUGCAGGAAGCUGAAAUAGCAUCCAUUUAAAACAGUUUCUCUGAGAUUCUUUUUCUUCAGUUAUUCUUGCUGAGGUCUACUGGUUUCUGUCUUAAUUACCCAGAUGUAAACUUCAAAUACAUUAUAUCUUUCUCCUUUUCCUUUCUUUUUCUCAUCAUCAUCAUCAUCAUCUCCUCCUCCUCCUCCUCCUCCUCCUCCUUCUUUUUUUCUACUUAGGUCAGUUUGGGACAGUUCCUGGAUAACGUAUACACCAUAUGGCACUCAAAUAACAUCUUGGUUGAAUGAAUGCAGCAGCUGUACAUCCUCAGAAUUUUUUUUUUUUGUACUAGGGAUUGAACCCAGGGGUGCUUGACCACUGAGCCUCACCCCCAGGUCUUUUAAUUUAAUUGAAUUUUUAAAAUUUUGAGACAGGAUUUCACUAAAUUGCUGAUAGCCUUGCUAAAUUGCUAAGGCUGGCUUUGAUUCCUGAGCCACUGAGAUUGCAGGCAUGAGCCACACCACCCAGCCUAGAAAGAGAAGUUUUUAAAUAUUAGCAAGCACCAGCAUUGCCUAGAGGGUUUUAAGACACUAAUAGCUGAUCCCAAUCCCUAGUUUCUGAUUUGGUAGAUCUGAAGGCAUGUCUUAUAAUUUAAAUUUCUAAAAUGUUCCUGGAUAAUGCUAACACUGCUAGUCCAGGGUCACACAUUUGGGACACAAAACUAAAUUCAAACAGGUCUUCUCUGAAUGGAAUAGUAAACUGAAGAAAUUGUUAGGUGUGGUUACGCCUUCCAUGACAGAAGUAUGUGUAUUCAGAGUUUAACGUCUAAAGUUAUAAUUGCUCUGCUCCUAAACUUACAUAUUGCUAGUAAUUUGUAUAUUCUGUCUUUUUGUAGAGACAUUUGCCUUUUGCAAAGAAGACACUUUUAGUUUUAUAGAAUUCCAGGCUAUCAGUCAUGUGAAGGUCAGCUUAUUAAUUACUUCUCUCAUGAAUCAUGCCACUAUUGCAUAUAGAAAAUUGUUGCCCUAAGCAAGGUCAUCUUGGUUUUUCCUGUGUUAUCUUCUAGGAUAUUACAGUUUUGCUUUUUACACUUAGGUCUCUGAUCUACUUUGAGUUAAUUUAUGUGAAGAUUGUACAACUUAUCUAGAUUCUGUUUUUUUUUAAUUGUUGUUGUUGUUUGUUUGUUUUAGAGGUGGAGGGAUGUGGAUGUCCAGUUGUUCCAGCACCAUUUGUUUAAAAAAAAAAAAAAUCUUUGCUUCAUUGUAUUGCUCCUUUGUCAAAGAUCAUUUGGAUAUGUUUAUGUGGCUCUAUUUGGGAGCUCUCUGCUCUGUUUUUUUCCUCCUAUUUGACAAAUUGCCAUGAUCACCUUGUCUUGAUUACUGUGACUCUAUAGCAGUCUGAACAGCAUUAGUCUCCUGACUCUCCUCUUAUUCAAUGCUGAGUUGGCUAUUUUAGACCUUAUGUAUGUGUCUCCAUUCAAGCUUUAGAAUAAAUUCAUUCAUAUUAACAAAACUAAUUGCUGAAAUUUUGAUUGGAAUAGCAUUAACUCUUUAGAUUUAUCUAAAGGUCAAAUUGGGAAGAAACAGCAUCUUGAUAAUAUGGAGUCUUCUUAUCCAUGAAGAUGAAAAACCUCUCUAUUUUUUCAGUUCUUUGAUAUCUUUUAUCAGAUUUUUGUAGUGUUUCUCAUGUAGAUCUUACGCCUAUUGGUUAAAUUUAUAGAUACUUCAUUUAUCGUGUUGCCAAUAUAAAUAAAUAGCAAUCUGCUUUUAACUUCAAAUUAUUCCAUUCAUUACUGGUGUAUAGGAAAGCUAGUGCCCCUGGAAUAUUAACCUCCUAUGCCAUACCCUCACUGUCCUUGCUUGUCACUUCCAGAAGCUAUUUUGCCAACUUUUUUGGAUGUCACAUGCAUGGUCAUGGUACAGCUUUGAAAAAAUGGAGCAAAUUUUAAUAAAAUAGUCUUUAAUACUAAAAGUAAAAUCAUGCACUAUAUUGCUAUAGCAAUAUGAAUGAUAAUAAUGUGGAUAUUACCUGAAGUGGAUUAUAACUUGUGAUAUACUUUAUGAUUUCCACAUAGAAACUAAAAUAGAUCUGUCAAUAAUAGAUAAUCUGAAAGUAGAAGAGGGGCUAUUAGGGACUGAGAAAGGAUUGGGGUGGGGGAAGGAGGAUGAGCAAGAUCAAUGCACAAUAUAUGCAUGUGUGGAAAUGUUAUCCUGGAACACACAAAUUUGUCCACGAAAUACACUUUAAUUAAAAAGAAAAGCAUGUUUUUUAAAAAAAUUCUAUCCCAUUCUCUAUCUCCUGACUUUGUUUACCUCCAAUUACACAUACAUUAGAUCAUUUCAUAGGGAUCCAUAGCUUCCUGAGAAUCUAACAUUUUAUUUUCAAUCUUUUCAAUUUGUUUUCUUUUCUUCAGAUUUUAUAAAUUCUAUUUAUCUAGCUUUAUCCUAUUUUUCCCUGUCUUUUUUCUUCAUUAUGUGUAUAAACUUAUGCGGAGGUAUUUCAAUACCUCUGUUCAGUUCUUUCCUCUUUGUACAUGUUGCUUUGUGUCUGCCUCACACAAACAUGGCAUGGAUAUCACUAAUAUUUGGGGUUUUCUCUUUUUGGCUGGGUUAUUUACAAAAAUUCUUUAUGCAAUCACUUUUCAAUUGUUUUUAUUUCCCUGAAUUAUGUCACCUUGUUAUAAACACUGAAUAUUUUCUAAUUAGAGUACUGGCUACCCUAAGUAGCAUUGAUUCAGUCUUCCAUGAGACUAAAAGCUGAGAACAAUGGCUAACUCAUCCCAUGACAUUCUUUUGUCCAACUUUUAUACUUCCUGUACAGAAUAUGCUUGUUUUUAUUCAUUUUACAUUGAUUUUAGGUCAUUCUUACAUUUCUAUUCAGUGCAUACUUGUAUUCAGCAAGGAUUUGGGUCCAGAAGGAUUAUACCAAAAGUAUAAGUUUUUACUAGGCAUUUUCUUUUAUUUUUAACUUUGAAAAAAUAAAGAUUAUUAUCCCAAGUGUUACCAAACUCAUUUGGAAAUUAUAGGCCAUGAAAUCCAAAGGACUGGAUAUAAACCACUCAUAAAAGCCAACUUCUCAUUCAUUUGAUAAUUUUUUCUAUAGUGCUUUCUUGCUAAGGUACAUAUAAGACACACACACAUGCGCACAAACACACACACACACACACACACACACACAAAAGAAAUAAAGGUAAACUCUGCACUCUCAGGGAACAUGCUGUGAAUAAAAAGGACAAGGUAAAUCAAUAAUAACUUAAGUAGGACAGGUCUUCCAAGACAAAGAUAUGAGGAUGGAUUAUUUGAGAAAUCUGUUGCUGUAACACUAUAGAAGUUCUCUUUAAUAAUUAAAAAUUUGUUGCUGAGAUUUAAAAAUCUAUAGUAAACAUAUAAAAAAACAAUUACUUCCAUUUAUUUCAUUCUUCAUUGUACUUCUCCACAUAAGCCUCAAUCUAGUGUUUAAGUAACUAACUAAUCACUCCUAUUGCUUGAUUUCACUAACCAAAUUCAGAGAUAUCAAAUAGUGGUAAUUGAUAAACAUAUUCAAAAUUAUGUGGUUUUGGACAAUAAACAUGUCUCAAGACGCUUUUUUCAAGAGAGCUGAAAAAAAUGUCUCUCCAUCAACUUUAAUUUGCAUUCACAGUUGCCAAACAUCCUAUUUCCUAGAGCAAGGUUCACAACUAUCUCUAUUACUUGUCAGUGGCUUUCCAUAGCAUUCUUGAUGCAUGAGUUUCCCAAUAGUAGAUGCAAAUGCACCGUGAUUUUGAGAAUGAUCUGAAUUCUGAAGGAACAUCCCUGUCAACAACAAUGACUAAUCAAAUCAACAAAAAUAAAUACCAACUACUCCAGACUGCAUCUUAAAAAGUGAAGGUCAUAAAAGCAGGAUGCCUCUGGCAAAGGUAAUGUUUCAUAUCUGGAAGGAAUUAUGUUCCCUGAGUUGAGUGUAACAUAUUAAAAGGUAUUUGAAGUCAUUUUCAUUAAGCAAUAGGACUGACCAACCCAAGGUCUUUUUAUUGUGUUUGUGUAUUUUUUAUAUCUAUCUUGUCAAUCAAGAAAUUGUGGUUAAUGUGAGUUAAAAAGCUCACAUUAAUACAUUGAAUCACACAUUCUAUUCCAAUGAAUUUAUGCUAAGGAAAGUACUCUAUAGCAAAGACACAAUAGGGGCAUGAAAUAAUUAUUAUAACAUUAUGUAUUAUGGUAAUGUAGACACAGCUGAAGUUCCUAAGUGGCUUACAAAUUGUGGUAUUCUUUGUGGUUUAGGAAUAAUAAUCAUGGGGAACCAUGGAGAUCACCACAAAUAUUUCCUUGCUGUCCUUGAUGAUACCUACCAUGGAGCCUAGGAUGGCCCUGGGGGAACACCAAUGAUACAGGCACACAGAAGAUUGUAUCCAUGGGUAUUUAAGUCAGCUACAUGGUGGAGGGGAUACACCUCACUUUCCCUUUGAGUCUGCUGUCUCCCCUGACAAGCUGAAGAAGGUCAGAAAAACCAAACAGGUGGGCAUGCUUACAUUCGUGAAUUGAGCCUUGGAAAGUCAUAAUCAUGGGUGGUGGAGUGCAUAUGAUAGCCAUGCCCCCUCCACCAAGGAGUUGGUUACCUUACCUUAAGAAUAUGAUUCUCUUGGCUGCCUGAGAUGCAGAUGCCCAGCAGAGCUGAGCAUCAGUUCAGCAGUAGGGGCAUGUUGAUCUAAAUCUCUCUGGAGUAGACUUCACGUAACAAAGUUCUGAUCAGAGCUAGACACCAGCUGCUAGAACUUCCCAUUUAGAAUUUUAAUUCAGCCUCACACUGGGAAUUUGUCUAAUUGUCUGGAGAACACUUCAGUAGAUGGUACUUACCCUUACAUUCUACAUUGCAUUGGUGAAUGGAGAAGCUGAGAGUCAUUUCAACCAGAUUCAGCCUCAGCUCACUCCAGCUGGCAACAGAAUAAAGAAGGGUUUGAUAACUCUCGACCCUUGCUCUUUCUACAGGUUGCAUAGCCUAAGAGAAAACAUAAAAAAAUUGCAGAUUGACAUAAGUAGUAAAUACCCAUUCUUGUCCACAGUUUCAACCACCUCAGUGGAGACAAUUAUUUCAUUUUUCCCACUUAGCUUUAUGAAAGUAAAGUUGAAGUACAAUAAAAUGCACAUAUUUGAAGUAUGCAGUUUGGUCAGUUUUGACAUGUAUGUAACCGGUACAAUCAAUAUAAAAAGUAUUUCCAUUAUGUUUCUUUUAAAAUUUUAAAUCAUGCAGGCUGUGUUUCCUGAUGGUUUUUAACGUUAGAAAUCAAUCACCUUAAGAUAUAUAGGACCCCACCCCCACAUCUCAACUACUUCAAAAUUAAAUGGCACACUUACAACUAUCUCACAGGUCAAAGAAGAAAGCACAAGAAAAGUAAGUAAACAGUACUUUUAACUAAUUGAUAAUAAAAGUUUAAAAUAUCAGAAUCUCUGGGAUAAAACAGUACUCAGAUGAACGUUUAUAGUUUAAAGUACUUGUUAACAGAAAGAAGCUAGAUAAACAAUCAAAUUAUUUUCAAAUUAGGUAGUCGGAAGGAAAAAGUAAGAGUAGGAGCAGAAAUAUGUGAAAUAGAAAAUAAAUAAUGUAGCGAAAAGGUGAUAAAAAUCAAACAAUCUAAUCAAGAAAAAAGCAAGAACACAAAAAUUAAUAUUAAUUGAAAGGGAACUAUCAGAUGCUGAAAAUAUAUUAAAGCAAUAUUACAAUCGUAUGCCAACAUAUGUGAUAGCUUACAUAACAUACUCUAUAUUAGAGAAGUAACCAUGUGCUACUGAGAAGAAAGUGUAUUCAGUCAUUGAUUGAUGAAAUACUCUAUAUAUGUGUGUUAGGUCUAAAUUAUCCAUUGUGCUUUUUUAGUUCUAUACUUUCUUUAUUUAGUUUGUGUUUGUAGGAUCUUUCUAGUGGUGACAGAGCCAUGUUAAAUUUACUCAGUUUUUCUGUGUUGUGGUCAAUUUGAUUCUUGAAAUUGAGGUGAAUUUUUUGUUUGUUUGUUUUGAUGUACAGAGAUACUCCAUUGUUUGGGGCACAAAUAUUUAUGAUUGUUAUGUUUUGUUGAUAUAUAGUUCCAUAAGUAGUAUAAAAUGGCCUUCUUUGUUCUUUCUGAUUAACUUUGGCUUGAAGAUAGAAAACCCUGCUUAUUUAUGAGAUCUAUAUGGAUGAUAUGUUUUUUCCUGAUCUUUUAACCUUCAGUCUGCAGAUGUCUUUGCCUCUGAAGGGAGUCUCUUGAAGACUACAUAUUGUUUGGUCUUGUGUUUUUAAUCCAAUAUGCCAGUCUAUGGCAUUUGAUUGAUGAGUUUAGGCCAUUUACAUUCAAUAUUAUUACUGAGAAAUUAUUUUUAUUUCCUGUCAUUUUGCUUUAUUUCUGAUUGUUACUUUGAAUUAUUUUCUCCUUUGACUAUUCUUCUAGUGUAGUUCCUCCCUAUCUUGUUUUCAAGAUUAUAUAUUUUGUAUUCAUUUCCUGAAACUCUGUCUUCCAAGUGAUCUAGUUUGUUGGUGAUGUUUUCCAUUAAAUUCUUAAUUUGGUUUAUUGAUUCCUUCAUUUUGAGGAUUUUUGCUAUAUUUUUUUCAGAAUCUCUCUUUCUUGAAAUAAUCUUUUAAUCUUUUUAAAAAAUAAAAAUUAGUAUUUAUUUUACUGCUGUAUAUUAAUUGCUGCCUACAUCACUGAUGUUUAUUUAUUCAUUUUUGUGAAGUGCCAGGUAUUUAGUGUGACUCUGGAAGUUUGCAGAAUAGAUGGUCUCUGAUUCUGAGCUACACUUGAAACCCAGGUAAGAGAUAAAAUAUGUUACUCUUCACAUUAUCAUUAGAUACCACUUAAACUUUAGAUACCACUUAGGUUACAGUUCUCAAAAUCAUACUUUAACAUAAAUAAUAGCAGAAGCAAAAUCCCCAAGCCAAAAACUAGGUCCCAAGUAGAAAUAGACAGGCUGUAGCUGAAGACCCACACAUGGGCAUCAGCUCUUACAGAAACACAGGGAGAAAUAACACAAAGACUGUGAACACCACACCUAGGAGGAGCCUCAACAAAGGUCACUCCCAUACCAUCUCAGAACAUGCAGAUUUGUGAAGAGUAGCAGAGCAAUCACAGAGGCUAUCUCCCAUAUGCCCUGCUAUCUAUAACACAAUUGCCUGGUCUACUAGAAAGAUCUCACUCAUACGAGACAUACAUUCAAAGUGGGAUCUUCAAACUCUGACAUAAUACACACUGUGUCCAAGUGCAUUGGUCAUCACUGAAGAAAAAGUUAGUCAGCUUUCCAUCACUGUGACUAAAAUACCUAAAAAGAACAACUUAGAAGAGGAAAACUUUACUUUAGAUUUGUGAUAUCAGAGAUCUCAGUUCAUGGUCAGUAAACCCCAUCACUUUGGGUCUGAGGUAAAACACAACAUAAUGGAAGGAGGUCCUGACAGAGGAAAGCUGUUCAACUCAUGACAGAUGGGAAAUAGAGAGAUUGAGGGGUCAAAAUACAAACACCAAAGACAUGCCUCCAGUUCCCUGCUUCCUCCAGCUAUAUCCUACAUGCCUACAGUAACCCCUCAGUUCAGUGGUCCCCACAAUUAUUAAUUCAUCAACUGACUUAUUUCACUUAUUAGGUUAGAGUUCUCAAAAUCAUUUCACCUCUGAAUAUUUAAGCAUUGUGUCACACAUGAGUAUUUUGGGGGGACACCUCAUAUUCAAAUUAAAACAACCUACAUGGAAAUAUAUUCAACAAUUCACAUCAAUUGAUAUCCAAGAACACAUCAUCUUCAGAAGUUUGUGCUUUAAAAAUUCUUUACAUAAAACUAGAAGGGAAAUCCAACAAAAUAGUUUGGCAAAUUUCAACAUAUAAAUACAAUAGAAAUGGAAAAAAACAAGGUUACAUGACACCUCCUAAGACUCAUUAUUUGCCAGAAAUUGACUCCAAAUAUAUUAAAGUGGAUUAACUACCCAAAAAAUAAUUUUUAAAAGAUCAAUUAUUUAAAGAGAACACAAAAGAGCAUCCAUACACAUUAGGGAAGACAGUAUAGGAUAAUAUGAGAAAUUUAAUAAAGAUAUAGAAAUAUUGAAACAGAAAUCCUGGAAAUAAAAUGCAUAAUAUAUCAAGUUGAAAAUCACACUAAUAGAGUAACUUCGAGUAGAAUACUAAAUUUCAGAGCUUGAAGAAAAAGUGGAUGAACUUGUACAUUCAGAUAGUAUUAAAGAAAAAAAAAACAAAUUAGAAUAUCUAAGAACCCUGGGACGACAUUAGGAGACCUAAAUUCAGGCUCAUAGGUACUGAGGGAAGAGCAGAUCCAGACUAAUGAUGCUGGUAACCUUCUCAAUGAAAUAGUGACAACUAAUUUUCUGAACCUUGAGAAUGAGAUGGACUUCCAAACACUCCAAUCAUUUAGGGAAAAAACUCUCCAUGACGAAUUUUAGGUAAGAUGCCCCCAAUCCAGAACAAUUUUAAAAAUUUAAAAACUACAAGAGAAAAAUGCUAGAUCCAAUCAUAUUAACAGAAGAUUCAUCAGUAGAAAUCCCAAAGUUCAUGAGAACUUUGAUUGUAUUUGAAGUUCUGUGAGAAAAUAACUUUCAAUCUAGAUUCCUAUAUCAAGCAAAGCUAUCUUUCAGAAUCAAAGCAGUAAUAAGAAAUUUCCAAGAUAAACAUAAACUAAAGGAAUUCAUGACUAUUAAUUCAGCAUUGCAGAAGAUACUUACAGGAAUCCCAUAUGCAUAAGAAGAUUUAACAACAACCAUAAAAAGAAAAAAGACAGUGAAGAAGGAAAGAAUAAAUCUUACUAGAAGAUCAUAUAAGCAAAUGAGAAUUAGAAUUGAACCAAAUAUUAAAAACAUAUUAGAAAAUGACAAUAUGUGAUACAUACCUAUGGAUAAUAAUACUGAAUGUAAAUUGAUCUCAAUUCUCCAUUGAAUGCAUAGACUAGCAAGUUUGAUUUAAAAAAAAAAUAAGACUCUAUAUUGCCUGCCAGAUAAACACCUCAUUGGCAAAGACUCCACAGACUGAAAGUGAAAGGGUGUCAGAUGAUAUUUACUGCAAAUGGAGACCAAAAGAAGCAGAAAUGAUUACUCUAAUGCCCAACAAAGCAGACUUCAAGACAAAAUUAGUCAUCAGAAGAGAUGAAGUAAGUUACAACAUACUGGUAAAGGUAACCAUCCAACAAUUGGAUAUAAUAAUGAUGCAAAUAUUUAUGCCUUUAACUUCAAUGACCCUAAUUACACAAAACAAGCACUACCUCACAUAAAGGAUCUGACAGAACCCAAUAUCUGAUUUCAACAUAUCUUUCUCACUAAGAGAUAAGUCACAUAGACAUAGAGUCAAUGAAUAUAUAACAGAGCUAAAACAUACUAUAGAUCAAAGGGAUUAAUGAACAUCUGAUUAUUUCAUUCAACAACAGCUGAAUACACUUUCUUUGUAGCUGUUCAUGGAACUGUCUCCAAAAUAAAUCAUAUUUUGUAUCAUAAAGCAAGUCUAUCUUGGCAAGCAUAAAAAAGUUGAAAUAUUUCUUUGUAUCUCAUCAGAAUACAAUAGAAUGAAAUUAAAAAGCAAUGUGAAGGAAAACUUGAGAAGUUUUACAAACAAAUGCAGAUUAAAUAACAUACUUUUGAAUGCUUAGUGGGACACCAAAGAAGUCAGAGGAGAAAUUUAAAAAUUCUUAGAAUUGUGAAAAUAUAAAUACAUCAUACCAGUCUCUGGGACACUGCAAAGGUAUUAUAAAGAGGAAAGUUUAUAACUAUUACAACCUACAUAAGUGGCUUUAAAAGAUCCCAAAUAAAUAUUCUAAUGAUGCAUCUCAAGUCCUUAGAAAAACAAGAAAAAAAAUUCCCAAAACCUGUAGAACAAAAGAAAUAAAGAUCUGUGCUUAUAUUCAUGAAAUAGAGAAUUUUUAAAAAUUAAUGAAAUAAAGAGUCGUUUUUUGAAAUAAUAAACAUGGUUUGUAAAACUUUUGGUCAAACGAAUCAAAAUAAUACUCAAGAGAGAACACCCCAAUUAAUAACAUAAAAGAUGAAAAGGAAGAUAUUACAACUUUAGUCCAAAGAAUCAUUUGAGACUAUGUUUAAAAUGUAUAUCCCAAUAGAUUGGUAAAAUUUCUAGAAACCUACAACCUACCAAAAUUGAACCAAGAGAAUAUAGAAAAAACAUAAACAUACCAGUAAUAAGCAAUGAUAUUGAAGAAAAGUAAAAAGGCCUUACACUGAAGAAAAGCACAGAACCAGAUGGAUUCUGAAUUCUGAAUUUUACUGGAUCUUUAAAGAAGAGCUAACAUCAAUGCUCCUAAAAUUAUUCCAGGAAUCAGAAAGAAAGGUAAUGCUUCCAAACACUUCCUACAAAGCUAGUAGCACUGCAAUAUCAAAACCAGAUAACAUCAUUUUAAUGGAAGAAAACUGCAAACCAAGAUCCUUGAUAAACCUACAUGCAGAAAUCCUCAAUAAAAUAUUAGCAAACCAAAUCAAAUAACACAUUAAAAAAGAGCAAACACCUGAUCAGUUUGGUUUCAUGACAUGAAUGCAAGGAGGAUUCAACAUAUGCAGAACAACAGACAUAAUAUAACACAUGAGUAGAACUAGGGACAAAAAUCACGCUAUUCUCUCAAAAGAUGCAGAAACAAGCUUUGACAAAUUUCCACACUCAUUUGUGAUAAAAUCACUGAGCAAACUAAGAAUAGAAGAAACUUACCUCAAUAUUAUGAAGACUAUAUAUGACAAAUCCAAAGCCAACAUAAUAUAGAAUGGGGGAAAACUGGAAGUAUUUUCUAUAAAAUUAGAAACAAGACAAGGGUGUCUACUUUCACCACUCCUGUUCAAUAUAGAACUUAAAAACUUAACCAGAGCAAUUAAGUAAGAGCAGAAAAUACAAGUAAUUUAAAUAGGAAAGGAAGAAGUGAAAUUAUUCCCGUUCUCAGGUAAUAUGAUGCUAAACUCAGAACAUUCUAAAAGUUCCACCAGAAGACUUCUGCACCUGAUAAAUCCAGCAAAGUAGGAGGAUACAAAACUUAUAAAUAUACAUAUAUAUGUGCAUAUGCCACAAUGCCACCCACUAUUCUGUGUAAUUCAUACACACCAACAAUAAAAAUUAUAAUCAUGAAAAUUGUGAAAGCAUGAGAAAAUGUUUGCAAGACAAUACAAAGGGGAAAAUAGGAAAACAUACCAAAAUAUACACACUGGGGUUGCAAUUAUGUAAAAUGGGAUUAAAUCUAAAAACUAAGAUUCAAGUAAACCAGGAUAGUAGCAUGUCUAGAGUUACCUACUUAAUGCUGUUGAUUUAUAUUUAGGAAGAAAGUGAGAAAAAAAAAAUGUUUAAAACCAGAUUUUGGAGGAAAAGUAAUUUUUCCCUCUAUAAAAUAUGCCAUAUAGAGCAAAGUAAAUGUUUCAAUAUUAAGGAAAACAAUGCAUGGUCAGUGUAAAAGUCUCUUGAUGACUGAUGAUGUUUAAUUCUGUCACCACUAUCUCUGUACUGCGACAGGAAAAGACUCAUCCUGGUGUUCCAGAAAUCAAAAUACUUGGUACAAAUGGUUAGUUCUCCAGACACCUGGUUGGAAAUGAGGCAUCUCAGCCCAAGUCUCCAGUAACCUCCGAGGAGAGUGAACUCACUCCAGCAAACGUCAUGGCUAGAGCCCUGCACAGUUGGCCUGCUGGAGUCCUGCGGCAUGCUCUCAGGAAUGCAGUCAUUCCCCAGGGGCAGCUAAGGCAGAGAGGCUCCCAAGAUUAACCCCGGAGACAGCAGCAUAGUGAGAAACAGGACUGGAGCAUCCUAGGCUCCCACGUUGUUGUUUUUCUGGAUGUUGAAGAAAACAAGAAAAACGUUUAUUUCUGGUGUGAUUUUUUUUCCUCACAGGUUUCAGGUAUCAAGUGUCUGAGUGUCCCCAGUAUUUCAGGUUGUGGAGAUCACCUUGUCCUUUUUUUCUUCAAAAACAAUCAACUCAAGACUUGAGAGUCCCUGUGGAAGUUGCCCCAAAGUUCUCCCCUUCCUAAUAUAACCCUUCCCCAGCCAUUUCUGAGAUUCUCAGGAGGAGAGUAAAUUUUCAGGAAUUACACUUCCAAUCACCAUUGUUCCCAUUUUCUCUGAUAUUUUUUCUUCCUGCUGUUUUACUUCAUUGUACUAGAACCCCUUUUUAUCUUGUAGAAGUUAAGUUUUCUACUACUUCCAGAAGAUUAACUGACAUUUUGAAGCAUGAAACAUCCUGCAGGCCUUCACAACACAUCACUUAACAUUGGCUCUUAGAGGCUUCAGUUUCUCUGCUUCUGUCUCAGUGCAGUUUUGGGUAUUUCCUUGGUGACUACCAUUUCUUCUCAGUUGCAGCUUUCUGCAAUCUUCAUAGUACACAUAUAAAGCAAAUUUUUUCAUAUCUGUGGUUGUACACAAAUCAAAGUCACACCAUUAGUAUCUUCAUACAUAUACAUAGGGUAAUGAUGUCCAUCUCAUUCCACUGUCUUUCCUACCCCCAUGAACCCUCCCUUCUCCUUCCUCCCCUUUGCUCUAUCUAGAGUUCAUCUAAUCCUCCCAUGUCCCCCAACCCCCAACCACAUUAUGAAUCAGCAUCCUUAAAUCAGAGAAAACAUUUGGCAUUUGUAUUUUGGGGAUUGGCUAACUUCACUUAGCAUUAUCCUCCAACUCCAUCCAUUUACCUGCAAAUGCCAUGGUUUUAUUCUGUUUUAAUGCUGAAUAAUAUUCCAUUGUGUAUAUAUGCCACAUUUUCUUUAUCUAUUCAUCUAUCUAAGGGCAUCUAGGUUGGUUCUACAGUUUAGCUAUUGUGAAUUGUGCUGCUAUAAACAUCGAUGUGCUCUCUCUCUUUCUCUCUUUUUUUUCUAUCUCCUUUUAGUUUCUACAUUUCCUUUCCAUAUAGGGCCUUUUCAACCCACCUACUUGGAUUCACUCCAAAAGUUGAAGUUCUCAUGUCAAUUUUACAGAACAAUUUUGAUUUUUUAUUACCUCCAGCAUCUCUAAGAUCAUUUCCUGAAGUCUCCUAAAUAUGUAAUUGGCUGAGAAUUUACCAGUCAUCAAGUGUUGAAGAUUUUUUUGUUUGAUCAUUUUCCCCAAAUCCAUUUCCUUUUGUAUUUUAUUAUGGGUAGCAAGAAGAAACCAACAAGAACCUUUAGUGGUUUGCUUGGGAAUUUCCUCGGAAGGACAUACAGGUUCAUUAGUUACAGCACCACUUUCCCCAUGACUUCAGGACACAGUUCUGCUGAAUAUUCUGCUGCUGCAGAGUGACGUUCCCUCUUUCCUCCAUUUUCCAAUAACAUUUCCUCCUAAGUCCCACCAACAGGGCCUCUGAACAUUUGUAUUUCUGCCCCUUGUCUGUACAUGGCCAGCUGGUCUCUAAGAUGGGAUACAAUUUUUCUCUCUUGCUCCUCGUUUGCUUCUGAGUCUGUACUAACAGGUUCAUUAACACUCAUAUUUAUACUAACAAUCUGUUCAAGAGAAUCUAGCCUAUUUUUUUCCUUCAUCACAGUACUCAAAACUUCCUGCCUCUGCUCAUUGGCCAAUUCUGAAACCAUAGGUACAUUUUUAGGAAUUUGUUAAAGCAGCACCCAGCUUCUAGGUUUAAGAAUCUGUAUUAGGAUUCUAGUGCUACUGCAAGAAAUGAAUGCAAACUUUGUGUUUUAAACUGACACAAAAGCAUUAUGUUAUCAGUCUAUGGGUUAGAAAUCUGAUAUGGGUCUCACUGGGCUAAACAUAAGUUGUUAAGCUGCUGAGAGCCCUGUUUCCUUCUGGAGCUCCUCCGAGAAUCCCUUUAUUUGCCUUUUCCAGUUUCUGCGAUUGCUGGCAGCCUCCUCUUCUGAACCAGCAGUGCUUGGAGAGGGCUUUCUCAUGCUGCAUCACUUUGACACUGACUCUUGUGCUUAUCUUUCAUUUGUAAGGACUGCUGUGAUUACACUGGGCACAUGGGGGAUAAUAGAAGAUAAUAUCACCAACUCCAGGUCAGCUGAUUAAUAAUCAGUUUUAAUUUCAAGCUCAACUUGAAUUUACCUUUGCCUUUAAUUCACUUGCCAUGUAACAACAUAUCCACAGGUCCUGGGCAUUAGAAUAUAGAAGCCAUCAUUUGGCUUACUAUACUAACUGUUGCACAAUUUCUAGCAAAUUCUCAAUGUCUAAUAAUAAAUACUUGAUAAAUGUAAAUUGAAUACCUAUGCAUCUGAGGUUAAGCAUUGCAAAUGCGAUAGAGAAUUAAAAAUAUAUGUAUCUUGUCUUCAUGAAGUUUACAGUCUAGCAAAAGAUUUGGUCUAGCAAGGGAUGGUAGAGCACAUCUGAAUACUAGCAACUAGAGAGGCUGAGGCAGGAGGAUUGCAAGUUCAAGGCCAGCUUCAGCAACUACGCAAGACCCUGUCUCAAAAAGAGUGGGAGGAUGUUUGGGGAUGUAGCUUAGUGGUUAAAUGCCACUGGGUUCAGUUCUCAAUACACACACACACACACACACACACACACAUAAUUUAAACACACUGAAGUUAAGCUUUUGGUGGCAAAACAUUCAGAGAAGGUACAUAUUCUAUGAAAGGUUGCUGAGAGGAACAUUUGAAAAGGAGGAAAUAUCUGAUCCACUUAAAGUAUGAAUUAGACAGAAAAGGAGGGCCAGAUUUAUGAAAGAGGAAAUAAAAGAAAAUUCGAGCUAAAUAAUUGGCAAAAGGGUACAAAAGUGGUGAAAAGAAAUUCUGUCCAAGCCAUCAUUAGCAAGAGCCUUUAAAUUGCAUUAAAUAAUUUAGUCUAUUUGGUACACAAUGUGGACCACUUGCGUAGGUUUUAAUCUUUGAAAUCAGAUGAACAGAUUAUCAUUUCAGAAUUGUCUCUUUAGAUGUACACUAGGGAACCUAUUGAAAAUGCCUGUUAUAUGGAAAAUAAUUAAAAUAUGGGAAAUUAUUUAUGAGUGUAAAGUUAGAAAUCCAAUACAAAGUAACUUAUAAGUGGAACUAAACAAUAAUGAAGGUACUUCAUGCCAAACCUUGUUGAAUUGAACUUUAAAUCAGAAUUACAUUUUUGGGGGGUGCGCAAAGCUUGUUUUAGAAAAGAACAGUUGAAAAUCCAUAAGGUCAUUAUCUGGGACUAGGAAAAGUGAAUGAGGAGAAACACAAUGAAGUUGAGUUGAGCAAGAGAGGCUUCAAGGAAAGACACUUCUCUCCUUCCUGGGUGUGCUGUUAACUGACAGGUUAAUGACAGGCAUCCUCUUCUGGGAUUAUCUAAGAUGCAGGCAGGUGCUUUACCCAAGGUCAUGCUCUGGCCUGAGACAGCCCACCUCCAAUGACUAGUCCAGGCAGGGUGCAUAGACACACACAUUUUGCCCCUAUUCGGGACAACCCAGCUUGGUCUUUUCAGCUCCAGAGUUCCCUAUGUGUCUGGUGGGGUCUCCUGUGAAGCUGGUGUUGCUGUUCAGUCUCCCCCUCUGCUCAGCCCGGCUCCCUUUCCAUCUCUUACAGAAGUGUGGAUACGAGGGUGCUCCCUAGGAAACAUUUGGCACACUAAAUUAGGAAAUAAGUAUACAAUGGUGAGAUUCAACAAAGCCAAAAGGUGACUCACUAAAAGAUCAAGAAAAUGCAGAAAUGCUUGCCAAAUUUGGUUUAAAACUGAAAAGAGGUUAUUUAAAAAAUUAUGAAUAUAAUGGGGCCAUAUAUUAAGAGUAAACUUUGCAUCAAUGAAUAUGAAUGCAUUGAUUAAAAUAAGGAAGAUUCUUAUAGAUUUAAAGUUUGCCAAAUUUGACUCAAAAAGAAAUUUAAAAACUUUAUCAUUUCUAUAAAAAUUAAAGAACUCAAACUGAUAAUUUACAAUCUCAUUACAACAAAAACACUGGGUCAGAUGGUUUUCUGGAUAAGUUUUAUCAGAUGUUCAAAGAAUAAAUAAUUCUCAUGUUAAUUAAACUCCUCCAGGAUAUAUAAAGGGAAUGCUUCCAAACUCAAUUUCUGAGACUAGAACAAUCUUGAUAACAAAACCUGGUAAAACUAAAUACAAAAUAAAUACAAUUACAAGCCAAAUCACUUUUGAAUUCAGAUAUAAAAGCUGAACAAAACACCAGCCUAUCUAAUCCAGUAGCAUAUCAAAAUGAGAACAUCUCAUGACCCAAUUCUGUACCUAAGGUAAUCAAGAUUGGUCUAUCAUUAAAAAAAUCAGUGUAAAUGAUUUACCAUGAUAAUAGAUUAAAGGGAAUAAAUCCUAUGAUCUCAGCUGAUACAGAAUAUCAUUUGAAAAUUUUCAACACCCAUUCAAGACAAACUUCACAAACUACAAAAGAGAACAUUCACAACUUAAUAAAGGACAUUUACUAAAAUCCAACACAAACAUCAGGUUAAGAAUUGUUUUUUUAAAAAAUCUAUAAAAGACAAUUAUGUCUUAGGAUGGUGGCCUGUGUUUUGGUGGCACUAGACAGAAAAAGAUAUAAAGCAAUUAUUAUCUUGAAGCAGGAUGCUAUCUCAUCACACACAUUUUUGAGGAAGCACCUCACCUAGGGCUUUGCACAUAAAAGAAAAUGUCUCAAACAUGCAUAUUGACCUAUGGAUAAAGAAUGUCAUGAGAAUUGCCACCAUUUCAGAGUAGUGUGUUUUGGAAAUUCUAACAGUCUUCAGAAGAUUCUUGCUUGAAGAUAUCCUCUGUUCUCAAUCUAUCCAAGAAUGCACUAUACCAAUUAUUGUGUUUUUUAUAUUCAGCUACCAAAAGAUCUUCUUUGUCCUAAAACGUAAAUUAAGAGUUUUUUCAGUAUAAAUUUGUAAAUACAUUUUUUAAUUAGCACUCAUAAUAAAAGAUUGCUCUAGCCAUAUAAAUUUUCUUCUAGUGAUUAACAAAUAUUGGGAACACAUAUAACCUUAAAGGACAAUACAAGAAAGAGUAGGAAAAUCACUUUUUAAGGCAGGAAGUUUCUAAGCUUUGACCCUGCAUUGUUAAACAGGGACGUGACCUUGGAUGAGAUUCAAAAUUUGGGGUCCCUAUUUUCUACUGGGAAAAGUGCUACAUGACUUACUCAUUCAUUCAACUUAAGAACUUAUGUGUCAGACAUUUUGUUCCUGUGCUUGUUACAUAGGAGUUGGGGAUAGGCAGUGAUAGGCAAUAUGAAAGUGUAUUUUGAGUCUCCACUUGCUGUACAGGGGUUCAGGGAAAGAGAGAAUUCAAUAGUCACUGAUUUUCUAAAUAAGUCUUGUUUCCUAGGUGCUGGCACAAUGGUGGGUCCUCAAGGGUAUUGGCAAGAAUAGAGCUAAGUACUAAAGGCAACAUCAGGAUCUCACGCUUUCUUUGCAAUACAGUAAUACCUUGAUUAGAUAGGAUGGUAUUUUGUUUAGCUUUUUCAGCUCAAUUCAAAAGUGGAGAGAAGGAUGAAUGCUAGUCUGCCAAAAUUGUUCAUAUGACCUUGAUGAAGUUACCCAACUGUCAUCUGAUGGGAUCCUAAGAUUGGACCAGAACAAACCCAUGAGUGGAAGGAAUUUAUCUGGAAUGUGAGGAGAAGAGAGGGGCAGAGGAAAUUGAGCCAGAGAAAGGGCAAAGCAAUGAAGAGUGUCUGCAUGAGCCAUCGUGCCAAUGUGGGCCUCUGGCACUCAGUCCUUCUGGGGGUCAUCUGAGUAAAUAUGUAAACUUAUCUCAGAUUUGUCCUGCCCAGAGACAGACCAGCCCAAAUCCUUAUCCUUUAUUCUGUUCUCGCUGUGUGAGAGGUGUCCCUGUCCAUUCUGGGCUUCCAUGCCUGUGGACUGAGAAGUUCUUGACAUGAGAUAUUGUGGGCUUCAGGUGACCUCAGCACUGGUCUUUGGGGAUGUGGGACUGGAAUCCACUGCAUCUGCUAUAGUAAUUAAUCUCAUUCUUGACUUCCUGAUUUGUAAUACAAAAUAUAAUUUGUACCAUAGAGGGCAGUUGUGGGCAUUUAUUUUUUUUCCUAUCCAUUUUUUUAAGAAGAAAUGUUUUCUUUAAAUGCUUUAGAGUAGGGGUGGAGACCAAUGAAAAUAUGCAGCUGUUUGGUUCUCAUAGCACAUAAAUCCUGAGACCUGGGAAGCAGGAGUCAUAAACCUGCCUUGCCUUUAUAAUCCCCUUUGAGGAGGAUCCAGGAUUUUGAUAGGGACCUGAUGAAAGAGGCCAAGUAGAAAAGUUUGGGUUCACGGCAAAUGUUUACUUAACUGACACUUCAAAAGCAUUUACUGGAGAAAGAAGUUAGGUGAAUCAACAUCCCUCACCCAUAUCAGAAUCAUAGCCUGCGGCACUGAAUUCUGUUGUGCCUUUGCUAACCCAGGGCCCACAUGUUUGACAUCUGCUUGAGAAGUUCCAGGGCUGCCUUUCUCAUCCUGGUGUAGGAAGAGCCAUAUGAGGUGGCGUUAGUGAAAAGCAGUGGUUCUCAGACUGGAGAGUCCCAUGGGAUCACCUGGAAGGCUUUAGUAAAACACAGCUUGUUGGUUCCAUCUGAGUUUCUGAUUCAGUAAGUAGGAAAUGGGACCCCAGAAUUGACAACUCCAUUAUGAACUCAGGUGAUGCAGAUGUUGCUGAUCUAGGAACCACAUUUUGAGAACUAGUGGUUUUAGAGGAAGCUAGAACCUUAUGAAUGCAUUAAAGGCAUGGGUGGGAGUCACUAUGUGCACCACUGAGGGUUGGGGAAUGAACAUAAGAGGGUCCAGAUCCAGGCCAGCUUCUUUGUGGUCUUUGGAGAUGUCACUGUUGGUUCAUCCUCAAAAUGUUUGCUUCUAUUUACUUUCCAUUCUGUACUUCCCCCCAUUCUUAGCCCAUCAUAAACACACGAAUCACCCUUUCUUCAAAUCAGACUAGCCUUCCAAAACAGGUGUGUGCUUCCAUAGAAAGGGUGAAAAAAGCUAGACUUUGCACAGAAUAAGAUAAAGGACAAAAAGAGGAGGGGAAGAGAAGGAGAAAGGAAAGAGAAAGAAUAGGCAAUAAAUGAUGUUGUGGACAUUUGGCCCAAUGUCUAUGCUGCCUGCAUGUUUUCGUAUACUUCAGAAUGUUGAAUCCUUGCAAAUACUCUGCAAGACCUAUUAUCAUCUCUACAAGGAAACUUAAAUAGAUCCCGAAACCUGCCCAAGUGUAUGGAUUCAAACCCAAAAGGCUUCAAUUACAAAUCUAGUAAAAUUUCUACAGUUCUCUUUUUUUUUUUUUCAGAGUGGAAAUUAGAAGUUUAUUAAAGGACAGCAGAAAAGACUUCUCCCGGAGUAAGAAGGGGACCUAAGAGAUGGAAUCCCUCUACAGUUCUCUAUCCUCAGGAAAAUUGUGUUGAUAUGGAGAGUUUACAUGAAACUGGGAAGCAAAGUCAUGAACCUUUUUCCUGAGUAUCUGGAUUUGAAGUUAGUCCAGGAGUGCUUUUAGAUUGUGAAAAAUUGUGCUGUAAAUGGGUAAUAAUGAGUGUAAUGCAUUCCACUAUUGUCAUGUAUGUAAAAAUAAAUUAAUUAAUUAAAAAAGAUAAUGCUAAGUC
rnacentral:lncRNA from 1 species